UGGAGCUAAGUACUUCAAGGGCAAUUUCCUGAGAUUGGCUCGAGUGAAGGCCAUGGUUGACCCAGAUAAUUUCUUCAAAAAUGAACAAAGUAUUCCACCAUUUCCACAUCAAAACUCCCAUUAGGAGGACGUUAAGCCUUGUUUUUAUCUAUUUUAUUUCGUCCUACAAUAAUGCCUUGCUGGUUUAUAUAUUAUAUAUUAUGUAGCAUAUUCUUAUUGAUAUCAUUGUGCAAAAUCCUAACUAGAUGUUUACAAAGAAAAUGAUGCAAGGUUCUCGACCUCUAUUCACAACUAGUGCUUAAAUCAAUCAAUCAUGCUUAAAGUCCCUAAUUAGUAUUAUAACAAACCUUAAUCUAAACUUGAACUACAUAAAUCAUGAUCAAAAUUAAAAAAAAAUAAGAGAACAAAAAAGAGUACUCGAAUCAAUGAUUACACGAACAUGUACCUUCGAGUUAAAACUUACACAAUAAAAACAUAUAUAUUUGGUGAAGAAACGAUGAAGACAAUUAACAUAAAUUUAAAAAAAUAAUGAAAAAAAUUAACAUAAAAUAAGAAGACUUGAGAACAUCACCUUACUAACUAACCGGGAAUCUUUGCAUCCUGAAACGAGUAAAUCACCGGAGGCAUUGGUCCUCAUGACUACCCUUUCUUUAACAUAAUACUUAUUUUCUGGUUUUUAAAGCUCCAAGUGCUCAAUUCACCUCCAACUAGCAUUGACAACAAGGUUGCCUUUGAGAAUGUAUAAAUGCAGCAUCCACGUAUUUUAUAAAACAGAAUAUUUGUUCAAGCACAGCCUGGCAGUGCUCAUCAUUCAAAAAAAAAAAAAAACUAACCGGGAAUCUUUAGAUCCAUGCUAACCAAGAAUCUUCUUAGUAAGCAAAUGGGAAAAUGACCAAAUCAUCCAUUAUCAUUAGCUGAAUGAAAAAUUGAAGAAUAUUUAGUGAAAGUUGUGAAAUUCUUUGAUGAGAUACGAUUUAAAAAAAGAUAAAAAUGGAUUUGGUGAAAUUCUAUGAUGAGAAAUUGAGAAUGAAAUAAUCUAAAAAUGGUGCUUGUUUAAUUUUCUACCGAGCUUAGUAACACGAAAUACCCAAAGGGAUCUUAAACGUUUGCGGUUCUAUUAUAGAUAUCUUCAAACAUUUGAUUCCCUUCUCCAUUUGAUCCAAACAAGGAUGAUCUUUGUCGUCCAUGAAGCAGAAGAGUCUUAAAUUCUUGCUUUUCAAGAUUAUCGGAUGCCCAGUAAUUGUUAAUUCUUGUCCUUGUUUGUGUUCGACUUAUUGCAUCGGAAUUUCGUCAUUUUUAAGUGAAAAUAAUUAUGAGCCUUGUCAAAAGCUUAGGAGAGAAUCCUAAUAAUUAUUUUCACAAAGAAAAUUAUCUCUAAAUAAUUAUAAUAAUGUAGACAAAUAAAAAUAAAUGUGGCAAACCAAAUUGUGAAUAAUUCACAUAUUGCAUCAUGAUGCAUAUAUAUUUGUUUUCAUCAUAUGGAAGCUAACUGGUGAUGGAAUUUUAAAGAAUUUGUAAGUGAAAACUUUCUUGAAAAUUUCUAAAUGAAAAAAUUCUCUAAAAUUUUAUCAAAAUUAUGAAAAAAUUUAGAUUUCUUUCUAAUAUCAAGGAUUUUCAUUUGCCCAUGAGAUAAAAGUAGACCUAUCAAUGGAUUAGCGGGUUCACCAACUUGCGAGCUUAGCUUGAAUCGAGCCUAGUCUUAGACAAGAUUUUCUUGAUCUGAGCCCAGUCCAUGAUAUUAUUAUGUUAUGAGAUAAGAGUCCUUAGGCCGUACCUAUUCAACAAUUAGGGACACUAUUGGCAUUCGCAAGAAGAAAACCGAGAGCCUCCGAUCGAACACUAGCCAAUUGAUCUUAACAUUCAUAAGAUGACAACUUUUUAAUAUCAGGAGCAACAAUGGAAGGAUGGUUAACAGAGGGGCCUUUUUUCAUUUUCCCAACACCCUUAACCACAUCAGCCUAAGUUUUGUGCUGAUGAGAGGCCUCAAACUUAGAGCAAUUUUGAAAAGAGUCAAAAGACAUGAAAUUCCCAGUAAGAGCAGUCCUAUCGUAGAUGCUAACCAAUUUUAUAUAUACUAGGAAGACAGCCCGCGCGAUGCUGCGGGUUGUUAAUUAGAUAAAAAAAUUUCAAUAAUAGAAAGUUAUUUAUGAAGUAAAUUAAUUUUCUUACAUAAUAGUUGAUUGUAUAUAAAGGAGAAAACAAAUUUGUACAUUUGUGGAAAAUUGAAGUGUUAGAAGAACAUAAGUAAUAGAAAUUGUAUAUUACAUAUUUGUAAAGUAAGAGGUGUUUAUGUAGUUUUUGAAAUAUACAUAAAAAAUGGUGUAGACAUAUUGAUAGUAGUAACAAAAUAGUAGCAUACAAAAUUUGGUCAUUGUGAUAUUAUCUGUUGAUUUUUUUCAUAUAUAUUGUUGUAAUAUGCACAUAACAAAAACAUUCUGCAUAUAUGGCAGAACUUAUUGCUUUGUCCAAAAAGUUUGAUGCUUAUUCCUUUGCUUGUGUUUUGCAUCUCCUGUUUACAUGAUAGAAUUACAUACUUUUUAUUUUGAUUCUCUUUAUGAUAUUAUUGUGUACACACAAAUUUCUCAUCGAAAUUUCUUGAUUUGAAAAUUAUGAGACAAAUACAAAUAUUUGAUGAAGUGAGUGAUGAUCUUUGGAAAUUCCUCUUAUUAAUUUUUUCAAUUCGUCUUCAAGAGUCACAAACUUGAACUUAGUCUUGAUCACGAACGUGCUUGAUCUUCACGUCAAGGGUCUUCACGACUUAAUCUUGAUCACGAACGUACUUGAUCUUCGCGUCAAGGGUCUUCACGACUUAGUCUUGAUCACGAACUUGCUUGAUCUUCGCAUCAAGGGUCUUCACGACUUAGUCUUGAUCAUGAACGUGCUUCGCUUAAUAUCUUGAUCACGAACUUCGCUUAAUAUCUUUAUCACGAACUUCGUUUAAUAUCUUGAUCACGAACUUCGUUGUCACUUGAUCACGAACUUCAUUGUUGCUUAAUCUUUACUUCAAAAAUCUUCUAUUCUUUUUGAUCUCUGAAAUGCUCUCAAUAUUCAAAUGCUCCCAAUCUUCGAAUGUCUUCGAAUCUUCGAAUGCCUCUGAAUCUUCGAAUGCCUCUGAAUGAAUGAAAAUGGCUAGGGGGAGCCCUCUAUUUAUAAUGUUUGGUGGGAGACUUUGAUGAGAAUAUAAUCUAUUUGAAUUAUCUCUAAAUUAUUUUAAUUUAUUUAGAGAUAAAUCAUGAUGACUCAUUAAAAGUCUUUGGAUUGGUCGGACCUUGAGUCCUUGAAUUUUGAUUAGCCAAAGUUAGGUAUUAUCUCUAAAUUAUCUCAAUUUAUUAUAGAGAUAAAUUAAAUAAUCCAAUUUGAGUUUUAUCUCUAAAUUAAUAUAAUUAUUAGAGAUAAAUUAAAUGACCAAUGAUUAAAUUUUGAUUGGUCAAAAUAUAAAUAUUAUCUCUAAAUUAUUUUGAUUUAUUUAGAGAUAAAUUGAAUGACCAAUAACUAAAUUUUGAUUGGUCAAAAAUAUGAAUAUUAUCUCUAAAUUAUCUUGAUUUAUUUAAAGAUAAAUUGAAUGACCAAUAACUAAUUUUUUUGAUUGGUUCAAUUUAAAUAUUAUCUUCAAAUUAUCUCAAGGGAUAAAUAUAUACCAAUAGGUGAAUUGGUUCAACUAUAUGUUUUUAAAAUAAUCCAACCAAUAAAUUAAUUAUUUUAUAAUUAAUUACAUGGUUAUGACAUCAUUAAAUCCACAUGGCAGCACGUAAUUGGCUGAUAAUUUUUUUCUCCUUCUACAAAUGCCCCCUCAAGACUUGUUCACACAUGAUUUUGAAUGUAACAAGUGGACAAGUCUUGAAAUUUUAAAAUUUUUAGGAUUUCUUAAAAUCCUAAUGUGUCUUGGCAUAGUUGCAAUCCAAAUUAAAUUUGAAUUAUGCUUGCUCAUUGGUAAGAGAAUUAUAAUCUUGGAAGAUGUAUAUUUCAAUAAAACUACUUGAAGAAGUAUAUUGCAAUAAAAUUGUUUGAAGAAGUAUAUUGCAAUAAAGCUAUAAUUUUGAAAGAGGUAUAUUGCAAUAAAACUAUUUAAAGAAAUAUAUUGCAAUUAGGAUUACAUUCCUUAAUCAACAAGGACUUUGUCUUUUUACUCUAUAAAAAGGGAAUUCCCUUGUCAAUUUGCACAUCAAAAUCAACUUGAGCAUUACUGAUAUUCCAUAAGCAAGCAAGACCGAUUUUUUCAUCUUCUCAAAAUUAUAAGGUAUGCUGUCCUUUCUUUCUCUUCCCUUUAUUAACAUGGCAGUAGAAUUCGCCUGCUUAUGGGCUUUUUUAAUUAUGCAACUCCCAUUAUUUUGCAUGCUAAAAUCUUGCAAGCUGCCAUUUAUUCCAAUUCCCAAACUACAAGCCGCCACUUGUUUUAAUUCCCAUGUUAAAAGCAUGCAAGCCACCAUUUAUCCAAUUGCCAUGAUAAGCCACCAUUNAAAAUCAACUUGAGCAUUACGGAUAUUCCAUAAGCAAGCAAGACCGAUUUUUUCAUCUUCUCAAAAUUAUAAGGUAUGCUGUCCUUUCUUUCUCUUCCCUUUAUUAACAUGGCAGUAGAAUUCGCCUGCUUAUGGGCUUUUUUAAUUAUGCAACUCCCAUUAUUUUGCAUGCUAAAAUCUUGCAAGCUGCCAUUUAUUCCAAUUCCCAAGCUACAAGCCGCCACUUGUUUUAAUUCCCAUGUUAAAAGCAUGCAAGCCACCAUUUAUCUAAUUGCCAUGAUAAGCCACCACUUGCCACGUUACAAAGCCAAAAGGGAGCCAAGAAUUGGCUAAAGUCUUUUAAUCCUCAUGCUUUUGCCAUGUUAUACAACUAAGCCAAGAUUUAAACAAUUGACUAAUGCCCACGUUACAUCAUCUUUCUGCCACAUUUAUAAGGCUCAUGAACUUUGUAUCUUGCCACAUUACACACUUAGGAAAGAAAAUUAUAUUAGCCAUGAUUUCUUUCAAUUGAUAUGCAAGCCGCCACUUGUCUCCAUUGCCAUGCCAAACCACCAUUCAUCUUGCCACAUUACAUGAAUAUAGGCAAACAUUCAAGAGGCCAAGAAUUGGCCAAUAUGUUCUUAUCAAUUUCCUGUACGUACCAUUGUAAAUUGCCAUGCCAAGGAAAUCCAACGUUGCCAUGAUUUUUUUUUAUUGCUUCUAACUUUUUUUUUUUUUUGUAAAUUGUUGUUUUAGACUAAUAAUUUGAUAUUUUAUUGACAGUUAAAUCUCACACUUAUCAGUCUAUAAUCAAAGCAAGCUCAAAUUGAAGCAGAGAAAUUGGCAGCAAUUUAAAGUGAUGCUCUUUAUAAUAGCACACAAUUUAUUUUUCUCGGAGAGUGCUCUUUAUCAUAGCACUUAUUGAUCCUUGGGGGGUGCUCUUCAUAAUAGCACACAAUUUAUUAUCCUUGGAGGGUGCUCUUUAUAAUAGCACUUAUUGAUCCUUGGGAGGUGCUCUUUUAAACAGCACACAAUUAAUUAUCCUUGGAGGGUGCUCUUUAUAAUAGCACUUGUUGAUCCUUGGGAGGUGCUCUUUAUUCUAGCACAUAAUUUAUUAUCCUUGGAGGGUGCUCUUUAUAAUAGCACUUGUUAAUCUUUGGGAGGUGCUCUUUAAAAUAGCACACAAUUUAUUAUCACCAUGGUAUACUUCAAGGAUUACAAAGAUCUUUUCAUUGUCUCCAAGAAUGAAGAUAUGAAGAAGAGGUUGUUUCUUCCCAUAGCGAAACUGUUGAUUCAGCCUCGUUGAAAAACAUAGUUGAAGAAUACUUUGGACAAGUUUGUAAAUUUAUUGACCUUGAACCAUCCUUCAAUAGUACGUUUGAUUUAUUCUUCGAUAUUUUAUCUUGGUAGCUUCAUCAUCAUAAAGAAUUGAGCCAUGCUUGAUGCAAGAGUUUUUUUUUUUUUUGUGGUGUGACUGAACUUGGCAAUGGAACCAAGCUGCCUACGUACCUCCUAAUACAAAGAAGGAUCAAGUCAUAACGUAGUUCAUUUUUUUUUUUGCCUUAACUUUUGCCUAAAUUGUCCUAUUAAGUAUUUUCAACUUAGCAAGCUUUUUUUUUUUUUGCCUUAACUUUUGCCUAAGUCGUCUUGUUAAGGAUUUUCGACUUAGCAGGCUUUUUUUCUUUUUCGCCUUAACUUUUGUCUAAGUCGUCCUGUUAAGGAUUUUCAACUUAUCAUGCUUUUUUUUUUUUUGAAGCAGUUUAAGCUCUUGCUAAGGAGCAUUUGACCUUCAAGCAUAAUAACGUUUCAAGAAUCUACCAUUGAUUGGGCCAACUCUUACUCCAUCUUGAUCAACAAUUUUGUAUGCGCCAUUAGUGUAGACUUCUUGAACAACGUAUGGUCCAUCCUAUUUUGAGAGAAAUUUAUUACUCAUACGAUGUGUAGUGUUUAUGGGUCUUCGCACUGCAAGAACUAAGUCUCCCACUUGGAACGAUCGUGGUUUAACUUUCUUGUUGAAAGCUUUAGACAAUCGAGCUUGAUAACAUUCUAAGCGUUGUUGUGCUUCCAACCUUUUCUCAUCCAAUGCUUCAAGUUCUUCAAGGCGUAGGCGAACAUUAUCUUCAUUUGAAAGACCUUCUUGAAUGGCAAUUCUCAAUGAUGGAAUUUGACGCUCUAAUGGGAGGACAACUUCCACACCAUAAACAAGCGAAUAUGGAGUUGCUUGAGUAGGUGUACGAAAUGUCGUACAAUAAGCCCAUAAAGCUUCCCCUAUUUUCUCUGGCCAAUCUUUCUUUGCCCGAUUAGCAACUUUCUUGAGACGAUUGCAAAAAGUCUUAUUAAAAGCUUCUGCUAACCCAUUUGCUGGUGCGUGGUACAUAGAAGAAUUAUAUUGAUUGAAGUUAAAUUGUGCACAUAACUUCUCCAUUAUGAAUUGUUUUCCAUUAUCUAUUAUGAUGCAUCGUGGCACGCCAUAACGAUAAAUGAUAUUUGUUCUAAUGAAGGUAGCAACAGUUUCUUUCUUUACUUCUCGAUAAGAGGCUGCUUCCGCCCACUUUGAAAAGUAUUCUGUGGCUGCGAGUAUGUAGAGAUGCCCUGUGGAACUCUUAGGUAAUGGUCCAACCAAGUCGAGUCCCCAAGCAUCAAAUGGCCAUGAUGUAACUGUUGGGUGGAGUGGCUCAGGGGGCUGAUGAAUGAAAUUGGCAUGAAAUUGACAUGCUUGACAUCUUUUAACAUAGUCCAUGCUAUCCUUCACCGUUGUUGGCCAAUAGUACCCCAUUCUUUUGAUUUGGAAGUGCAACUUGGCUCUAGAUUGAUGCGCCCCACAAAUUCCUGAGUGAGCUUUUUGUAAAGCCUUGUAUGCUUCUUCAUCUCCUAAAUAACGAAGAAAAACUCUGUCAAAGGAACGACAAUAUAGUGUAUCUUUGAAAUAAAUAAAUCGAGGAGCUCGACUUUUUAUCUCUGUUUUAUGUCUUGGAUCAUUAGGAAGCUUGCCAUGCUCUAGAUAGUCACUCAACGGUUGUCGCCAAUCUUCUUUUCCCACUUCAAGGACUGAGACGACAUUAGACUCUACGUCGACUUCUUCACUUAGAGUGAUUGGUGGUAUGAUCCAUCGCUUGCAAAGAUGCACUUUUAAUUCUGUAUUUGGUGAGGCAAUUGCUGACGCUAAAUUAGCCAAAUAAUCUGCUUGCCUAUUUUCUUUUCUAGGCACAUGUUCUAUGCUAGUUUUGUCAAACCACUUCAAAAGUUUUUUAACAUAGUUGACAUAUGGCAAGAGCUCAAGCUUUUUAACUAAAGUGUAAGGACUUGGUUUAUAACCAACUUAGAAUCUCCAAACACCUUAAGUUGAGUGAUUUGCAUAUCCACUGCCAUCUCCAAACCUAUGAUCAAGGCUUGGUAUUCUGCCACAUUAUUGGAACAAUUUUUGAUGAGAGUAAAUGCGUAAGGCAAUACUUCUCCUUCUGGGGUGAUAAAAAUGACUCCUGCACCUACCCCAUCUUGUCGAGCUGCUCCAUUAAAGUAUAGCUUCCAUGGCCUAGGGAUUUCAAUGCAAAGAACAUCUUCAUCUGGGAGAUCUUCAAAAAAUUUCCAAUCAUCUGGAAUUGGAUGGUUUGCAAGAAAAUCUGCAAGUGCUUGUCCCUUGACAGCUUUUUGAGGGAUGUAUGUGAUGUCGAACUCUUGUAACAAAAGAGCCCAUUUUGCCAAUCUCCCACUUAGCAUUGAUUUUGACAUAAGAUACUUGAGGGGAUUUGCUCGUGAAAUUAAGUGCACAGAAUGAGCUUGCAAAUAGUGCCUUAAUUUCUUUAUGGUAAAAAUUAAUGCCAAGCAUGUCUUCUCAAUGGGAGAAUAAUUUAAUUCUGCACCAUUAAGAGUUCUACUAAGGUAGUAAAGUGCAUUUUCCUUUCCUUCAUCAUUUUGUGGUGCCAAUAGUGCUCCUAAAGAGCGUUUUUGUGCCGCAACAUAGAGGAUUAAUGGACGUCCUGGUGUAGGAGCCCUUAAAAUUAGAGGCCUUAGUAGAUAAGACUCUAUGCUUUUAAAAGCAUUACUACAAGACUCAUCCCAAAUAAAAGGCGUAUCCUUUUUCAUCAAUCGACUGAAUGGUUGACAUCUACCAGCCAAGUUUGAUAUGAAGCGUCGAAUAUAAGCCAAUCUUCCUUGCAAACUUUUAAGUUCGUGGAGAUUGCUUGGCUCAGGCAUUUUCAUGAUUGCAUCUAUUUUUGAUUGAUCAAUUUCAAUCCCACGAUGGUGCACUAUGAAUCCUAAAAAUUUUCCCGAAGAUACUCCAAAAGCACACUUUAAAGGAUUCAUCCUCAAUUGAUAUCGACGCAAUCUCUCGAAUACUUGGCAAAGAUCUUCAAGAUGAUCAACCCUCUUUUUGGAUUUAACCACCAAAUCAUCCACAUAGCAUUCAACAUUCCUAUGUAGCACAUCAUCGAAAAUCUUUUGCAUUGCCCUUUUAUAAAUGGCGCCUGCAUUCUUUAACCCAAAAGGCAUAACUUUGUAACAGUAUAUUCCUUUAGGAAUUCGAAAUGCAGUGAGCUCUUCGUCCUUUGGAUCCAUGAGAAUUUAAUUAUAACCAGAUGAGUCAUCCAUAAAAGAUAAAGCCUGAUGGCUAGUUGUUGCAUCCACCAUUAUUUCUGUCAAAGGGAGAGGAAAAUCAUCCUUUGGGCAAGCAUAGUUCAAGUCUCGAAAAUUCACACAAACUCGAAUUUGGUCAUUCUCUUUCUAACUGGAACAGUAUUUAAGAUCCAAGUAGGGUACUUGACUUUUCGAAUAAAGCCAUCCUCAAUGAGUUUAUUGACCUCAACCUCUAUUUGGGGAAUCAAGUUAGGGUGAAGACAUCGUUGAGCUUGUUUAAUGGGUCGAACGCCUUUCUUUACUGCUAGGUGAUGCACAGCAACUUUAGGGUCCAACCCUGGCAUUUCUUUGUAAGUCCAUGCAAAGACGUCUCGAUACCUUGUCAAAAGGUCAAUAUAAGAUUUUUCUUCUUCAAAAGUUAAACUAGCACUUAUGAAGAUUGGACGAGGAUCUUCUGUAGUGCCUAUGUUAACUUCUUUUAAUUCAUCAAUUGUAGGUCGAUUUCCUUCCUUUAAUGACGGAGGAGCCUCUUGGAUAUCUUCUUCUUCAGAUUUUUCAUCACUUUUUACUAUAGACAUGUGAUUACAUGUGAAGAUCUCCAUUUCUUCUUGCUCUUCUUCUUCUAAAGAUGAGGCUUGUUUAGUCACAAUCAUAGUGCACCUUCUAGCCUUUAAUGUUUCAUCAUUUGUUACAAUCCAUUCACUUUUUCUUUUCAUUCAUGAAAGGAUGAUGCUAUGAAAAUCUUUUAAUUCAUAUGUCACGAGGCUCUUUUUAUUCCUCUUUUGUGAAGGUUUUCUUUUUACCCUCGAACUGAUGGGAUCUCUUAAAGUCUCUUUUGUAUAAUCUUUGUUGAUAUGAUUAAAUACUGAACCUCGAUUUGAGGGCAUGCUUAAUCGAUCAAAAACUGAAGUUCGAGUUGUGACUGUGCCCAAGCGAUCGAAAACUGAAAGUUUAGAUGACUCUACCGGGGUUUCUUCCUCAUCGUCAACUUCAGUCGUUAUAUAUCUUAAAGCUUCUUUAUGAAUCUUCAACUUUAAGGAUGUAAAUCCCAACCCUGAUUUUGUAACUUUGACAACAUUUGCCUUUUUUUGCCAAACUUUACGAUUCUUGGAAGGAUCUUGUGAAGUUUCUUUGGUUGGUUCACUAAGCUCAUGUACCAACUUAGAAACUUCUUCUUGUUUGUAGCCAGCCCUUAUUAGAAGCUUAUAAGCAUUAGGGUCGAAACCAUUAGCUCUUUGAGAAAGAAGAUCAUCGUGUUCAACCAAUGGCCAUUUUGUUGGCCUUACGAAUCCCUUCAAUGGAGACUUAGUGAAUUUUGACUCUUUUAAACUAGUAAGUGGCAAAGUCAAAUUUUUUAAGCCUUCAAUAAGGUCAUUAUUUUCCUUUGUAGAUGAAGAUGAUUUCUUUCCCUUUCCCUUUGAUGAUUGUCCUUCGUCAUUUCCCUGAUCGCCUUUGGAUUGUACUUCUUCGACAAAAGUACUUUCCAAGUAGAACUUAGCAUCAGCCAAAUGUGCCUCUGCUGUAGUAAAUGGCUUAACAUCUACUAUGACUGUCUUCACUUGAUCAUUUCUACAAUAUUUGAAGCAUUGAUGAAGCGUCGAUGAUACUAUACCAUUUUUAUGUAUCCAAGGUCGCCCUAACAACAUGUUAUAUGUUGUCUUAGCAUCAAUCACAUGAAAUAAUGGAUUAGAUUCCAUAUCAUCAAUGAAAAGUUGAAGUCUAACUUUUCCUAUAGAUCUUUGCCAUUCAAGAUUACAACCUCGGAUCAUCAAGUGACUCUUUGAUAAUUCAUCAAGAGGAAUCCCAAGCUCUUUCAUUGUUUUUAGUGGGAGUAAGUUGACAGUAGAUCCAUCAUCUAUUUGGAUUCGAUUGAUCUUCUGUUCACGACUAUAUCCCUGAACAAAAAGAGGCCGAUUAUGAGGGGUAGACCCCAACAAUAAGUCUUCGUCAAAAAAUGUAAUUGCUGCACCAUAAGAGGAAUUAGAAUUGAACUUAAAUUUUUCUUCACUCCCAACGUCUUCAUCGAUUUGGAAACAUGAUGUGGGAAUUGGAUUUUGAUUUUUGAAUUGCAUUGGCAUGAAAUCAUUCAAAGUGAUUGGUCGUCUAGGCCUUUGCACCAUCAAAUUUUCACACUUGCCCAUACUUAUUUUUCUUGGCAUUGCUUUUAGCAUCAUCUUCCUAGAUGGUUGUUUCACCAUUUUGGAUCUUUUUGGCACUUGCAUGUCCUUGGGAAGACUUUUCUUUUUUUUUCUCCGAUGAGUAACUAGGAUCCAUCCUUCAUUGUCUAGAUCCUCACUUGUAAAGCCACAAGCUUUGCCCCCAUUAUCUUGAGGAUUGGACAUUUUUUUUACAUUCGGAGUCAACAUUAUAUAGUCGAAGGACCCGAACUUUAUCUUGCUCCACACUUUAAGUGGAGAAAGCAUGCUUGCUGUUGAUGCUACAUUUGCUGUAGCCAUUUCUUCUUCAAACUCAAUUUUCCCAUCCUGGUAUAAACUUAUGAUUUUGUCUUUUAAGACAAAACAUUUUUCAAUGGGGUGACCAAUUAAACGAUGGUACUUGUAGUAGUUUGAGUCAUUUACUUGAUCAGCUUCUUCCGAUCGCUUCAUUUCUGGCAAUUGGAUGAGCUUAGCUUUCAGAAGUUCUUCCAACAUUCCUACGAUAUUUGAGUCAGGGAAAGGAUACUUUUUCUCUUGUCUUUCUUUCAAAGAUUCUUUCUUUUUAUCCUGUGAGGGACUAGGCUUUGUUUCUUGGGUUUUCUUUGAAUUGGCAUUCAUUUUGAUAGGCUUGGUAUUUACAGUCAUAGACUGUUUUCCUUCGCCCUUAUCUGCCAAAGCUUUGCCCCAUUUGCGGAGAUCUUGCUUACCUUUCCUUGGCUCUUGCACUGGAGGUCUUUGAUUUCCAGCGGCUAACAUGCUUAAUUCCAUGUCAUGAGCGCGAGUAGCUAAUUCCCCAAAAGUUUUAGGCUUAAUGCCUUGAAGAAUAUAGCGUAACCCCCAAUUCAUCCCUUGGAUGCACAUAUCAAGAGCUGAGGACUCAGACAAUCGCUCUUUGCAAUUAAGACUGAGAUUUCUCCACCUAUGGAUAUAAUCAAUCACAGGCUCAUCUUUCCAUUGGUGCGAACUUGUAAGUUCAAUCAUACUCACCACACGUCGAGUGCUAUAGAAGCGAUUAAGGAACUCACGUUCUAAUUGCUCCCAAUUAUCAAUCAUCCCAAGCUCUAAGUCUGUGUACCAAUCAAAAGCAUUGCCUUUUAAAGAGCGAACAAACUGCUUCACCAUAAGAUCACCAUAAGUGCCAGCGUUGUUACAAGUUUCUAUGAAGUGUGCAACAUGUUGACGAGGAUUUCCUUUACCAUCAAACUGUUGGAACUUUGGUGGCUGAUAGUUUGGUGGCAUCUUCAUGCGAUCAAUCCUUUGAGAAUAUGGCUUGGCAUAUGUGUAUGAAGGUUGAGUGACACUUUCCACUUGUUCCUUGAUGGCUUCUUUGAUGAGUUCCUUCAAUUGAUUGAUGACUGCUUCAUUAGAUUUUUGUUGGAGAUUAUUUUCCACUUCUGUAGUGGAAUUCUCCUCAUUAUCUUGGCGUUGAUUUUGACCAAGAUUCAUUGGUGCCUUUCCAGUAAGGCUACUAAAUUUUGCCAUCAUUGAGGUAAUUUGUUCAUCCUUUUCUCUGAUGCUUGUUGUUAGAGAUUCCACAGUCUUUGCAAGAAGCGCAACUUGUUCUUCUAGAGAUGACAACCAUCAUUCCAGAAUCGACUUUUGAUAAAGAGCUUUGGUGAGGGGAUGAUGAAACAGAGCUACUGCUUGAGUAGCCAUCAUAUUCCUUGAGUUGAUUGGUACUUAAUCCUUUAGAGGAAGCAAGUUGCAUGGUAAGGACUUCUUCGGAACUUGGAGAAGAAGCAUCAUACAAAGGAUUUUGGGUUAAGGACUGUGAGAGUUUGAUCAUACAAUUUAGUAAGAGCUUCUGUUUUUCUCCGAGUACCAUAUGGAUGUGUUGGAACAUCUGUGCUUGAUGAUGAGGUUGGAAAGACUAUAGGAUUCACUCUAGCAGGCUUGACAAUAGGUUUAUUGGCGAUACUCCUCUUACGAGCCAUUUCAACUUGGAGAUAUUUGGAGAUUUGCUUGAAGAAAGAAGAUGAGAGGCAGAGAUUGUCCCACUAGGUGUGCCAGAAAUUUGUACACACAAAUUUCUCGUCGAAAUUUCUUGACUUGAAAAUUAUGAGACAAAUACAAAUAUUUGAUGAAGUGAGUGAUGAUCUCUGGAAAUUACUCUGAUUAAUUUCUUCAAUUCAUCUUCAAGAGUCACAAACUUGGACUUAGUCUUGAUCACGAACGUGCUUGAUCUUCGCGUCAAGGGUCUUCACGACUUAAUCUUCAUACGGACGUACUUGAUCUUCGCGUCAAGGGUCUUCACGGCUUAGUCUUGAUCACGAAUUUGCUUGAUCUUCGUGUCAAGGGUAUUCACGACUUAGUCUUGAUCACGAACUUGCUUGAUCUUCGCAUCAAGGGUUUUCACGACUUAGUCUUGAUCACGAACGUGCUUCACUUAAUAUCUUGAUCACGAACUUCGCUUAAUAUCUUUAUCACGAACUUCGCUUAAUAUCUUGAUCACGAACUUCGUUGUUGCUUGAUCACGAACUUCAUUGUUGCUUGAUCUUUACUUCAGAAAUCUUCUAUUCUUCUUGAUCUCUAAAAUGCUCUCAAUCUUCGAAUGCUCCCAAUCUUCGAAUGCCUCUGAAUCUUCGAAUGCCCCUGAAUCUUUGAAUGCCUCUGAAUGAAUGAAAAUGGCUAGGGGGNCUUCGAAUGCCUCUGAAUCUUCGAAUGCCUCUGAAUCUUCAAAUGCCUCUAAAAUGAAUGAAAAUGGCUAGGGGGAGCCCUCUAUUUAUAAUGUUUGGUGGGAGACUUUAAUGAGAAUGUAAUCUCUUUGAAUUAUCUCUAAAAUUAUUUUAAUUAUUUAGAGAUAAAUCAUGAUGACUCAUAAAUAGUCUUUUGAUUGGUCGGACCUUGAGUCCUUGAAUUUUGAUUGGCCGAAGUUAGGUAUUAUCUCUAAAUUAUCUCAAUUUAUUAGAGAUAAAUUAAAUAAUCCAAUUUGAGUUUUAUCUCUAAAUUAAUAUAAUUAUUAUAGAUAAAUUAAAUGACCAAUAAUUAAAUUUUGAUUGGUCAAAAUAUAAAUAUUAUCUCUAAAUUAUUUUGAUUUAUUUAGAGAUAAAUUGAAUGACUAAUAACUAAAUUUUGAUUGGUCAAAAAUAUGAAUAUUAUCUCUAAAUUAUCUUGAUUUAUUUAGAGAUAAAUUGAAUGACCAAUAACUAAUUUUUUGAUUGGUCCAAUUUAAAUAUUAUUUUCAAAUUAUCUCAAGGGAUAAAUAUAUAUCAAUAAGAGAAUUGGUUCAACUAUAUGUCUUUAAAAUAAUCCAACCAAUAAAUUCAUUAUUUUAUAAUUAAUUACAUGGUUAUGACAUCAUUAAAUCCACAUGGCAGCACGUAAUUGGCUGAUAAUUUUUUUCUCCUUCUACAUAUUGUUGUAAAAAAAAAGUAAGUGAAUCGAAAGAGUUUACCUAUUCAAUUUUCAUCUUCUUUCCUAAGGACUCCUCUGGAAAUAAUUCCUUUGCAACUUGUACAUUUGUUGGUGAUGGUGGCAUUUCCAAUUGGUUGUCUUGGAUUGUCAGCAAUGAUGGUUGGGAACAUAUAGGUUGUUCAUUUGUACAUUUUGGAUGUUGCAGUUGAGGAGUCUGUCAGGUUGGCAAAGUCAAAGAUUUUGAAAAUUGUGAGUCCAGCUUCUAUUGCUUUUCCUGUAAGGCCAACUUUGAAUGUUUUUCUUGCAUUGAUGAGUGUUUUGACAGGAAGUGGAAGUACCAUUUUGUCUAUUGUUUUGAUUGCAACCAACUCACCAAUGGUAGCACCGAUUAGCUUUUCAGCUUGUUGACCAAAAGCAAGCAGUUGAAUUUUUCCAGUUAGAUCUUCAACUAUUAGUUCCAAAAUCAUUCUGCAGUGAAAGUUGAAAAUUUGCAUCAUUUGUACAAUUUAUAAAAAUAAAUUUUUUAGUAAUGCCAAUUGGAAGAAACUUUAAAGGUACUUACGUUAAAACUGGUGUUUUUUCAUCAUGGAUCGGGCACCAAAAUUUGCCAGCACAGAAUCGCAAACCUACUGCACAUUGAUUACAGGCGUUGUAGUACCAUCCGUUUGGUGCUUGAACAUCAAUGAUGUUUGCAGUGAGUUGGAACUUUGUAUUCUAUCAUUUUCAAAAACAAUAUUGUGUGCAUGUAAAAAACAGUAUGAUUUUUGUUUCAUUAAGGAUGUUAAACUACUGAUUUUUGUUUAUUUGUUAGAAAGAGGUAGAAGUAUAUUUUACCAAUGCCUUUUUUGGUUCAAUUGCCAGCAGAUCAGCUACAUGAAUGUCUGAGACUGUGGAUUGUUGUGUAGAGUGAAAUUGAGUGCAUGCUUCCAACAGUUGAAGGUCUGCUUGUAUGGGUUGUUUUUGGUAUCUAGUAAAUAAUGAUGCAUUGUUAGUUUUUUUGUUUUUUCUGUUAAUGUUAAUAUUUAUUGUUGAAUGUAAUAACAAAAGGGUGAUAACAUUACCUUUGUUUGAGUUCAUGGACCUCUGAAAUUUCAGGAUCAAUGUAUAUUCUUAUUGCUGAGCAAGAUGAUGCAUACAAUGAUCCUACAAAUUGGCAGCACUUAUUUGUUAGUAUAUUUUGUAUGUAUAAUAUGCAAUGCUGUUAGUAUAAUGCUAAUAUAAGAUAUACUCACGCAUGUAAGUUUUAAUCAUCAAUCCAGCAAAUGCAAGCACAACAUUUGUGUUUCUCUGUAGUAUUUCUUGUUCUUGAAUGGAUAAUGCUAUAUCUCCAUACAACACAACUUUUAAGCUCUCACAACUGUAUGAAAUUAUGAAAUAGUGCUAGUUAUUAGUUAUGAAAUUAUUGUAGUAUAAUUCUAAAAAUUUCAAAGUUAAUAUUAUUUUUCAUUUACCUUGCAUUUUGGAUGUAGAUGUCUCGUUUUUGAACAGGAACAUCUCUAUUGUUUAGUUGCACUUUUGUUACAGGUGUUAUUGUUGUGACAAUGCCAAUAACAUCUAAUGUUAUUUCAUGCAAAAACAAUUAAGAAAAAAUGAGAAAAGUUGUUGUAAAAUAAACUAUGAUUUUGUAGUGUAUUUUUAAGGUUACCUGUCAAGAUUUUUUUUUUUUAUAUCUUAUCAGGAAGAUCUUUGAAGUGAACAAAAUUGAAGUAGUAGUCUGGAUAUUGAGUGUUGUCUUCAACAAUUUCUUUUACUUCUGACAUUCUUGAUAGAACUAUCAUCAGGUCUUCAGGAAGAACAUUGAAGUUGUGCUUUGAUUUCAUAAUUCGAUACUUGUCAAUGAGAUAGACAGCACCUUCUUUCAACAUUGGUAUAAAUAGAGGUGCAUCAAAACCUCUAAUCAUCGCUUGCAUAACAUUUUUCUGUGAGUAGGAAUAAUGAUUAAGUUAAAAACUUGUUUUAUUGUUUGAUAUAUUGUUUUUUACAAUUAGGCAGAGAAAAUGGUGUUGUGAAAUUUACCUUGACAUCAGCAAUUAAAAAGUCAAGACUGAGUAGAUUUUUUGGAUUGUUUGGAGUUGUAGAUUUCCAAAUCCUAAGAAUCUUGACUUUGAUUGGUGUUGGUGGUUUGAACAGCUGUAAGUCAAUAAGAUAUUCAUUAUCCAUUUCUUCCUGCAAAAGCAGAAUGGAAAAAGGUAAUUAGUUUUCAAUUGAAACAGUAAUCAUAAUUGGUAAAAAUUAUAAUCAAUGGAGUUAGUAGUUAUGGACAUUAGGUUGUAAGAAUAUGAAAUAUAAAAAUUUAUUUUACACUUAAAAUGAAUAAUAAUAUUCAAGUAUAAUAAACAAAAAGAUAUUAAUUAAAUCAACAAUAUGUACAGGAAAUAGUGCAGAAAAUAAAAUACUAUAAAUAUCAAAUAUAAUCAAUUUGUAGUCAAUAAAGUAUAAUAUAGGAAAGAAAACAUAGAGAAUUGUCUUAAAGAAAGGAAGAAAUUGCAAUGACCUGGUUGUAAAUGGAUACAGUUUGCAACAGAUUAUGAGAUCCACAAAUGAAACAGCUAAUAAUGUAGUAAAAGUUGAGGUGCAAAAGAUAAGAGGAUCUAAUUAGAUAAAAGGUACUAAUGCUGAGGCUAAGGAAUGUUAGAAAGAAAGAGGUUGUAUGCAGUUAAGCAUGAUAGGGAUUUGUUGGAUUGUUAGUGUUUUUGUGUCUGUCAGCAACAAAAUGUUUUUCUUAUUGCUAAGUUCUUUUGUUGAAAGUGAAUUUGUUUUUUUGUGUCUUUUUAAUUGAAAUGCAGGGUUGUUUUGUUUUUGAGUGCUGUGUGGUCUCUUUGGGAAAAAGGAUGGAAAGCUGUAGGUUUUUUUGUUCCCUAUAGCUCUAUACAGGGGUUGACACCUAUACUACGAAUUGUCUGUAUGUAUUUGGUUGUAUAGUUUUAUGAUCAAUACAAAUUUUUUGAACUUCAAAAAAAUAUUUGAUAUUUGAAAAGUAAUAGAAUAAAAGAAAGGAAAAUAAUAAAAACAAAUUCUUAAACACUUCAAAUUGAAACAUCUUAUCAUGAAACUGAUAAAUAUCAAAAUUAUAUGGAACAAUCAAAACAAUAAAAUAGUAAAAAAAAACAGAGGUCUUCUUAUUAGUUAAAGAACAACCAAACCAUAACAGAAAAAUUGACUUAGACAAAAUAAAGUAUUCCUGUAGCUUAUAUAUUGUAAAACUUAUUGUUUUAUGCACAUAGAAGAUACAAAACAUAAGCUAACAUUAAACUAUUGAAAGAAAAAAAAGAAUCCCUAACAAUCAGUGAAGAAAAAAAAAGAAUAAUAAGAAAAAAGUACAGUCUUUGGAAACUAAUGGAAUACAAAAAAAUCAAAUAGCAGAACAUACACAAACGAAAACCAGUGAACAAUAUUAGACAAAGUAAAUGUUUGUAUUACAAAUAAACACAAUCUAACUAUAAUAACAAAACCAAAAAAAUACAUCAUUGAUAAUCAAUCAAAAACAAAAAACAAUAAUAAGAAAAAAAUAGAACCUUUCGAGAUGAGUGAAACAGAUAAAAACAAAGAACCAGAAUGUAGAUAAACCAAAAAGGCAAAGAGUAAUCUAGAAGCUAAACGUGUCUCUUAUAAACAAAAAGAAAUAAAUGUGUCUCUUACAAAGAAAAAAAAAGUAUAAUAUUUAUAAUACAAAAAGGCAAAGGAAUUGGAAAAACUGAUAAAUAGUGGGACAAACUCAAAUGACCGGUCAAUAACAGUGCCUGCAUUAACAUAAAAAUUAUACAGAAAAGUCAUGCCAACUGACAAUUGACAUGACGAAGGAAGAGAAUAUAAAUUUGUAUAUACUUUAUGGUUUUCUUGUUUCUAAUGAUCAAAACGACACAGUUUCAAAAACUAAUAAAACUCUAACAGCAAAACCCAACCUCUCACAGUAGUACCUAAAUCAAAAUCCACUAAAUAAGUUAACUAUUCAAUGUUCCUAAAAAUUUUCUGAUUUUAUCUAUCAGGAACAUAAGAAUAUGAUCAAUCGAUACUGAUAGAACCACAAUUUAUGAACACAUAUAACCACAACUUAUAUUAAACGAUGUGAACUAAAAAUAAAUGGGAUAUGUAAAUACCUUUAACAUAUAAUAAUGUUAAAUUCAAAAUGCCACCCCCUUCCCAAAAGGCAAAACUGUGGUGUAUAUCAUAAACCUUUGCCAUAUCUAUUUGAUAAAAAUCAAUCUCAAACUAUUUGCAUAAAAUUGACGAAAAUCUUUAUAAUAGUAAAAUAGAGAACAUGAUUACCACUUAGAUAUCAAUUAAAGGAACGCCACUACAGUAUGAAAAAACAAAGUUAGACAUGAAUAAUAAAUCGUAGCAAUCAAACUCAACGAAAUGUUAAAAAUCCUUUAAUUCAGACUAAAUACUGUUCAAUAGUUAAACAUAGCAUUUGUUUUUUCACAAAAAGACUGAAUAUUCAAAAAUAAAAUAGCAAAAAGAAUAAAGUGAGCUUCAAAAAGAGUGAAAUAUGCAAUAUUAAUAAAUUUAAUUUUUCCUAAACCCCUCCCUCAGUCCAACCAAAAUUAAGAAGAUAGUGAUAAAACGACAAUAAAUCCCAAUUGCAAUAACAAAUAGUGAAUCAUAUAAUACAAAAACAGAUGAUAUGCUUAGAGUGGUUAGGUCUUGUGACGAUCAUCAUCGGAUGAUUCGGCAAGACCUUGGACUUCUUCGAUCUGUAACUCCUUGCCAUCGAGCUCUAAAAUCUGUUGGAUCUAUCGCCUUUCUACUUCCUCUCUUAUUUCCUUGUUUUGAGCACUUUGCUGUUUUUUCUCUUUUUUCUCUUUUCAUUACCUUGUCCCUGCCACCGAAACCGUCGCCCACCCCACAACAAUUUUCCCUUGGGAAACUGAAGAACCGUUCAUUCCUUCUUCGCCCACUCUCUUCCCAAUCAACCAAAAACGAUUUAUUGCCCUACCUUUCCCCAUUAACCAACAAAAAACAAUCGAAUUCUUCUCUCCUUUGCCUCCGUUAAACCUUUCAACCACUGCAGUUCUUCAUCCCUUCCUUUUUCAACUUUUUUUGUUUUCUCUACUUCUUUCAAUAACUUCCGGCUGUCCCUAUCUUCUUGUUGUUCUUCUCCUUUCGUUGGAUACAAAUAAAACAAAAAAAAAUCUAAAAUGACUUGCUUCCUAUUGUUCUUCUUUUUUCCUUGCAGGUGAACAAAAGGGAAAAAGAACCAUAAAAUCACUCACCGUCCUCAGCUAAUAACAGGAAAAAACAAUCUAACCCCACCAAAGGAGCAAAACGACGUUGUUUUUAUCAAACAAAGGGGCAAAAGGCAAGAGUUGACAACCUGAAAACGACGUCGUUUGGAUGGAAGAAAAAAAAAUAGAACAUCCAAUUGAAUGACACUUGUCAUUCAAUUGGACAUACAAUUGAAUGAAAUUAAAACAGUGACUCCUGAUUCUCCUUUUAUAUAUAGUAUAGAUAUAUAUAUAUAUAUAUAUAUAUAUAUAAUCCACUCACCUGGAAGAUACAACUUCCAAAAAGUGGUGAAGCAGAGUGGAAACUGCUUUGAUGCAUGCUUCCUGAGUCAAUGCGCAUUUGACUGAAAGCAAUGAAACUUUUAAAGCGAGGUUUGGAUCGAUUGAUAAAAAAAUUAUCAAUAAAAAUAAUAUAUAAAAGAUAUAGUAUUUAAUUUUUACUGAAGGGUAGUCUUAUUAUUUUUUUAAUGUCAUUUAAGAAAAAAAAGAGGUGGUCAAGGUGUAGAAGGAGAAAAAUUAUCAACCAAUUACGUGUCGCCACAUGGAUUUAAUGAUGUCAUAAUCACAUAAUUAAUUAUAAAAUAAUUAAUUUAUUGGUUGGAUUAUUUUAAAGACAUAUAGUUGAACCAAUUGGUAUAUAUUUAUCCAUUGAGAUAAUUUAAAAAUAAUAUUUAAAUUGGACCAAUCAAAAAAUUAGUUAUUGGUCAUCUAAUUUAUCUCUAAAUAAAUUAAAAUAAUUUAGAGAUAAUAUUUAUACUUUUGACCAAUCAAAAAUUAGUUAUUGGUUAUCCAAUUUAUCUCUAAAUAAAUCAAAAUAAUUUAGAGAUAGUAUUCCUAUAUUUGACCAAUCAAAAUUUAAUUAUUGGUCAUUUAAUUUAUCUCUAAUAAUUAUAUUAAUUUAGAGAUAAAAUUGGAUUGUUUAAUUUAUCUCUAAAUAAAUUGAGAUAAUUUAAAAAUAAUACCUAACUUCGGCCAAUCAAAAUUCAAAGACUCAAGGUCCGGCCAAUCAAAAGACUUUUAAUGAGUCAUCAUAAUUUAUCUAUAAAUAAAUUAAAAUAAUUUAGAGAUAAUUUAAAGAGAUUACAUUCUCAUCAAAGUUUCCCACCAAACAUUAUAAAUAGGGGGCUCCUCCAAGCCAUUUGAUUCAUUUAGAGGCAUUUGAAGAUUCAGAAGCAUUCGAAGAUUGGGAGCAUUCGAAGAUUGAGAGCAUUUCAGAGAUCAACAAGAAUAGAAGAUUUCUGAAGUUAAGAUCAAGCAACAACGAAGUUCGUGAUCAAGAUAUCAAGCGAAGUUCGUGAUCAAGAUACUGUGUUCAUGAUCAAGAUUAAGUCAUCAAGACCCUUGAAGCGAAGAUCAAGUGUUCGUAAUCAAGAUUAAGUCGUCAAGACCCUUGAAGCAAAGAUCAAACAAAUUCGCAAUCAAGACUAAAUCCAAGUUCGUGACUCUUGAAGACGAAUUGAAGAAAUUAAUUAGAGGAAUUUACAGAGGUCAUCACUCACAUCAUCAAAUAUUUGUAUUUGUUUCAUAAUUUUCAAAUCAAGAAAUUUCGACGAGAAAUUUGUGUGUACACAAGGAUCUAAAUUUUUCUUUAAUUCAAUGAAGAAAGAAAAAAAAAAAGAAAUCUCACCCCCAAGAGCUGGUGAAGGAAUGCUGGAGCCUCCUUUAAUACUUCAUAAGCAGCCAAGGAGCCUUGAAUGAAAACAAUUAAAGAGACUCAUAAAUUUAUAGCACUGUAGAAAAGUUCUUUUAAAGGCUUGAAGCAAGGAAUGUCCUUGAAAUGAAAAGAAAAGAACCAAAUUAAAAGCAAGCAGUCAUAAAGAUGGAUUCUAGACCUUAGUUUUGUAUAACCAACAAGGACAAGUAACAAAUAGUGUCGUCUCAUGAAAUAUGAGUUUAAAGGAAUAUAUCAAGGCUUAUGGUGCAAAAAGUGCAUGUAAAAUAUUAUUAAUUACUCUUAUUUUGUUAAUUAGUGUUCUAAUUAAUUAAGAACAAUUACUAAAAUGUUAUUUUUUACAUUUUAAAACAAAAAAUUAUUUUUAUUUCAAAUGCAGUAAUUGAUAAAUAGAUAGAUUGAUGAUUUAGGAUACAUUGAAUGAAAAUAUUACUUUUAAAAAUAACCUUACAAGUAAUCUUUGCGGUGCAUAUCAUAUGCAUCCACGUGUAAUUCUAUUUUUCCUUGGAGCAUCUUUACGAGUGCAUAUGCAUCCACAUCUAAUGCUAUUCUUCCUUCACGCAAUUGUCUGUUAGAUUCUCAAGGGAGAAGACGAGCGUAUUUCAUCAACAAAUUCAAAGAAGAAACAAGCAGGAGUGGGAAAAUUUUAUUACUUGGGAAUUUCGUUAUUUUUUCAAAUUGUCAGAGGCCUUACAACUCUAAAAGUUACAAUUUCCAUACUAAUUAGCUUGGUCCAAGACUCUUGUCUUGGACUUAUGGUGGGCAAUGGUAAAUCAAGAUCCUUUUGGAAUGAAAAGUGGACUGAUGACACUGGAAAUGAAAGCCUAUUGACUUUGUUCACAAGUGAAUUAAUGGAAUUUUUAGAGAACGUUUGUAAGUCUCAAGUUUUCUAAAUUUUUUUAAGUGAAAAUAAUUAUGAGCUUUGUCAAAAGCUUUGGAGAGAAUCCUAAUAUUUAUUUUCACAACGAAAAUUAUCUCGAAAUAAUUAUUAUUUUUUUAAGUUAGAAGAAUCUCUCGGGGGUAAUAAAAAAUAUAUGAUUCGAUCAUCUAUUAUUUUUUUUGUCAAAAUAAGAUAAUUUUAUUAAUAUAUAAAAAUCGAUACAAUUACUAAUAUCCCAAUUAAAUAAUUAUAAUGAUAUAGAUAAAUAAAUGUGGUGUAGGAAAUCGUGAAAAAUUGGCAGAUUGCAUCAUGAUGCAUAUUUGAUUUCAUCAUACGAAAGCCAACCAAUGAUGGAUUUUUAAAGAAAUCAUAGGUGAAAACUUUCUUGAAAAUUUUGAGAUCAGAAAAUUUUCUAAAAUUUCAUCAAAUUAUUUUAAGUUUAGAUUUCUUUCCAAUAUCAGGGGUUUUCAUUUACCCAAGAGAUAAAAGUGUCAUUUGUUUAUUUCAAGAGAUAAUUUUAAGGCAAGAAAAUAAACUAGUUUCUUAAAAUUCUAGGAUAAUGACAAAAAGUCAAAAAAAUAAUAAUAAAGAAUAGAAUUGAGAAAAAUAAAACAAAAAUAGAAUAGGUUAAAAUCAAAGUCCUUUUCCACAAAAUAUUCAAUGAAUCCAAUAAUGGAGCUUCUUCAAGGAAAUAAGAAUAGGACAUAUUGAAUGAAAAUAUUACUUUUAAAAAUAACCUUACAAGUAAUCUUAGCAGAGCAUAUACGUCCGCAUAUGUAAUUCUAUUUUUCCUUUGAGCAUCUUUAGGAGUGCAUAUGCCGCCACAUCUAAUGCUAUUCUUCCUUCAAGCAAUUGUCUGUUAGAUUCUCAGGGCAUAGCAUGGAAAACAAGGAACCUAUGUCAUCAACAAAUUCAAAGACGAAACAAUUCAUUAAUGUACAAACAGGAGUGGGCAAAUUAAAAAUUAAAAUAAACACAUAUUCAUAAAGUAUAAGAUAAUCAAGAAAAUACCGACAUCCUAAUAAUUAUGAUAAGUGGAUUCUUGACACUGUGAGAAGGAAAGAAUGGCAGUGGAGCAUUGAACUACAGAGACAAUUGCUUUGGUCACAAGUAAAUCAAUGGAAUUUUCAGAAAACGUUGUAAAUAUCAAAUUUUUUUAGUGAAAAUAAUUAUGAGCCUUGCCAAAAGCUUUGGAGGGAAUCCUAAUAAUUAUUUUCAUAAAGAAAAUUAUCUCUAAAUGUAAUAUCUCGUGCCUUCGUUUAAUUAUCAAUAAGAUCGUGUCGAUAAAACGAAAGGUCACUUGCUGCAAAUUUAAGUGUCGAAAAAUAGUUACGGGUGAAACGAAUAUUUUAAAAUAAAAUAAUAUCAAAAUGUCAAUAUUUUAUUAAUCACAAAAAUUAGUCUGAAAGGAGAGUAUAAGACUAAUUUAAGUGAGCGAGAAGAGGUAAGGAAGAAUUGUGGAGAAAAAUGACGGUAAUUGUACCGCGUGAUUUUAUUAAAUCGAGUUAACGUGGGUAAGUAAAUAUUUAAAUAUUAUAUUGACACCGCGUUGAAGUGUAACUUUAAUAUUUUGAUUGUAUACAUGUGAAAGAAGAAAAAGAGAAGGAAAUUAGAAUUUUUAAACGUGUUGAAAGGAUUAAAUUUUAAAAUAUAAAAAUUAAAAAGUUAUGUAGUAAAUAAAAUGAAAUUGAAGAUUUAUAUAUAAAUUUUAAUAUUUAAAAAAUUAAAAUAAAUAAAUAAUAAUAAAAUAAAUAAUAAAAUAAUUGAGAAAUGAUGGAUGAGGAUAAAGAAAAGUCAAAUAAGAGGUAAAGUGAGAUAAAGUGGAGAAAUAGAAAGAAAAUAGUUGAUAAGUACAUUAACUUGUCCAAUUUAUCUUUAUAUGUGAAAAGUCAAUAUCAAAUAAAUUAUUAUCUUUUUCCUUCUCACCAUAAUCGACACUUUAAGAAACAAAGAGUCAAAACCAUUUUAAGGCAAGUGUGUUAAAAGGUGGGCCGGCCAAGUAAACAAAACUAUGAUAAAAGAAGUAGAUAGAAAAAGGGGUGGGGGAACAUUGACAAGAAACUUGUCAUGUGUCGACCCCAUCAUGAAGCAACAUUAGGCAAGCCUUUCUUUUGUCUCUUUCAUUUUAUCAUCAGCCAAUUGAGAAGAUAAAAAAAAGGGAGAAAGAGCCGAUUGUGAGUGAAAGAUGUGGGGGCCGGCCAGUGCAUAUAAUGAAAGAAGAAAUGAAACAAAUAAAAAAAAGGAUGAUGGGACAAGAGAUGUCCGGUUUUUCUCCCCCAAACGGCAGCACAUGAAAUUAAUAUUUAUUUGUCCUUUUUUCUUGCAUCAGCCGGCCAAUUAAAAAAAAAUAAAAAGAGAGAGGAAGAGAGUGGUCUGGAGAGUUGGGACCCGAGAGACAGAAGGAAAAUCUGCCAAGCCGGGAACAAAAGGAAAGAAAAAGAGAGAAGGGAGUUCGGCCAGACCAGGAGAGAAAAGAGAAGGAAGAAAGGACAGAAAAAGAGAGAUGGAAGUUCGGCCGCACCAAAGAAAGAAAAGAAAGAAAGAAAGGGAGGAAAAGAAAGAGAGAAAGCUGGACUUGUGGUGACCGGGUUUUGAUGAGAGAGAGACAGAGAGAGCUUGUGCUGUCCAUCGAUACUGGUUCAUGAGAAGGCCGGCUGGAACAAGGAGGAAGAUAAAGGGAAAGAGAAGAAAGGUGGAGACUUGGUCCACUCAGCCCAAAUGAGAAGUACGAAAGUAAAGAUAGUGUAUUGUUGCGGUACGUCGGAGCAAGUAACGAGCAAUCGGUAAAUAGAAAUAGUGAUGUAAUGUCUCAUUAUUGUAAGGUGCGCAGGAAAUGUUUAUUUUAAAAUUUUUGUAAUUAUAUAUAUAUAUAUACAUAAGUAUGAUUUAUUUUACAUGUAAAAAUUAUGAAAAAUAUGAAUUGAUAGAAUUUUAAGAAAUUUUGUGAUUGUUAUGAUUUUAAAAGUGUUUUGAGUAUAUAGAAUAAAUUAUACAUAAAGUGUUCUAAAUCAAAAAAUAAGCUCUUCAAGAUGAUUUAUAUCUAAAAAAUGUGUCUUAUUAUUUGUGUGGUGUGUAUUUAUAGAAUUUAUUACAUAUUUAUCAUGCUAUUUUAGUAUAAAAAUAUCAUGCAAAUAUUUACAAUGAAAAUCUUAUGAAAAGAGGGUUUUAGUAUGAUACGGUGAUCAAUAUUUUGAGAAUAAUUUAAAAUAAUUUUUUGAAAAUCAAAUUUGAAUUUUUAAAAUGUUUUUGUUUAAUCGAGAGAUUCGAUAGUAGAUCGGAUAUCACAUCGGUUAAGUGUGAUUCUCGUGCACGAAUGAGCUCUAGUUAGUGAACUUUCGGAUUGUCAACGGAUGAAUAGGCGUGGCGGGGGUCACAACCUGUGAUGUUUGUGUGCGUGACUAGGCCACCAGUGAUAAGUGGUUGCGACCAUUUGAUAUCUUCGAUGUUGGUCAACAUCGUUGAGACUGUCAUGGCAAUGUGGGUAUCUGGUAGAAGUGAUGCUCCCGGAUGUUAUUACGUGGUAGCGGGAUCACGAGUUUAUUUCUAUUCCCUACUUGAGAGUGGCAUCUUUGAGUUUUCAAACUCAUAUUUCUUUAUAUGGUGAAAACGAAAUUAAACGGUUUUUCCGCAACUUUCUUAUUUUUACGGUGAAAUGAAUUUUAACUUCUCGAAUACGAGGCGAUUUGUGAUUUACAUGUAAAUUUAAAUAACAUUCAAUUUUAUAGGAGCUUGUCCGAAUUUAUUAAUUUGAUUUGAGUAAAAUGUCAAUUGAUUUCGACGGUGAUAUUCUUUUAUGUACAAUUGUUUUAAAUCAAUAUUUCAAAUGAUUGUCUUGAAAAAGGUUAUUGAUUUGUUUUUGAGUGGAAACUUUUAUCUGCUUUGAUUGAUUUACCACUUGAAAUGAUUCCAAUGCAUAAGAAAUUCUCACUUUUUCAUACAAGGCACAAACUACCGUUCGAAAUAAAUAGUUUUUAUAAUCUUACAUUUUAAUAUUCAAAAUUAUCUGUUGUUUACUUGUUUCCCAUCUACGUCUUAUUCAUGGAACCGAUGAUUACUGAAUCUGUGACACUCACACCUCUCUUUUUCCCUUUUUGCAGAUAGGGAUCGGCAUAGCGUGUAAUCAUCGGCGCGUAUGGUUCACUGUGGAUAGGUAAAGGCAUCUCAUAGCAUUUUUUCUCGAGUCGUUUCGUUGUUAAAGGUCGAGUUGUAGUACUUUGGUAUUAUUAUGUAAAUAAAUAUUAGUUUUGAUAUAAAUUGUCAAACCCUGUUCUAUAAAAUAAUUAUGACGUCAUUUACAUGCUCAAUCGAAUAUUUGCAUAUUUAGGAAUUUCGAGAAAUCGUUAAAAGACGAUAUUGCUCCUAACAGUACUAUUAAGUCGAUUAAAUCUCGAAUUAGUUCAAAUAAGAGUUUUAAGCUAAAAUUAAGAGUUUCACGUUCUAGGGAUGACUCAAAAUGGUAAUUCAGAGUUCGAUGAUCAAUUUGGAGUCAAACCAAAAUUUUCACUAUCUAGGGGCAAAAUGGUCAUUUGUCACUUGGGGACAAAAUGAGAAUUUUAAGAAAAGAUUUUUUUUUGGCCCCAUUUAACUUAUUGGAGUAUGAUUUGAGUAUUAGAGUAUAAUUUGAGGGUUUGGCAGUGAAAAAGUUUAAUUCCGGUGAUUUUUAGAGUGUAGGGGCAAAAUCGUAAUUUUUUCACCGACAGACAAAAUUUGAGAUUUUGAGAGAAAUUAGAUCACAUUUGACAAAUUGGAGAAUAGUAUGAGUAUAAGGGAUGAAAAAUAUAUCAAUGGGUAAUUUUUCAAUUUUUGAAGUAAAUGUAAUUUUUGACUUUUGCGGGAGUAAAAGUGUAAAUUUUAAAAAUUACUCCACCAAGACUUUGGAUGAGUCUGAGAAUUUUAUCUAAGCUAUGGAUAUAUGGGACAAGUGUAUGGUGAAAAUUUGGAAACAAAUGGAUGGCUAGAAUUUAAGAAAUUAAUAAAACAAAAAAAAUGAAUAAAAUAAUAUUAUCUUAUUUUAGCCUUUAAAAAGGUCAAAAUUUUCAGAAUCUCAUCUUCUUCAAGCCGUCCAAACCAGGAGGGAAAAGGGGGAAAAGAAAUAAGAACCCUAGCUGAAAAUUUUGGGGAAAAUCAAGAGAAAUCAAGAAAUUAAGCAUUAAAAAGGUAAAUUUCAUUGAUUUUCCUUGUGAUAUUCACUACCCAUGCAUUUUUUUCUCAUUUUCAUGCAAAAUUAGAAAGUGGGUAUGGACACCCAUGCUGGCCAAACCUCCAUAGAUGAGUUUUGAGCUUGAGUUUUAGUUGAUUUUAAUUGAAUUAAGUAAUUUUAGUUAGGUUAUAUUGAAAUAUAACAAAAAUAAGUUAGAGAAAUAACUUUCUCCCAUUGAAACCCAUUAUGCCGAAUUUUUUAGGGGAAUAUUGGCUGCUGAUCUUGAUGUUUUAUUUGAGGAAUUAUGAUGAAUAAUGAUGAAUUAUGAGCCUAGAAAAAUAAUGAGAAUUUUCGGAGAAAAAAUAUGAAUUUUUACCCACUAGGGGUAUUUUCGUAAUUUGCUAUCGAGACUGAUAAUUUGCAUCACACUAAGGGACAUUAAGUCAAUUUGGGUGCAAUUGAGGUAUAGAAACUGAAAAAAAUUAAUUUGGAGUUUAAACAGACGCAUAUAUCGAUUUAUCGGGUAAAAGAUUGAAAUAGGCUAACAUCACGUUUAGGUAAAAUUUAGACAUUUUGCACUUCAUAUCAUGCAUUAGUAGCAUAAAAUUAGUUUAUUUUGGUUUAGUACCAAAGUAGUAAACCUCUUAAUUGUGCAAUUUGUCAAGGUGGCGAAUCCUCUUGUAAGGGCAAAGAAAUCGCACCCGAGAAGUAAUAGUUGGAGUACUCGAAUUUAGUUUUCGAAAACUGUGAGUAAACUUAUUAUCGUCUUAAUUAUCUAGAGUAGUUUUAUACAAUUGUGUGAUUUUAUGAAAAAUGGGUUUAAAUGGUAAAUUGCUAUGUUUUAGAAGAAAUUGUGAUUUUAUAAAAUGAUUUUAUAAAUUUUCUAAAAAAUCGAAUACUAUUUUUGAAAAUAGAGUAAUUGGAGACUGCCUACUUGUGUUGUAAAAUUAUGAUUUGAAUUAAAUGGCUUGUGAUAAAUUGGCAUGAUUGGCUGAAUUUAUACUUGUGUUGAAAAAUAUGAACUGUCUGUUUUGCCUUGAUAAAUUGGUUAGUAAUGUAAUUGCCAUACUAUGCCAUUGAGAUUUGAUCAAUUGGUGGAUUAUAGAUUAGCUAUUGCAGUGGUGGGGGGUUCCGUGGACCAGCCUAUUAGAGGGGCACGGUAAACUCCUUUAUAUUCUCACCUCGGUCGUAGAGGCGCGUAAGGUAUCUCCUGAGGUGGACUUUUUGAGUGUACUUUACGUUAACCACCACGUGAGAGUGAGACUCAGCCAACGCCAAGGAACGGUUGUGAUGUUCAACGAAAAAUGUGUUUUAUGCGAAAUAUGAAUUUUUAACAGCCUUGGUGGUCUCAGUGGGAUACCUUGACGAAGGUACCCGCGAGAAUGAUUUUGGCAGGAGUCAAGUUUUGUGAGAUAUAUAAGCCAUGUUGAUUAAUUAAGUAAACUGAAUAUUCAUGUUAUGAAAUAUAUAUUGGAAAAGAAUAUUUUAAUUCGUCUCCAUUUACUCGUCUUUAGAUAGUUUAGAUGGUGUCUGUUUACUCACUGAGAUUUUAUAAUCUCACCACCCUCAAUUCCCCACAUUUUAGUCUUGGGAUAGCCGGUAGAUAGCCGAUUGCAUCAAGGAAUUCAGUUAGCCUUGCAUCGACAAAAUUGUAGGUUCACAGACUCGCAUCUUAUUGGUUAAUUGGAGGCCCACGUGUCAUUGUAAAAGUAAUUUUAUACUUUAGUUAUUUGAUUGAAAGUAUGUAUGAACAUAUUUAGCUUUUACACCAUGUUUUUGGUGGGUUUUGGUGUUUUCGAAAAAAAAUAACGAAAAUGCCCCCAUGAGUUAGAAAAUAAUAUUUUAUUGUUUUGAUUUGAAAAAGACUUAUGAUUUCUUGAAAUGCGAGAUUUAAUAACUGUCGCUCACUGGGGAGAUGCAUAAGCUGAUACUAAGUCUUGCGGGGUUUCGAUCGGUAUUCGGGGUAAUAAGUGCCUAUCGAGACGUCGCGGAGGUUGUCACGGGCCCGAUGGAGAGUUCCGGGUCGUGACAUAAAUGAAAAUUUGAGAUUUUUUUUGAACUCAAUGUAUUUAAUCGUGAUGUUAUGACUUAAAGAUCAAAAUUGAAUUACUAUGCUUAUUGUUGAAUUUAUGUUAUAAAUAUAUAUGGUUUAAGUAUUAAUACGGUUUAGUAAAAGUGUACAAUGAGUUAUUGAGCAAUUUCAUUAAGGCUUGCUCGGGGACUUGAGGGGAUCUCUCAGAGGUCUCGGAUGUCGAUAGCGACCAAAGAAGGGUCAUUACACUAAAAACUUAUAAUAAUAUAGAUAAAUAAGAAUAAAUGUGAGAAACAAAUUUGUGAAUAAUUUGCAAAAUGCAUCAUGAUGCAUUUUUGUUUUAAGAUUAUAUAUAUAAAAUAAAUUAUUUUGUAACAUAAAUUUAGAAUUUGAUGGUAUAUUUCAUCAGUGGUUAGGUUGAAGAGUAAUUAAGACUGUAAUUGUGUCUAAAAAAAUUAAAAAAAAAAAGAGGGAGGAAGAUUGAUACGUAGCAACUACUUCAUAUAGAAACUUAAAACUAUAUAUGAGGGCUUUGGCAUAUCCCUUACAGGUUCAGCCACCCUCUAGGGUUAGGAUUAUAGCCCCAGCUCUUUCAUAUCCCUAUAUAUAUAUAAUAUAUAUAUACUAAUAUAAUAUAUAUAUAUAUAUUAAUAUAUAUAUAUAUUAAAACUAAAAAAGAAAACUCGAGUGCUUUAUUGAAUGAUUUUGAAUAUUUAGUUUUCUAUGGUUUGCAAAACAAAUAUUUAUCAUACAUUUUUGUCAAGGAAAGAAGAAUUAUGGUGUAUGAAAUGGUAAAUUAAAAUAAUUUUUUUAAAAAAAUAAAAUAAAAUUGUGCUCAAAUUACAAAAUCUAAAAUCAAAUACUUUAUUUUGAAUAUAAGAAUGUGCUGAAAUUACAAUGAAAUACACUGGUAAACUAAAAUAAGCUUCAGGACUCUGAUUCGGUAGAGUGGGUUGCUUGCCCAUCUGGAGGAAAGUCAAGAGGACUAGAAGUUUUAUGCGACCCGAAUUUUUUGUGACAAUUCUGUCGUGGUUGGCGAAGCUGUCUUAACACACGCGUAGUAUGGACAGCAUUGUAAGGCAUUUCUUUUUUUUGAAAAAUGAUGUUAUGAGCCUCAAACACCAAUAUGUCAUUCCAAAUCUCUUGCUUGUUGUAAUAGAUUUUCCAUGGCAUAUUAAUAUGGUUCGGGUAUUGAAAAGUUGUACAUUUAUAUGAUCCAUAACACCUCAGCACUGUAAAGCGUUAAUUGUAUUGUUGCAGGAGACGUAAAUACCUGAUGCAAGUGAUAGAGUUUUGGUGCUCUUAUAUGUUGCUUUGAGUGGUGGUUGGUGGUUGGUGAUUGCUCUUAUAUUGUGAUUGCCAAUUUCCUUGUACGGGGAUUCUCACAGGUCUUAUUUAGAUAUUAGGAGGUAAUUGCUUUAUGGUUGAUUUUGUUCAUAAGCUUAUAUUGGCGGAAGGUGUUUUAGGGGGUUUUUGUUUUGCUUUGAUUUUAUCUAUGAGGCUGUGUGUGCGAUGGGAUUGUACUUGGGCAGGUGGCGAAAUGGUGUAGUUGUUGCAUUUUUUUAGUGGGGAUCUGGGUGAGACAAUGGGGCGAUAUAGUGACUGAGUUUAUUUGGUUUUGUUGAGGUGAGGUUUCUUCCAAAAGUUACGGCUGUGUCGUGGUUCUCCUUAUAUGAUUACAGUGGUGUUGUGAGUUUUUUGCAAGGGAUAUAAUUUGAUAGAUUUUCUUGGCGGCAGGGGAGCAUAUCUGAUUCUACGUUGUCUUUAGGAUACGUUCACUCGGCAGGAUUUGGAUGUUUACUGACUAGGUUGGAUUCUUGGUGUUGUUUUUGAUGGCUAGGGCUAUGGAAAUUGCUGUUAUAAGGACUAUGGUGUUCGUAUCAGGUGUUUUCCUCCUUGUCUUGAACAGUUCCUCUCAUAUGAACUGUCUCUUUUCAUUACUUGGCUUUAUGCAAAGUUGACAAAUAAUCUGACUUGAGUAAACAAUAAAUAAAUAUUAAAACUAAAAAUCAAAAACUCAAAUUUUUUUAUUGAAUAAUUUUGAAAAUAUAAACCAUUGAAUAUCUAAUAGAAAUGUGCUUAAAUUACAAGAUCCAAAAUGAAAUACUUGACCUAAAUAUAUGAAUGUGCUUAUGCCAAUUGACGGUUUGUAGGGAGUUGGCCAUCGCAUAAUUUCCUAUCUUGGUAUUGGCCACUGAUGCCAAAAUGUGCCAUAAGAAGGCAAACGUGAGUGAGCAGUUCUCCGCCUUUGGCGAGUUGUCGACCAUGCUCUUUCCAUCCACAAUGACCUGCGGCAUAUGUCAAUAGUUCCACCCACACUUUAUUCAUCAUCUCCCACUUUUCUUCCCUCCACCAGUUUCUCUUGCUCAGAUUUUGCAAUUUUUCCGCAAGAUGGUAACCAUUCCGAAUAAUACUAUAUUGCUGAGAUCGAAGUAGUUCCAAUUUUUGACACCCUUCAAGCAACUCUUGGUAGGCUUCUUCUAUUUGUAUGCCUUUCCUUCCUUUAAAAAAAUCGAAGACGUCCUCACAGGCCAUUCUGUAUCUUAUUUCACCAAUCCCUUUGGGCAACAUAUUUGAACAAAAGACCAAAAGAUAAAGCAUGUACUCCGAUAGGCAUCUGCUGAUUUUACUGCAGUUGAGACUAUCGAGAUCAGUUGUCUUAAUAUAAUCGUGGUAACAGAGCUGGGUAGCAAAGUGCCAAAGAAGAAUGCUUUCGUCAAAUUCUACAUCAAUGGUGCUCCAUUUAAGCUCAUCGAGGAGCUUCAUUUCAUUAAGUACACAUUCACCUCUGUAAUUCAAUAGUUUGAUGCAUGAUAUGCGACCAGAGUAAAUUUCAAGCUCUUCAGUUCUCCUAUGUAGAUGAUGGAAGAUAAGGCGUUUUAGAUCGUCAUCUAUCCCUUGCUGCCAUUCCACAUUCUGAUGCUUCUCUAACAUUUCAUAGAUGCCAAGUAACUGUUGAACUUUAAUCCACAUGGUUGCCUCCUUUGGAAGGCAAAAGCUCACAAGGUUGUACUUGGCUAUGCUUCUCGACCACCUCUUAUAUUUUGUCACUUGUUCUAAAGAACAUUUUUUUCGCGCAACCAGAUAAAGCUUUAGCCAGUCAGAGGAAGCAAGCAUGAGUAGCGCAUAAACCUCCAAAACAACGGCUCCAACUAGCAAUAAGUAAGUUAUGGAAAUGUCGACCGGUGAGUAUUCAUGCUCAUCGAUGAUGAUUGAGAAGGUAACCAAUGCAGAAACAGAGGCCAAACAAGUAAUGCAGCGGAAAAAGAUCCCAAUACAUGAGUAGACUAGUCUUGCUUUGGUGUACAGCAAAUCAUACAAAAGUCCCAGCUCAUAUUCUACCAUUUUGAAGGCCACUCUUGGUUCAAGUCCUCGAAUUAAUUUGUUGCAACGGUAUCCCUGAUGAUGAUCAAAGAUAAGGUCUGCAAAUAAACUUUGUAGCUUCUCAAAAAAGAUAGCAACUAGAAGUGGGAACGAGUCAGGUCCACAAUUUUCUGCCGGAAAGUGUAAACCAAACACAUAGUGUAAUGAGGAAGUUCUAAAAUGCUUCGUGCUGGAGGACAUGAGCACGUAAGUCCUUUCCCCAUACUUGAUAAUUCCUGCAAUGAACACUGGAAUGGCUAUACACGAGAUGGUGGUGUCACCGUCAACCCAAGACCUCAAUAACACAUAAAUUGCAACUCCAAUCUCAAAAACAAGGCCAACAAGAUGCCUUAGCCACAACUCAUUGUCUUCUAAGGAGUAGGCAGUAAUAGUGUCUGAGCCACCGAGGUGCAAGAGAAGGAAUGGAGCCCAAAAUGACUGCAGUGAGUGGUUUUGAUUUGGAGCAUUACUUCCCAGGGACCUGGCAAGAAUGCCCAAUGCAACAGUUGCCACCCAAUCUGCUGACAAGUAUGCAGACCAAACAAGGAAGUUGAUCCAUGUACUUGUCGUACUCUUUCUUUUGGAACCAAAGGCAACGAGUAUUACCUGUAAUGAGAGGCUGAGCAAAACCAACACUCGUAUCUCCCAACCAUUCCAAAGUUUAAUCACUGUUUCAACGAGCGCCAUUGCUGGUCUCUUACUUUGCCUAAAACAUAAAAUAGUGUUUGCGUCUAUAACUAUAUUUAUUUUGUGAAAUCCCAAAAAGUGAACAUAGGAAGAUGGACAAAGAAAAAAUGAAGAUGAGAGCAUUAACUUUCAAAAUUUCUUUAUUAUUCUAAUUCCAUGAUGUAUUUUUUGUUAUCAAUUUCCUAAUUGAAGAGUUUGUUAAUAUAAGAAUGGUGUAUAUUAAUUAAUAUAAUAGGAUGACAAUAUUAUAUUUUAGAAAAAUAAACAACCAAUGAGAUAUAUAAAUAUAAUAAUUUUAUUAAUUUUUGACAGAUAAUUUUCAUUAGUAAGAUGUUUAGCAAUUAAAAGUUAAUUAAUUUUAAAUAAUAAUAUAGUAAAAAUUGACUAAUUAUAAAGGACAUCUAAUUCCAUAAUCGCAUGUAUAUUAUUAUUUAUUAUAUAUUUACUAUUAUUAAUAUCAUUUAAAUAAAAAAGUUUGCAAUGAAGCGUAUUACUGAUUAAUGGUUAUAUUAGCAAUAUGCUAAAAUUAAAGAAAUUGCAUUUAACUUAUUGACUCUUUUUACAAAAUUUUAUGUUUUGGUUAAUUCUAUAAACCUUAUAAUUUUAUAUGUUACUUCUAAUUAUAUAUGAAAAAUCUCUUCCUAUACACUUGCAAUCACCAUGUAUUUUUAGUUGGAUAUAAAAUUUAUCGAAACUCACUAUUUAUGUUAAUCUUAUAAUUAUUUAAAGUCUCAAAUCAUUUAAUAUAAUACAAAUUCUAGUUUGUGAUAUAGUUAAAUUUAAAUUUUAUGAAGAAUAAUUUUUUUUAUGGAAAGGGGAUUCAAAUCCAUACUUUUAAAUAGAGAGAUCAUGCACUAACUAAUAAGCCAAAUACUCAAGUGCUUAUAAAAAAUAAUUUACUUUAAUUAAAAGUUCAAGGUUAAUAAGAAAAAAGACAGAUAAAAAUUAGACAGUUUAUGCAUCAAUUGUAACAUAUAAAGAAUUCCACUAGAAAAAGUUAACAUAUAAAGAAUUAAUUGAGAGUUAUGUAUGUACACAAUUAUUUACACAAUUUUUAUUUAAAUAUUAAAAGAAUAAGGAGAUUUGAACUCAAACUUUUUUAAAGAAAAAACAUACACUUACUUUUAAGCUAAAUACUCAAAUUCAUUAUUAUAAAGUAAAAUUUUAAAGUACUAAUAUGAUCAAAUCAAAUUGAUUGUGGCUCUAACAUGAUAUUACUUUUGAGUCUUAAUCAAUAAAUCCACUCUCCUGAAAAAUACAACCCCCAAGAAGUGGUGAAGCAGAGUGGAAACUGGCUUGAUGCUUCCUGAACCAAUGCGCCUUUGACUAAAAGGAAUGAAACUUUUAAGUACUAAUAUGAUCAAAUCAAAUAAGUAGGUAAAAAUAUUCCAAUUCCCUAAUCAAAUGCCUUUAAAAAAAAAAUCAAAUAAGCAGGCACACAAUCUAACAUCAUAUUACUCAUGAAGUCCUGAUCAAUUGAUAAUAUUUAUACAUUUCCUAUGAUCAAUAUAACAUCAUUUUCUCCUCGAUCCUCCUUUUGUAGUAGAUCCUGUGUUGCUGCGCAUUAACUGUUUUUUAUAUUUUUCAGUGUUGGGGUGUUGCGGACUUCAUCUGUGCUUAAUCUCAGCUUAUAUUCUGCAUUGGUUUAUAAAGUGUUGCAAGUGAUGAAAUAGUUCUAUCGGUUGGGAUAUUGUUUUAUUUUUGUUUUCUUAGUUUGACUGGUUCAGUUACAGACCUUUUUUCUUAUAAUUGAAAGAAGGAAGAUUUGAACUCUAUUCUCUAUACAUCAAUCAAUGAGUCAAAUAUUUAGGUGUAAAUUCAGUUAUAAACUUGUUUAUAUAUUAAUUUUUUUUUUAAAUGUGAUUUAUUGAAUUGCUUCUAACCCAACACGUCAUAGGUAGUCUUUAGCUAAUUGUCUUAAGACUCCCAAUAACAUAAAAGGUUUGGCUUGAGUGUAAACCUGUACAAUUGCCAACAUUCAACCACACAAAAAGAAAUUGGUGCCUCUUACUAGAAAACUACCUUGCUACUUAAUAAAAUUGAAUUUUGAUUGAGCAAACAAAAAUUAAUAAAAAAACUAUAAAAUAUAUAGUAUUUAGUUAAACUUCAGUCAAAGGGUAAUAUUAUCAUUUUAUAAAAUCAUUAAAAAAAAAGAGGUGGUCAGACAACAAAUGAUACAAUUUCAUUUUUAUAUAAUCAUAUUCAAGGAUAUAAACCUUUUUUUAGUUUUAUGAAGAAAAAAAAAAAAGAAAACUCACCCCCAAGAGCUGGUGAAGGAUUGCUGGAGCCUCCUUUGAAGCUUUCUAAUCAGCCAAUGUGCCUUGAAUUAAAACAAUGAAAGAGACUCAUAAAUUUAUAGCAGUGAAGAAAAAUUCUUUUAAAGGCAUGAAGCAAGGAAUGAUAAGAGAAGAACAAAUUUUGGACGUUUGCUUUGGCAUUAAGUUAUCCAAGUAUCAAGGAAAAGUAAUACAGCAUGUCUCAUGAAAUAAGAGUUCAAAGGAAUACAUCAAGGCUUAUGCUUCAGAAAAUGCAUCUAAAAUAUUAUUAAUUACUCAGAUUUUGUUAAUUAGUGCUCUAAUUAAUUAAGAACAAUUAAUAAAAUGUUAUUUUUUACAUAUUAUAACAAAAUUUAUUAUUUUAAAAUAUUUUAUUUCAAAUGCACUCAUUGAUAAAUAAAAAGAUUGAUGAUUGAAAUACACUUAAUGAAAAUAUUACUUUUGAAAAUAACCUUACAAGCGUAUUUGCAAGAAAUCUUAGGAGUGAAUAUGCCUCCACAUCUAAUUCUAAUUUUCCUUCAAGCAAUUGUUUAUUAGAUUCUCAGGACAGAGCAUGGAAAACGACGACCCCUUUUUUAAUUAUAUAAAGUAAAAAAGAAUUUUAUUUAACGACGAACCUAAUUCUAUUGUUCGUUCGUGUCUUUGUUUGUCUACAACUUACAUGAGAGUCUAAUUAUUUUUCCAAACUGUGAAAGGCCUUACAACUCUAAAAGGUACAACUUCAAUAGUAAUUAAAUUGGUCUAAGACUCCUUCAUAUAAAAUCCAUAUUCCUUCGUAUAAAUAUAUAUCUCAAAUAAAUUUUCAAAUGAUUAGUGGAUUGGUGUUGGUAGAUUGCUCAAGCAAGCCUCUAUUUGAUCAUUUAUUUAUUGUAAAAUGUAAGUUUCUUUAUGUAAAUGAAAAAAAUAUGUAUAAAUGAUAAUUCAUCAAUAUUUUAGUGUAUUUUCUAAUUUUUUUAUAUAAUUAUAUGAAUUAUUAUAAAAACACAUUUCAAGUUUUGCGAUACCAUUUAAAGUAGAUUCCAUGAGUUAGGUGGUUCAACUUGCGAGUUUGGCUUGAAUUGGACCCUUGAUAUUAUUAAUUUAUGAAAUAACAAUCUUUGGGCCAUACCCUAUACAACAAUAAGAGACACUUUUGAUAUUCUUGAAAGGAAAACCGAAAGGCCCCUAGCUAACACUAGCCAAUUGGCCCUAUGGUGUCUGUGGAUUACCGUUGGAGAUUGAGCACUUAAAAAACUUGCCUUGAUGUUUGAAGGCUUCCAUUCAUAGGAUUUUGAGCUUUGAGAUUUUGACAAUUAGGAUUUGAAGGUAUAACAAUAUUUUUACUACUAAUUAAUUACAUUUUCUAUGUUAAACAAACCAAAUAUUUGAUUUUACUAUUGAAAAGGAUUUUAAAUUCCACUGCAAUAGGCUCUUGUUGAUUGCAUGAUUUCCCAACAAUCAUCACUAGACAACCUUUUAAUAUCAGGAGCAACAAUGGAAAGAUGACUAACCAAGGGGCCUUUUCUCAUUUUCCCAACACCCUUAACCACAUCAGCAUACGUUUUGCGCUGAUGAUAGGCCUCAAACCUAGAGCCAUUUUGAAAACAAUCAGAAGACCUAAAAUUCUCAGUCAGUGCAGUCUUAUGAAAUUCGAGGAGAGAGUAUAAGUAGUUAUUCACCACAUGUUGAGCAUUUUAAAGAAAGUCACAAGACUUUUGACGCAGAAAUCUAAUGCUUUCUUAUGGAAAGGCAAAGAUACAAAAGCUACAAGAACUAAAGUUAAUUAGCUGGGACUAAGGUUUCCAUCCAAAGAAUGAAGGGCGUUUAGCGUUUAGGCAUCGAGAAGAUCUCUCCUUGGAAUAAAGCCUGUAUGAUGGAAAACCGUUUGGGCUAUUCUUAUUCAAUCAGGGUCAUAACGUGUUGCUUGCAUCAAAUCUUAUAUAUGCACUAACAGGCAGAAGUCUGUGAUCUAUUCCUCUGUCUAGUGAUUGCUCAUGGGGGUGGAAGAAAAUCUUGAAACUAAGAAACUAUAUCAAACCCUAUGUGCAAAACAUAAUAGAUUAUGGAAAACCCACAGAUUUUUGGUUUGAUUGCUGCCAACCUAAAGGGCCUUUGUUGCUUAUGCACUAUAAUUUCAUGAUCUCUUCCUUUUCAAGUAAAAAUGGUAACUGCACUUGAGUAUUUAACUCAUUGAUUGAUACAUGAUCCAUUGUCUAAAAAAUAAUAUUCGAAUCCUCUUCUCCAAUUAAAAAAAAAUAAAAGGGACAACUGUAGUUAAUGUUGCACUCUUCCCUUUCAAGCAGAAAGGAACAAUUGUCAUUAAUGCUGCAAGUUUGGUUUGGCCUUUGGCUAGAUCAGAUGAUUUAGUAGAGACUCAAUGCUCCUCAUAUGAUGUUAUUAUUCUUAAUCCGAGACGGAAAGAUGAAGCCAUCUGGACUUAGUCUAGCAAUGGAAUGGGAAGUUUACAAUCUCUAGUACUUUGAAUAUCGUUAGACAUAGAAAACCAUCUUCUCUUGAGCCUUAUAGAGAAGAAACACUGCUUACCUGUUACUUGAAGAAGAAUACAAUCGUUCGAGAGAUUUUAAUAAUUUAGAUAGAUGACAUGAUUUUGAGGUCGAGACAGGAAAGGGGCAUGAGAUCAGGGUAGGGGAUUUGCAUUCAUAGCUCUAUCUUUAUACAUGUACAAAUUAAAUUCAAAUUAUACUUAAAUGACUCUUAAUUAUCAAAUCAAUAUAUAAUUAAUGACAUUCAAUAAAAGAAACAAAUUAGCAAAUCAACGUAUUAGUAUAUAGUUAAAAAUUAGUCAAAAUACCCACCAAGUUCUGUACCCAUGCAUUUUAUUCAUUUAGUCUCUGUACUCAAAAUCGAAACAAUUUAAUUCCUUGAUUUUAGCAAUUGAUAUAAUUUAGUCCCUCUCACUAACGGUAUUGAAUUUUACUGUUAAAAAGAUGAUGUCAGCACUGACAUCAACAUUGAUGUGACAUAUUUUGCUGGUGUGGCAUCGACUUGAUGACAUGGCAGCGCCAUGUGGCCCUAAUAUGUUGUCGUGUCAGUGCCACAUGGUAGAUAAAAAAAUUUUUAUGCUACGUUAUAGAGAUUAAAUUGAAUAAAAAUAUAUACUAUAUGGACUAAAUUGAACAAAAUUGAGAUUUUGAGGAACUAAAUUGAAAAAAAUAUUUAAAAAUUAUAAAUCUUUAAGUAGAUGAUAGAUAUACUUAUUAAUAAGUUAAAUAUUUAAGUACAAAAGAUUUAUGGUGUUAUAAAUAUAUAUAAAUAUUUUCUUACUUGAUUAUUUGAUUGUAAAAUAUGUAUAUUAAUUUAUCUUCUUUACAAAAAUUAAGUUUGAAUUCUCCUUCUAUAAAAAAAAUUUCAAAAAAAUUUUCAUACAUAAAGUCAAAUUUAGAUGAAUAACUUGCAUUAUGUUGAAAUAAAAUAAUAUAAAAAACUAAAUAAUUUUUUCUUUUAUUAUAAUAGCACAAAAAUUUGAAAUUUAUUUGACUUAACUUUUAACUUGAGUUGAAAUUAAAUUAGCAUAGUGAGUUGACUUAGUUUUUUGUUUGAAAAAAAUGAAAAAGGGAGAUAUAGAGUUAGCGAUGAUUAUAAAAAUAAUUCUUCAUUCUGACUUACUUAAUUUGGACAUGACAAACCUCUUAUUAUAAUCAUAAAAUCCGAGUUACUUCACCUCUUCAAUUUUUUAUAUAUUUUUUAUGUUUUUGUUUUAUCUAAUAUGUCAGGUUAUAUUCUUUAGGUUGAAAUUUCUUAGAUUAAAGACUGUAUUUAUGGUUGAUAGAGUUAAAUAUAAUUGUAAAUAUUUAUACAAUUUUAUAUUGUAUUUACAAAUUUUUUGUAGAUCUAAAGUUCACGAAUUAAAUUGUUACAACCGUAUCCCUGACGUUGAUCAAGGAUAAGGCCUGCAAAUAAAAAUUUUAGCCUCUUGAACAAGCUAUCAACUCGAAGUAGGAAGGGGUCAACAAAUAGGGCAGCUCCAAAUAUAUCUGCGUCGUUGUAUAGGUAUAAACGUAACAAAUUGUGUAAUGAGGAAGUUCUAAACUGCUUCGCGCUUGAGGUCAUGAGCACGUAAGUCCUUUCCCCAUACUUGAUAAGUCCUGCAAUGAACACUGGAAUUGCUAUACACGAGAAGGUGGUGUCACGGUCAACCCAAGACCUCAAUAACGCAUAAAUUGCAACUCCAACAUUGAAAAGCGCAUUAAUAUGAUUCUAGCAUUGAAAAGCUGUACAUUAAUAUGAUCCUCAACACCUUAGCAUUGUAAGUUGUUAGUUGUAUUGUUGCAGGAAAUACCUGACGCAAAUGAUAGAAUUAAUCAUGUGUGUUUCUUUGCGUGGUGGUUGGUGGUUGCUUUUGAAAUUGUGUUUGGCAGUAUUCUCGUACAGGGAUUCUCACCGGUCUUAUUUAGAUAUUAAGAGGUGAUUGCUUUAUGGUUGAUUUUGGUCGUAAGCUUGUAUUGGCGGGAGGUGUUUUGGGCGGGUUUUGUUUUGCUUUGAAUUCAUCUAUGAGGCUGUGUGUGUAAUGGGAUUGUACUUGGGCAGGUGGCGAAACAGGGGGUUUGUUGCAUUUUUUUAGUGGGGAUCUGGGUGGGACAAUGGGGCAAUAUAGUGACUGAUUUGGUUUUGUUGGGGUGAGGUUUCUUCCAAAAGUUACGGCUGUCUCGUGGUUCUCGUUAUAUGAUUACAGUGGUGUUGUGAGUUUUUUGCAAGGGAUAUAAUUUGGAAGAGUUUUCUUGGCAGCAGGGGCGCAAAUCUGAUUCCACGUUGUCUUUAGGAUACGUUCACUCGGCAGGAUUUGGAUGUUUACUGCCUAGGUUGGAUUCUUAGUGUUGUUUUUGAUGGCUAGGGCUAUGGAAAUUGCUGUUAUAGGACUAUGGUGUUUGUAUCAAGUGCUUUGCUCCUUGCCUUGAGCAAUUCCUCUCAUAUGAACUGUCUCUUUUCAUGACUUGGCUUUAUGCAAAGUUUUAUGUAUCACAGUGAUGUUUAUAAAAUAAUCUUUGACUGAGUAAACAAUAAAUAAACGGUAAAACUAAAUAUCAAAACUCAAGUGUUUUAUUGAAUAAUUUUGACAAUAUAAAUCAUUGAAUAUCUAAUAGAAAUGUGCUCAAAUUAUAAGAUCUAAAAUGAAAUACUUCACUUUAAAUAUAUGAAUGCGCUGAAAUUACAAUGAUAUAUUAAAAACAAAAUCCUUAAGAUGGUAUAAAAUGAUUAUUUUAUGUCAACAACUAUUUCUUCGAGUUCAAAAUUUGACACAUAAGUAUACAUGUUAAAAAAUGCCAUUAACAGAUAAUUAAGCUUCAAUUUUUGAAUGAUCCUAUGGUUGACGAUGAUGACUGAUCUUAAUUCUUUCCCACCAUGUCAAUAACUUCUUCUUAGGGAGUUGGCGAAGGGAUAAUUGCCCAUCUCGGUAUUGGCCACUGAUGCCAAAAUGUGCCAUAAGAAGGCAAACGUGAGUGAGCAGUUGUCCGCCUUUGGCGAGUUGGCGACCAUGCUCUUUCCAUCCACAAUGACCUGCGGCAUAUGUCAAUAGUUCUACCCACACUUUAUUCAUCAUCUCCCACUUUUCUUUCCUUCCCCGGUUUCUCUUGUUCAGAUUUUGCAAUUGUUUCGCAAGAUCGCGACCCUUCAAAAGGAUACUAGACUCAUCAGAUCGAAGUUCUUCCAAUUUUGGACCCCCUUCAAGCAACUCUUGGUAGGCUUUUUCUAUUUGUAUGUCUCUCUUUUCUUUAAAAAAAUCGAAGACCUCCUCACAGGCCUUUCUGUAUCUUAUUUCACCAAUCCCUUUGGGCAACAUUUUUGAACGCAAGACGAAAAGAUAAAGCAUGUACUCCGAUAGGCAUCUGCUGAUUUUGCUGUAUUCAUUAAUGAGACUAUAGAGAUCAGUUGUCUUAAUAUCAUCAUAGUAACAGAGCUGGGUAGCAAUGUGCCAAAGAAGAAUGCUUUCGUCAAAUUCUACAUCAACGGUGCUCCAUUUAAGCUCAUCAAGGAGCUUCAUUUCAUUAAGUACACAUUCACCUCUGUAAUUCAAUACUUUGCUGCUUAAUUCGGUAUUAUCGAAAUCUUCAAGCUCUUUAGUUCUCCUAUCUAGUUGAUGGAAGAUAAGGCAUUUUAGAUCGUCAUCUAUCCCUUGCUGCCAUUCCACAUUCUGAUGCUUCUCUAACAUUUCAUAGAUGCCAAGUAACUUUUUAACUAUAAUCCACUUGGUUGCCUCCUUUUGAAGGCAAAAGCUCACAAGGUUGCACUUGGCUAUGCUUCUAGACCACCUCCUACCCUUUCUCACUCGUUUUAAAUGACAUUUUUUUUGCACAACUAGCCAAAGCUUUAGCCAGUCAGAGGAAGUAAGCAUGAGCAGCGCAUAAACCUCCAGAACAACAGCUCCAACCAGCAAUAGGUAAGUUACGAACCUGUCCACCGGUGAGUAUUCAUGCUCAUCGAUGAUGAUUGAGAAGGUAACCAAUGCAGAAACAGAGGCCAAACAAGUAAUGCAGCGGAAAAAGAUACCAAAACAUGAGUAGACUAGUCUUGCUUUGGUGUAGAGCAAAUCAUACAAAAGUCCCAGCUCAUAUUCUACCACUUCGAAGGCCACUCUUGGUUCAAGUUCACGAAUUAAUUUGUUGCAAAGGUAUCUCUGAUUUUGAUCGAGGAGAAGGUCUGCAAAUAAAAAUUUUAGCCUCUUGAACAAGCUAUCAACUCGAAGUAGGAACGAGUCAGCUCUAAACAUUUCUGCCCCGCUGUCUUCAUAUAAACGUAACAAAUUGUCUAAUGAGGAAGUUCUAAACUGCUUCGUGCUUGAGGACAUGAGCACGUAAGUCCUUUCCCCAUACUUGAUAAUUCCUGCAAUGAACACUGGAAUGGCUAUACACGAGAAGGUAGUGUCACCGUCAACCCAAGACCUCAAUAACACAUAAAUUGCAACUCCAAUCUCAAAAACGAGGCCAACAAAAUGCCUUAGCCACAACUCAUUGUCUUCUAAGGAGUAAGCAGUAAUAGUGUCUGGGCCACCGAGGUGCAAGAGAAGGAAUGGAGCCCAAAAUGACUGGAGUGAGUGGUUUUGAUUCGGAGCAUUACUUCCCAGGGACCUGGCAAGAAUGCCCAAUGCAACAGUUGCCACCCAAUCUGCUGACAAGUAUGCAGACCAAACAAUGAAGUUGAUCCAUGUACUUGUCGUACUCUUUCUUUUGGAACCAAAGGCAAUGAGUAUUACUUGUAAUGAGAGGCUGAGUAAAACCAGCACUCGCAUCUCCCAUCCAUUCCAAAGUUUAAUCGCUGUUUCAACGAUCGCCAUUGCUGGUCUCUUCUUUGCCUAAAACAUAAAAUAGUGUUUGCAUCUAUAAGUAUAUUCAUUUUGUGAAAUCCCAAAAAGCGAACAUAGGAAGAUGGACAAAGAAAAAAAGAAGAUGAGAGCAUUAUCUUUUCAAAUUUCUUUAUUAUUCUAAUUCCAUGAUGUAUUUUUUGUUAUCAAUUUCUUAAUUUAAGAGUUUGUUAAUAUACGAAUGGUGUGUAUUAAUUAAUAUAAUAGGAUGACAAUAUUAUAUUUUAGAAAAAUAAACAACCAAUGAGAUAUAUAAAUAUAAUAAUUUUAUUAAUUUUUGACAGAUAAUUUUCAUUAAUAAGAUGUUUAGCAAUUAAAAGUUAAUUAAUUUUAAAUAAUAAUAUAGUAAAAAUUAAUUAAUUAUAAAAGAGAUCUAAUUCCAUAAUCACAUGUAUAUUAUUAUUUAUUAUAUAUUUACUAUUAUUAAUAUCAUUUAAAUAAAAAAGUGUGCAAUGAAGAGUAGUACUGAUUAAUGGUUAUAUUAGCAAUAUGCUAAAAUUAAAGAAAUUGCAUUUAACUUAUUGACUCUUUUUACAAAAUUUUAUGUUUUGGUCAAUUCUAUAAAACUUAUAAUUUUAUAUGUUACUUCUAAUUAUAUAUGAAAUAUCUCUUCUUAUAUACUUGCAAUCACCAUGUAUUUUUAGUUGGAUAUAAAAUUUAUCGAAACUCACUAUUUAUGUUAAUCUUAUAAUUAUUUAAAGUCUCGAAUCAUUUAAUAUAAUACAAAUUUUAGUUUGUGAUACAGUUAAAUUUAAAUUUUAUGAAGAAUAAUUUUUUUUUUAUGAAAAUGGGAUUCAAACUCAUACUUUUAAGUAAAGAGAUCAUUCACUAACUAAUAAGUCAAAUGCUCAAAUGCUUAUAAAAAAUAAUUUACUUUAAUUAAAAGUUCAAGGUUAAUAAGAAAAAAGACAGAUAAAAAUUAGACAGUUCGUGCAUUAAUUGUAACAUAUAAAGAAUUCCACCCAAAAAAAGUUAAUAUAUAAAGAAUUAAUAGAGAGUUAUGUAUGUACACAAUUAUAAUUAUUAAGGUUUAUCUUUAAAUAUUAAAAGAAUAAGAGGAUUUUUUUUUUUUUUGCUCAGCAAUAAGAGGAUUUGAACUCAACUUUUUUUAAAGAAAAAACAUACACUUACUUUUAAGUUAAAUACUCAAAUUCAUUAUUAUAAAGUAAAAUUUUAAAGUCCUAAUAUGAUCAAAUCAAAUUGAUUGUGGCUCUAACAUGAUAUUACUUUUGAGUCUUAAUCAACAAAUCCACUCACCUGGAAAGUACAACCCCCAAGAAGUGGUGAAGCUGAGUGGAAACUGGCUUGAUGCUUCCUGAGCCAAUGCGCCUUUGACUAAAAGGAAUGAAAACUUUUAAGUACUAAUGUGAUCAAAUCAAAUAAGUAGGCAAAAAUAUUCCAAUUCCCUAAUCAAAUGCCUUUAAAAAAAAAAUCAAAUAAGCAGGCACACAAUCUAACAUCAUAUUAAUUACGCAUGAAGUCCUGAUCAAUUGAUAAUAUUUAUACAUUUCCUAUGAUCAAUCUAACAUCAUUUUCUCCUCGAUCCUCCUUUUGUAGCUGAUUCGGUGCUGAUGCGGAUUAACUGUUUUUUAUAUUUUUCAGUGUCGGUGUGUUGUGGACUUCAUCUGUGCUUAAUCUCAGCUUAUAUUCUGCAUUGGUUUAUAAAGUGCUGCAAGUAAUGAAAUAGCUCUAUCGGUUGGGAUAUUGUUUUAUUUUUGUUUUCUUAGUUUGCUGGUUCAGUUACAGACUUUUUUAUAAUUAGAGGUGGAAAGAUUGAAACUUUACUUUUCAUAUACUAACUAAUGAGUCAAAUGUUCGAGUGUAUAUUUAGUUGCAAACUUAUUUACAUAUCAAUCUUUUUUUUCUUUUUAAAAGGUGAUUUAUUGAAUUGCUUCCAAGCCAACACGUCAUAGGUAGUCUUUAGCUAAUUGUCUUAAGACUCCCAAUGACAUAAAAGGUUUGGCUUGAGUGUAAACUUGUACAAUUGCCAACACUCAGCCACAUAAAAAGAAAUUGGCGGCUCUUACUAGAGAACUACCUUGCUACUUAAUAAAAUUGAAUUCUGAUUAAGCAAAAAAAAAUUAAUAAAAAUUAUAAAAUAUCAGCCAAUGUGCCUUUAAUGAAAACAAUGAAAGACACUCAUAAUACAGCAUGUCUCCUGAAAUAUGAGUUCAAGGGAAUAUAUAAAGGUCUAAGCUGCAAAAAAUGCAUGUAAAAUAUUAUUACUUGCUGAGCAAAAAAAGAAAUAAUUAUUACUUACUCGGAUUUUGUUAAUUAGUGUAUUUAAUUAAUUAAAAACAAUUAUUAAAAUAUUAUUUUUUACAUUUAUUUGUAUUUUAUAAUUUUUUAUAACUAAAAAAAAAAUUCAAGUAGACCUAUUCAUGGAGUAGGCGUCUUAAAACAUUUCUAUUAUGAAAUAAGAGUCUUUAGGGCGUAGUUAUACAACAAUUAGAGAUACGUUUGGCAUUCUUAAGAAGAAAACUGAGAGCCCCUUAUCUAGCACUAGCCAAUUGAUCUUACCGUUUGUGUGAAUUAGCAUCAGAGGGUGGACACUUGAAAAAUUUGUGAUUUGCGACAACACUCCUUUGUGCUUGGAUGUUUCGUUCAUAAGGUUUUGAACUUUAAGAUUUUGAGAUAUGAGAUUUGUAGGUAUAACAAUCUUUUUAUUACUAGUUGGGGUUUCCUAUGUUAAAGAAACCAAAUUUUGAUCUUUCUAUCAAAAAAAUUUUGAAUACCGUUACACUUUGCUCUUGUUGGUCUCAAAUUUAAAUCUUGCGAUGGGUGUUGUAUGAUCUAUGGAUGGGAAAAAAGAACCUCUCAAACUAUAGUCCAAAAUUAUACAUACAAAAAAAAUUAAUAUAUUAAUGAAAUUAGAGAUAAAUAAUUAUUAUAGUUUCGUUGAUUCUUUAAAUGGAAAUUCUUGUAUAUGAAAGUUCUUUAUGUUUGGCAAUAUAUAAUAAUAUUUGCAAGUUGGUUGAAAAUGGAUCAAUUUAAGCAUGAAUUCAAUCAACAAAAAAAAAAUUACAAUUAUAUAAGUUUGAUUCAGUUCCUAUAUGAACCGUUUAGGUAGUCUAUGCAUUAAUUGUCACAUCACCAGUCUAACCAAUUCUUGGUUAAGAAAGCUAUGGAGGUUAUAUAUAGGAGUUCAAUCUCAAGCAGGCAACCUGAGGGCUUGGUAUUCUUCUAUCUGGAAGUUAACUGUUCCCCCUGUGCUUUUUUUGGUUAGUGGUGUUGCAUUGGAAAUCAUUCCCACAAAAAGCUUCUUAAGGACCAGGGGAAUUUCCUUUGAACAUGAGGAUGUUUUAUGUUCACGGUGUAGACAAAUAGAGGAAGAAUAUGCACAAAUCUUACUCUCUUGUGAGUUCUAGUAGGCGAUACGGAGUCGUGUUUUCUGUUGAUGGGGAUUUCUGUGGGUUGCUCCUCUUCUAUGCAAUCAAUGGUGGAAUUUUGCAGAAACCUUUUUUCAUAGCACCUUGAGAAAAAGGUGGAUAGCUAUGAUAGGAGCUACGGUAAGGUCUUUAUGGUUCGCUAGAAACAAUUUGAUUUUUAACACUAUGAAAUAGAGAAUGAGAAUGCUAUUGCGGAGAUAGGAUGGUGGACUAUGCCUUGAAUGUUGACUAGGUCAAAGAAGACGUGGACCUGAGAAAAGGGGUUGUUUGGACUCUCCCAAGUGAAGAUGAUCUGAAAUUCAAUGUGGAUGGUCCUAUUAGAGGUAAGUCGAGGGUAAUGAGCUGUAAGGUUGUGCUUAGGGACAGUAAUCGUAAUGUAAUGGGUCUGUUCUUUGGUCCUUUAGGUGAACUUGAGUCUAACAAAAGCUGAAAUUCUAGCUAUUGGAACUGCUUUACAAUUUUAUGCUGCGUCCCAGUAAAAAAGUACGAAAUCUUUGGUGAUAGAUUCAAAUUCUUGUGUUGCACUUUUAUGGGCAUUAAAAUCAGAUUGUACACCAUGAGUAUUGUGGGAGGGUCAAAAUAUAUGUAGUGUUAUUUGUUGAAAGGGUAGUAUCAUUAUUUAUAAAAUUGAAUAUAAAAAGGGGUGGUCAGUUGUCAAAUAACGCAAGAGAGUGUGCAUGUGUGUUUGUCUUACUCACCUGGAAAAUUUUACAGCCCCCAACAAGUGGUGAUGCAGAGUGGAAACCGCUUUGAUGCUUCCAGAGCCAACCCGCCUUUGACUGAAAGCAAUGAAACGUUUAAGUAGUAAUAUCAAAUCAAAUAAGUAGGAACACAAUGUAGCAUCGUAUUACUCUUAAGUCCUGAUCAAUUGAUAAAAAAAUAUUAAUAAAAAUAAAACAAAAAAAGAUAUACAAAAUUACCCCCAGGAGCUGGUGAAGGAAUGCUGGACCCUCCUUUGAUGCUUUCUAAGUAGCCAAUGUGCCUUGAAUGGGAACAAUGAAAGAGACUCAUAAAUUUAUAGCAGUGAAGAAAAGUUCUUUUAAAGGCAUGAAGGAAGGAAUGAUACGAAAACAACAAAAUUGAAAGAAAGCAAUCAUAAAGAUGGAUUGCGCUCCUUGGUUUAGAUGCCUCCACAUCUAAUUCUGUCCUUCCUUCAAGCAAUUGUCUAUUAGAUUCUCAUUAAUUACAAACAGGAGUGGUAAAAUUGAAAAUAGAAAUAAACACAUAUUCAUACUUUAUGUGCAGCCAACCAGUUCCAGCCCGAAGAAUUUUGAAUGCUGCUUGUUUAAUUUUCUACCGAGCUAAGUAACACGAAACACCCAAAGGGAUCUUAAACAUUUUCGGUUCUAUUAUAGAUAUCUUCAAACAUUUGAUUCCCUUCUCCAUUUGAUCCAAACAAAGAUGAUCUUUGUCGUCCAUGAAGCAGAAGAGUCUUAAAUUAAACAAGGAUGAUCUUUGUCAAAAGCUUAGGAGAGAAUCCUAAUAAUUAUUUUCACAAAGAAAAUUAUCUCUAAAUAAUUAAAAUAAUGUAGAUAAAUAAAAAUAAAUGUGGUAAACCAAAUUGUGAAUAAUUCACAUAUUGCAUCAUGAUGCAUAUAUAUUUCUUUUCAUCAUAUGGAAGCUAACUGGUGAUGGAAUUUUAAAGAAUUUGUAAGCAAAAACUUUCUUGAAAAUUUCUAAAUGAAAAAAUUUUCUAAAAUUUUAUCAAAAUUAUGAAAAAAUUUAGAUUUCUUUCUAAUAUCAAGGAUUUUCAUUUACCCAUGAGAUGAAAGUAGACCUAUCAAUGGAUUAGGCGGUUCACCAACUUGCGAGCUUAGCUUGAAUCGAGCAAAGUCUUAGACAAGAUUUCUUGAUCUGAGCCCAGUCCAUGAUAUUAUUAUGUUAUAAAAUAAGAGUCCUUAGGCCGUACUUAUUCAACAAUUAGGGACACUUUUGGCAUUCUCAAGAAGAAAACCGAGAGCCUCCGAUCGAACACUAGCCAAUUGAUCUUAACAUUCAUAAGAUGACAACUUUUUAAUAUCAGGAGCAACAAUGGAAGGAUGGUUAACAGAGUGGCCUUUUUUCAUUUUCCCAACACCCUUAACCACAUCAGCAUAAGUUUUGUGCUGAUGCGAGGCCUCAAACUUAGAGCAAUUUUGAAAACAGUCAAAAGACAUCAAAUUCCCAGUAAGAGCAGUCCUAUUGUCGAUGCUAACCAAUUUUAUAUACAUAUAUAUAUAUAUAUAUAUAUUUAUAAUCCACUCACCUGGAAGAUGCAGCACCUCAGAAGUGGUGAAGCAGAGUGGAAACUGCUUUGAUGCAUGCUUCCUGAGCCAAUGCGCAUUUGACUGAAAGCAAUGAAACUUUUAAAGAGAGGUCUUGAUCAAUUGAUAAAAAAAUUAUUAAUAAAAAUAAUAUAUAAAAGAUAUAGUAUUUAAUUUUUACUGAAGGGUAGUAUUAUUAUUUUUAUAAUGUCAUUUAAGAAACAAAAAGAGGUGGUCAAGGAUCUAAACUUUUCUUUAGUUUAAUGAAGAAAGGAAAAAAAAAAGAAAGAAAUCUCACCCCCAAGAGCUGGUGAAGGAAUGCUGGAGCCUCCUUUGAUGCUUUCUAAGCAGCCAAUGAGCCUUGAAUGAAAACAAUUAAAGAGACUCAUAAAUUUAUAGCACUGUAGAAAAGUUCUUUUAAAGGCAUGAAGCAAGGAAUGUCCUUGAAAUGAAAAGAAAAGAACAAAAUUAAAAGCAAGUAGUCAUAAAGAUUGAUUCUAGACCUUGGUUUUGUAUAAUCUACAAGGACAAGUAAUACAUAGUUUCGUCUCAUGAAAUAUGAGUUUAAAGGAAUAUAUCAAGGCUUAUGGUGCAGAAAGUGCAUGUAAAAUAUUAUUAAUUACUCUUAUUUUGUUAAUUAGUGUUCUAAUUAAUUAAGAACAAUUACUAAAAUGUUGUUUUUUACAUUUUAAAAUAAAAACUUAUUUUAUUUUAAAUGCACUAAUUGAUUAAUUGAUAGAUUGAUGAUUUAGGAUAUAUUGAAUGAAAAUAUUACUUUUAAAAAUAACCUUACAAGUAAUCUUUGCAAUGCAUAUCAUAUGCAUCCACAUGUAAUUCUAUUUUUCCUCGGAGCAUCUUUAAUUACGAGUGCGUAUGCAUCCACAUCUAAUGCCAUUCUUCCUUCAAGCAAUUGUCUAUUAGAUUCUCAAGGGAGAAGACAAACCUAUUUCAUCAACAAAUUCAAAGAAGAAACAAACAGGAGUGGGAAAAUUUUAUUACAUGGGAAUUUCGUUAUUUUUCCAAAUUGUCAGAGGCCUUACAACUCUGAGAGGUACAAUUUCCAGACCAAUUAACUUGGUCCAAGACUCGUGUCUUGGAGUUAUGGUGGGCAAUGGGAAAUCAAGCUCCCUUUGGAAUGAAAAGUGGAUUGAUGACACUCGAAAUGAAAGCUUAUUGACUGUGGUCACAAGUGAAUCAAUGGAAUUUUUAGAAAACGUUUGUAAGUAUCAAGUUUUCUAAAUUUUUUUAAGUGAAAAUAAUUAUGAGUUUUGUCAAUAGCUUUGGAGAGAAUCCUAAUAUUUAUUUUCACAAAGAAAAUUAUCUCAAAAUAAUUAUUAUCUUUUUAAGUUGAAAGAAUCUCUCAAGGGUAAUAAAAACUAUAUGAUUUGAUCAUCUAUUAUUUCUUUUGGUUAAAAUAAGAUAAUUUUAUUAAUAUAAAAAAAUCGAUACAAUUACUAAUAUCCCAAUUAAAUAAUUAUAAUGAUAUAGAUAAAUAAAUGUGGUGUACGAUAUCGUGAAUAAUUCGCAAAUUGCAUCAUGAUGCAUAUUUGUUUUCAUCAUACGAAAGCCAACCAAUGAUGGAUGUUUAAAGAAAUUGUAGCUGAAAACUUUCUUGAAAAUUUCAAGAUCUGAAAAUUUUCUAGAAUUUCAUCAAAAUUAUUUAAAGUUUAGAUUUCUUUCCAAUAUCAGGGGUUUCAUUUAGUCAACAGAUAAAAGUGUCAUUGGUUUAUUUCAAGAGAUAAUUUUAAGGAAAUAAAAUAAACUAGUCGCUUAAAAUUCUAGAAUAAUGACAAAAAGUCAAAAAAAAAUAAUAAAGAAUAGAAUUGAGAAAAAUAAAAAAAACAUUAUGAAAAAAAAGAAAAAAUAGGUUAAAAUCAAAGUCCUUUUUUACAAAAUAUUCAACGAAUCCAAUAAUGGAGCUUCUUCAAGGUAAUAAGAAAAUAAAUUAUUUUGUAACAUUAAUUUAGAACUGUUGAGAAAAAAAUUAAUUUAAAACUUGAUGGCAUAUUUCAUGGGGUAAAAUUCAAAAAACUCUCUCAAAAUACUUCAAAAAGAAAUUUUUGGUCCCUUUUAUUUCAAAAUAAUGUUUUCGGUCCCUUGAUUGUUAACACAACAAUUAAAAAAAUUAUUCUCAAUACUACAUAUAUAUUUUAGAACACAAGAAAAAAAAAACUUUCUGCAACAAGUAAAUUAUAAAGAAUUUGGAUUCCAUUUGAUAAAUGAUGGAAGCUCAAGUAUUUAUAUUUAUUUUCAAAACAUAACACUUCUAUUAUUUUUAAUUUUUCGAUUUUUGUCUUAUUCAAAAUGAUUGACAACAAGUUCUUUAUAUAAACUUGCAAGUAUCUCUUCCCAAAGACAUAACCCUUUCAUUAGAACACCUUUUGUUUAGAUAUCUCUACAUUUUGCAAGACAUAAUCCUUGAUAAAAGUAUUGUUUCAAUAAUUACCUUAUGAAAGGACAAUCAUUCAUACCAUAAGAAAUAAUUUUUGAACUACAAUAUGAAAAGAUAACAUUUCGUAUCCAAACUCUUAAGGUGUGGUGUUUUUCAAUUGUCUCAACUUUUGGAUUUAAAGGUAUUUUUUCAAUAUGUUACUUUUCUAAGAGAUAUAACCAUUCACAUUAAAAACCCAUUUAUAAUCUAAUAGUUACAUUAUAUGACAUAAUCUUUUAUUUUGAAAAUACACUAACAUUUUAUAUCAAUAAAUAUUUCUUUGAUUCAAAUUUGACGCGUAAUAUAUAAUUAGGUGUCAAUAUUUGAAUGAAAUGAUUAACCAAAAAGGCCAAAAAUAAUUUUUUUGAAAGACGUAAAAUAUCCUUUCUUGGGCACUUGUAGAUGGUAAAAGCUCUGAUCGUGGAAUUGCCCACUGAUGCCAGAAUGUGCCAUAAGAAGGCAAACGUGAGUGAGCAGUUGUCCGCCUUUGGCAAGUUCACUACCAUGCUCUUUUUAUUCACAAUGAGCUGCAGCAUAUGUCAGUAGUUCCACCCACACUUCAUUCAUCAUCUCCCACUUUUCAUUGCAUCUCCAAUUGCCUUGGUUCAGGGGUUUUAAAUUUUGCAAUUGUUUUGCAAGCAUGCACCCCUUGGAUGGAACAACGAAUUUGGAUUGAGCAUUUUCCAAUUUUUUAAUGAGAAAAUUGUGAGAAAUAACUUUCCUCAUAAGCCCAAUUCAAAAAUAUCAUUUUUAUAAUUUUAACUAUUUUUGGUUAAUUUUUGACAUGACUUGAUAAUAAUACAUUUUAAAUAAUUUCAGACAAAUUAAAAUGAUUUCAGUUUUCUCUAUCCCACAAUCCAGACAAAACUUUUAAAAUUAAAUUUCAGUUUCUCUUUCUGGUCAAAUACUGUUUAUCUCACCAUCCAAAGCGCAGAGAUGACUUCAACCUCUAUUUUAUUUUGUUUUAUUUUUUUGGAUGGUGGAUCUUAGGGUUCUCAAGGGCGAUGAACUGCGAUUUUGCUCUUUGCAGACAGCGAUUUUGCUCAAGGAGAAGGAACAGCUAAAGCAUGUUUGAUGGGUUUUAUUAUGGUUCACGAUUUUGUUGUGUCUGGGAUUAGGAUAAUUGUUAAGCAUGUUUGCUAAGGAUUUUGAUUUUUUUUAUGAGAUUUUGAUUUUUUUAUGGGAUUUUGAGUUGAAAUUAUAUUUUGUAAAUGAGGUAUAUUUUGUUUUUGUAUAAGGGGAGUGAGCAAGGCCCUCCUGAUAGGGCUAUAUGUUGUCUUGCUUUGGAGGGUUAUGGAGUUUUGUAACCUAUCUUUUAUGAAAUGCAUAAUUUCAUGGCUUAGCAAAAAAAAAGUAUGUGUUUUAGGUUCUUGGGUUUAUUGGUUUAUUCAUAGAAUCUCAAAGUUGAGGAGUUGAAAUUUAUUAAAAUGGUUUUUAAGUAUUGCGAGACUAGUUUUUAGGUAUUACGUGACUUAAUCAUUGUGUGACUAGUUUUUAGACAUUACGUGAUUGGUUUUAGGCAUUACGUGACUAGUUUUUAGACAUUACGUGAUUGAUUUUUAAGCAAUAUCUAAGUCACACAAUGCCUUACUAACUAGUCACGCAAUGCUUUAUUAACAAGUCACGCCAUGCCUAUCAACUAGUCACGCAAUACCAUAUCAACCAAUCACACAAUACUUAAAAACUAGUCAUACAAUACCCAAAGUCAGUCACGCAAUACUUAAAAACUAGUUAUACAAUGCCCAAAAAUCACAAAUACUACUGAAUUUCAUUCAACAAGAUCGACAACUUCAAACGACACACCAUAUUCCAUUUAAAAACAUAAUUAUCGAAUAUGCCUAUUUGACAAAGAAUGCUCAAAAUGUUCAAAGUUUUUCUUCAUAUAUCAAAAAUCACUCCAAAAUACUUAAAAAUACUCAAAACACUCAAAAGUUUUCUUCGUGUAUCAAAAACUACUCCAAAAUGCUCAAAAUGCUUAAACAUUUUUCUUUCUGGUAAAAAAUACUCCAGAAAUGAAUAGUCUGGCAAGAAAAACUCAAAGAAUAUGAGUUGGUUUGAGGCGCAGACCUAAAUAUACUUGACCCGUUAAUAGGUUUCAGAUUGAGAUGCGAAACCAAAUAACUGGGUCAGUUUCAUUAAGGGUAAUUUUAUCCAAAUUUUAAUUCUUUUGGCUAAAAACAGUUAAAAUUAUGAGGAGACCUAUUGUCAGAAACACUUUAUGCAUGAGGCCUAUUUGAAAAAAGAACCCUUUUUCAAUUAUAUUGCUUCUUUUUAAAUCAUCACUGCCCCUUUGAAGCAACUCUUGGCAAGCUUUUUCUAUUUGUAUGUGUUUCUUUCCUUCCAAAAAACAGAUGAGCUCCUCACAUGCUUUUUUGUAUCUUAUAUAACCAAUCCCUUUGGGCAUCAUAUUUGGACACAUGACACCAAGGUAAAGUUGUUAGGAUUCGACCUCAUACUCAAACAUGAAAAUAAUUAAUAAAUUAAAAUUAUAAUGCAGCGAAAAAAUAAAAUAAUAUUUAAUCAGAGAAACAGUCGAAUCCUACAAGAUUAAUGUUUGUGUUUUUCAUGUAACUUUCAAUUUGAUUAUGAACACUCGUAAGUUUAAAAGUUACAUACCUUACUCUAGAUAUCAUAAUCAAUAGCCAAUUAAAUCAAAAUCCUUACUUCUUCAUCUUUAGGAUUUGUCAAAUCUUUAGCCACCCAAGUGUUUGACCUCUAACAGUAAUCCACACAGUGACUAAAUAAGACUUUCUCUAAGGUAUGAUUUUUACUUCUACUAGCAAGUUUUGUUUCUAAAAUAAAAAGAUCAAAAAUUCUUGCCGAAUCUUAUUUUUUUCAAACAAAGAAAACUAUUUUUUUUCUUUUCUUAUUUUAUGAAACGACUGAGAAGUAGUUUAAGGCUUAGAGUUUUUUUUUUAGUUUACUAAUAUAACAUGUUUAUAUAGCCAAACUAAUUUGUAACCCUAAAUACAACAAUUGUAUUUUAAUUUAAUUAAGUCUCUGAGAACUUAAUUAAUUUUUUACUUUAUUUUGGUCUGUUUCAAUUAAGUCCAACUUAAUUAAUUAUCCUUAUUUAAUCUCAAUCAUGUCACUUAAUGUGUGUGACCCAUUAGACUUCUAACAUGUUGGCAAUAAAUAUAAAUUAUAAUCAAAUAUCAAUUUGAUAAUUAAUUUAUAUUUAUAGAUUAUGAGUGGCAUCUAGCAAUACAUCAUGACCACCAAAAUAUUAGAGAGUCAAUUAAAGAAUUUGACAAAGCCCUUCAGUGAUAAGCCUCUCAGUGUAAUACGGUCCUUUCAUCAAAUAUCCCGAAUAUGUCAUUAAGUGUGGCUCGGUGUCUACUUAUGACAUUCAAUAUUAGUUCUCAUAAUUCAUGACUAACCUUAUAAAUUUAGAAAACUAACUUUCCUCAAAUUCAUCAUGCUUUGGCCAAAGACUUUAUACAAGUUAAUCAAGAAUUGAGAACAAGUGAGAUACAUCCCCUCAUAUCACUUGGGGUGAUGAAUCCUCUCUUGACCACUCAUUCACUUUCGCAUGCUUCAUGGCAUACCCAAACAUACCCUAUUUAGGCAUCUGGUCACCUCCAAACCCGUAAGGGUGAAAUCAAAGUAUGUUAUUCCCCAUACAAAAUGACUUGGUGUCUCAAGUCUAAGAACUAGUUGCAUGACUAUCACAUGAGAACAUUUUCCAUAGGCACUUGAGUUAAAUACCAAAUGAAGUUCUCAUAGCAGGUCAUAUUCAGUGAACUUGUUCUUUAACAAGCACCUACACGUUAUCCUCCAGUAUCCCAUAUAUUUCAAUCUAUGAGAUCAAUUGUUUACUUUCCAAGUAAGGAGGCUUAACAUGUACUAGUCUUUGAACAUUGUCAAUGCCUUGUCUUGACAAUACAAUGACCAAGAACAAUUUUAAGAACAUAGCUUUGAUGCAUAGUGAUCUCAUAAUUGUAACAACUUUACAAUUCUCUUGCAAGGCCUUUAUUUUCCAUGGGCUUCAUCCAAUUAGUACUUAAUAACUCUUUAUUAUUGCACUAACAUGAAGGAAAACCUCUAUCACAUAUAAUUAUGUGAUUAAAUAUGCAUUAAAUGACAGUAUAUAUUCCUUGAUCAAUCCAAUUGGCUCAAAGGCAUAUACCAACAAAAACAUGUACUCUAAUAGGCAUCUGCUGAUUUUGCUGUAGUCAAUGACUCUCGAUUUCUAAAUAUCAUCAUGGUAACAGAGUUGGGUAGCAAUGUGCCUAAGAAGAAUGCUUUCGUCAAAUUCUACAUCAAUUGUGCUCCAUUUAAGAAGCUCAAGGCACUUCAUUUCAUCAAGCACACAAUCACCUUUGUAAUUCAAUAUUUUGACAGAAAGAGGUAUGCUUGUCUUUUGCCACUUGCAAAUAGCUUUGUAACCUGAAUUUGACGGUAUCAACAAUGCAGUUAAAAAGAUCAUCAACAUCCCCAACUUUCUUUAAAAAUUUAUAGGUGAGAAAAAUUUCUAAAAUUUUAUCAAAAUUAUUGAAAGUUUAGAUUUCUUUCCAAUAUCAGGGGUUUUCAUGUACCCAAGAGAUAAAAGUGUCAAAUGUUUAUUUCAAGAGAUAAUUUUAAGGAAACAAAAUAAAAUAGUUUCUUAAAAUUCUAGGAUUAUAACAAAAAGUCAAAAAAAUAGUGAUAAAGAAUAAAAAUAAAAAAUUGAAUGAUUUUGAAAAUAUAUAAAUAACCAAACCCAUUGAAUAUUUAAUUUUCCAAUGGUUUGCAGAACAGCACCUUACAUCUUUGCCAAGGAAGGAGGAACUAUGGUGUAAGAAAUGGUAAACUGAAAUAGAUUGUUUUUUUAAUAGAAAUGUGCUCAAAUUAAAAUACUUUUAUUUUAAAUAUAUGAAUGUGAUGAAAUUACAGUGAAAAAUUAAAAAAAAUGCUUAAAGAUAAUAUAAAUUGAUUAUAUACAAUUAAUAUAUCUUAUCCACCUAUAAAGUUUCCAAGUUUUUCUUUUGGAGGGUUUGACACUAGGGAGUUGGAGAAAGUAAAAGCUCUUAUCUUGGAAUUGUCCACUAAUGCCAAAAUGUGCCAUAAGAAGGCAAACAUGAGUAAGUAGUUGUCCGCCACUAGCGAGAUGUUGAGCAUGCUCUUUCCAUCCACAAUGACCUGCGGCAUAUGUCAGUAGUUCCACCCACACUUUAUUCAUCAUAUCCCACUUUUCUUUGCGUGCCUGGUUCGGAGGUUUUAAAUUUUGCAAUUGUUUCGCAGGAAUGCACCCUUUGGAGAGAAUAACGGGCUUGAUUCAAGCGACAUUCAAUUUUUCCAUUAUGUUGUUUCCUUGCAAAAUAUUAGUGCCCCUUUCAAGCAACUCUUUGCAGGCUUCUUCCAUUUGCAUGUCUCUCUUUCUUCCAAAAAAAUCGAUCACCUCCUCACAGGCUUUUUUGUACCUUAUAUAACCAAACCCUUUGGGUAGCAUAUUUGGACACAUGACAACAAGGUAAAGCAUGUACUCCGAUAGGCAUCUGCUGAUUUUGCUGCAUGCAUUGAGACUACUGAAACCCUGAGUCCGAUUAUCAUCAUGGUAACAGAGUUGGGUAGCAAUGUGCCAAAGAAGAAUGCUUUCGUCAAAUUCUACAUCAGUUGUGCUCCAUUUAAGCUCAUCAAGCACACAUUCACCUCUAUAAUUCAAUACUUUCUUGCAUAAUUCAGCAUUAGAAAAAUCUUCAGGUUUUUGAAGUCUAUUACCUAGUUGAUCAAAGAUGAGGCAUUUUAGAUCGUCAUCUAUCCCUUGCUGCCACUCCACAUUCCGAUGCUUCUCUAAUUUUUCAUAGAUUCCAAGUAACUGUCCAACUUUAAUGCACUUGGUUCCCUCCUUUUUGAGGCAAAACUUCAUAAGGUUGUACCUGGCUAUGCUUCUAGACCACCUCUUAUCCCUUGUCAUUCGUUUUAAAGAAAAACAUGUUUCUUGCCCAACUAGCGAAAGCUUUGUCCAGUCAGAGCAAGUAAGCAUGAACAGCGCAUAAACCUCAAGAACAACAGCUCCAACUAGCAAGAAGUAAGUUACGGAAAUGUCGACCGGAAAGUGUUUGUGCUCAUCGAUGAUGAUUGAGAAGGUAACCAAUGCAGAAACAGAGGCCAAACAAGUAAUGCAGCGGAGAAAGAUUCCAAAACAUGAGUGGACUAGCGUUGCUUUGGUGUAGAGCAAAUCAUAUAAAAGUCCUAGCUCAAAUUCUACCAAUUGAAAGGCCUCGUCUGGUUUCAAGCAGCGAAUCAUAUUGUUGCAAAGGUGUCCCUGCUUUCGAUCAAGGAUAAAGUCUGCAAAUAAGACUUUCAGCCUCUUGAAAAAGAAAUCAACUCGAAGUAGGAAGGUGCCAUCAACUGGGCUUGUUACAGAAUUUUCAACGUCGUUGUCCUUAGUUAAAGCUGUUUCUGAGAAUAAGGAGGUUCUAGCUUGGUGCUUGAGGACAUGAGCACGUAAGUCCUUUCUCCAUACUUGAUAAUUCCUGCAGUGAACACUGGCAUGGCUAUAGAAAAGAAGGUGGUGUCACUGUCGAACGAAGACCUCAAUAAAAUAUAAAUUGCAACUCCUGUUUGAAAAACAAGACCAAGAAAAUGCCUUAGCCAUAACUCAUUGUCUUCUAGAGAGUAAGCAGUAAUAGUAUCUGGGCCACCAAGGUGCAAGAGGAGGAACAGAGCCCAAAAUGACUGGAGUGGGUGCUUUAUCGGAAUAUUAUUUCCCAAGGACCUGGCAAUAACACCCAAUGCAACAGUUGCCACCCAAUCUGCUGACAUGUAUGUAGACCAAACAAGGACCUUGACCCAUGUACUUGCCGUACUCUUUCUUUUGGAACCAAAUGCAACGAGUAUUACUUGUAAUGAGAGGCUGAGUAAAACCAGUACUCGUAUCUCCCAUCCAUGCCAAAGUUUUAGCAGUGUUUCAACAAUAGUCAUUGCCGGUCUUUUGUUUGCCUAAAACAAGAAAUAACUAUACAUAUAUAAUUAACUUCAUGUUUGGACAUCCCAAAAAGCAAACAUAGGAAGAUGGACAAAGAAAAAUAGAGAAAAAGGCAUUAACUUUUCAAAUUUCUUUAUUAUUCUAAACUCCUUAAUGUAUUUUUUGUUAUCAAUUUCUUAAUUUGGUAGCUUGUUUAUAGAAAAUUGGUGUAUAUUAAUUAAUAUCAUAGGAUGACAAUAUAAUAUUUUAGAAAAAUAAACAACCAAUGAGAUAUAUAAAUAUGAUAAUUUUAACAAAUUUUUGAAAGAUAAUUUUAUUAAUAAGAUAUUUCACAAUUAAAAGUUAAUUAAUUUUAAAUAAUAAUAUAGUAAAAAUUAAUUAAUUAUAAAAGACAUCUAAUUCCAUAAUCACAUGUUUAUUAUUAUUAUUGUUAUUAUUAUUAUUAUUAUCAUUAUCAUCAUCAUCAUCAUUAUCAUUAUCAUUUAAAUAAAAAAUUUGCACUGAAAAUGUAUUACUGAUUAAUGGUUAUAUUAGUAAUAGGCUAAACUCAAAGAAAUUGCAUUUAACUUAUCCGUGCAAGUGAAAAUGCUAUCUAUUAAUCAAGAAAAAUCUCUUCCCCGAUAUAAAAGUUAUUGAAACUCACUAUGUAAAUCUUAUAAUUAUUUAAACUCUUGAAUGAUUUAAUAGAAUACAUAUUCUAGUUUGUGAUGUAGCUAAAUUUAAAUUUUAUGAAGAACAAUUUACUUUAAUCAAAAGUUUAAGGAUAAUAAGGAAAUAUAUAGAUAGAUAAAAAUUAGACAGUCCAGGCACUAAUUGUAACAUAUAAAGAAUUCCACUAAAAAAAGUUAGAAUAAAAAAAUUAAUAGAGAGUUAUAUAUGCACCUAAUUAUUUAAAAAAUUAUCAAGGUUCUUUUGAUAUAUUAAAAAAAGUCUUCUUUAACUACACCCAACCCCUUCUUGGUAUUAACUAUUCUAUGUCUAAUGGAAUAGCUUCAAAAUUUGUUAAGACUAAAUUACCCCUCAUAAGUUUAGAAAUUUACAACCCUUCGAAUAUUAAUGUUUAAAUUAUAAUAAAAUAUUAAUAUUUAAAAUUAUCUUUUAUUAAUAUUUUAAAUAAAUUAUUUAUUAUUAAUUAUUAAUAUUUAAACAAUAAAAUAAAAAUAAAUAAGCAUAAUAACAUUUAAAUUAUGAAUAAAAUAUUAAUAUAUUAUAAUUUUAAUGACUAAAUUAUAAAUAAAAUAUUAAUAUUUAAAUUAUAAAUUAUUAAUGUUUUAAAUAGAUUAAUUAUAAAUUAUUAAUAUUUAUAAAAUAAAAUAAAAAUAAAUAAUCUCAUAAAUAAUAAAAGAUAUUUUGUCUUUUAUCGUUUAUUACUUUCUUAUUCCAAAUUAAGCUAUUUUUACCAAUCAAAUACUGUAAUAGGUCAUAAUAACUAUUCAUUUCCUAUUUCAAUUAUCACAUCAAACUACGUAAUAACUAUUAUAUUUUUAUUUUAAUUUAUUUUUAUAAAAUAAUUAUUUUAUUAUAUUAUUAUGUAUUUCACAAACCAAACAUGCUGUAUUAAUUUAACAUGGCCAGUGACAUCAUUUCAAUAAUGAAUGAAUGAACCUAUCUCUUGCUUAUUAAAAUAAAAAAAGAGGAAAUAAUCAAAUCAAACUGAUAGAGACUAACAUCAUAGUACUUUUGUGUCUUAAUAAAAAAAUCCACUCACCUAGAUACAGCUCCCAAGAAGUGGCGAAGUAGAGUGGAAACUGCUUUGAUGCUUCCUGAGCCAAUGCGCCUUUGACUAAAAGGAAAGAAAUUUUUAAGUACUAAUUGAUCAAAUCAAAUAAUUUGGCACACAAUCUAACAUCAUAUUACUCUUGAAGUCCUAAUCAAUUGACAAGAAAAUAAAUAUAUUAUUUUCUAUGAGCAAUCUAACAUCAUUUUCUCUUUGAUCCUCCUCCUGUAGUUGAUCCGAUGUUGAUGCGCAUUAACUGUUUUUUAUGUUGUUCAGUAUUGGGGUGUUGUCGGCUUGAUUUGUGCUUAAUCAUAAGGUGUUGUGAGUGAUGAAAUAGCUCUAUCUCUUGGGAUGCUGUUUCAUUUUUGUUUUCUCAUUCUGACUGGUUCAGUUACAUACGUUUUUUUUUUUUUAAUAGCGGUUCAAUUACAUACUUGUUUAUGUAUUACUCUAUUGAUAUGUAAAAAAAAUUGGUUUUUAAUUAAGAAAAAAUUGAUAAAAAUAUUAAAUAAAAAUAAUAUAUAAAAGAUAUGGUAUUUAACUUUUAUUGACUUAGAUUUCAGUCAAAGGGUAAAAUUAUUACUUUUAUAAAAUCUUUAAAAAAGAAAAGAGGUGGUCAGACAACAAAAGAUACAAUUUCAUUUUUAUAUAAUCAUAUCCAAGGAUCUAAAUUUUUAUAUAUUCUUUUUUAUAUAAUUUCAUUUAUGAAGGAAAAAGAAAAGGGAAAUCUCAACCCCAAUAGCUAGUGAAGGACUGCUGGAGCCUCCUUUUGAUGCUUUCUAAUCAGCCAAUGUGCCUUGAAUGAAAACAAUGAAAGACACUCAUAAAUUUAUAGCAGUGAAAAAAAAUUCUUUUAAAGGCAUGACGCAAUGAAUGAUAGGAGAAGAACAAAAUUUGGAUGCAUGCUUCGGCCUUAAGUUGUCCAAAUAUCAAGGACAAGUAAUAUAGCAUGUCUCAUGAGAUAUGAGUUCAAAACAUAUAUCAAGGCCUAUAUAUGCUGCAAAAAGUGCAUGUAAAAUAUUAUUAAUUACUCGGAUUUUGUUAAUUAGUGUUCUAAUUAAUUAAGAACAAUUAUUAAAAUGUUAUUUUUUACAUUUUAUAACAAAAUUUAUUGUUUUAAAAAAUAUUUUUAUUUCAAAUGUAAACAUUGAUAAAUAAAUAGAUUGAUGAUUGAAAUACACUUAUUAUUUAUUAUAUAUUUACUAUUAUGAAUAUCAUUUAAAUAAAAAAGUUUGCAAUGAAGAGUAUUACUGAUUAAUGGUUAUAUUAGCAAUAUGCUAAAAUUAAAGAAAUUGCAUUUAACUUAUUGACUCUUUUUACAAAAUUUUAUGUUUUGCUCAAUUCUGAAAACUUAUAAUUUAUAUGUUCCUUCUAAUUAUAUAUGAAAAAUCUCUUCUUAUAUACUUGCAAUCGCCAUGUAUUUUUAGUUGGAUAUAAAAUUUAUCGAAACUCACUAGUUAUGUUAAUCUUAUAAUUAUUUAAAGUCUCGAAUCAUUUAAUACAAUACAAAUUCUAGUUUGUGAUAUAGCUAAAUUUAAAUUUUAUGAAGAAUAAUUUUUUUUAUGGAAAGGGGAUUCGAACCCAUACUUUUAAGUAGAGAGAUCAUGUACUAACUAAUAAGCCAAAUGCUGCGAUGCUUAUAAACAAUAAUUUACUUUAAUUUAAAGUUGAAGGUUAAUAAGGAAAAAGAUAGAUAAAAAUUAGAUAGUUUAUGCAUUAAUUGUAACAUAUAAAGAAUUCCACUAAAAAAAGUGUAUAUACACAAUUAUUUAAACAAUUAUCUAGGUUUUUAUUUAAAUAUCAAAAGAAUAAGGAGAUUUGAACCAUCUCUUUUUUAAAAAUAACAUGAAGCUACUUUAAGCUAAAUACUCAAACUCAUUAUUAUAAAGUAAAAUUUUAAAGUACUAAUAUGAUCAAAUCAAAUUGAUUGUGGCUCUAACAUGAUAUUACUUUUGAGUCUUAAUCAAUAAAUCCACUCACCCGGAAAGUACAAACCCCAAGAAGUGGUGAAGCAGAGUGGAAACUGGCUUGAUGCUUCCUGAGCCAAUGCGCCUUUGACUAAAAGGAAUGAAACUUUUAAGUACUAAUAUGAUCAAAUCAAAUAAGUAGGUAAAAAUAUUCCAAUUCCCUAAUCAAAUGCCUUUAAAAAAAAAAUCAAAUAAGCAGGCACACAAUCUAACAUCAUAUUACUCAUGAAGUCCUGAUCAAUUGAUAAUAUUUAUACAUUUCCUAUGAUCAAUAUAACAUCAUUUUCUCCUCGAUCCUCCUUUUGUAGUAGAUCCUGUAUUGCUGCGCAUUAACUGUUUUUUAUAUUUUUCAGUGUUGGGGUGUUGCGGACUUCAUCUGUGCUUAAUCUCAGCUUAUAUUCUGCAUUGAUUUAUAAAGUGUUGCAAGUGAUGAAAUAGUUCUAUCGGUUGGGAUAUUGUUUUAUUUUUGUUUUCUUAGUUUGACUGGUUCAGUUACAGACCUUUUUUCUUAUAAUUGGGAGAGGGAAGAUUUGAACUCUAUUCUCUAUGCAUCAAUCAAUGAGUCAAAUAUUUAGGUGCAGAUUCAGUUAUAGACUUGUUUAUGUAUUAAUUUUUUUAAAAAAUGUAAUUUAUUGAAUUGCUUCUAACCCAACACGUCAUAGGUAGUCUUUAGCUAAUUGUCUUAAGACUCCCAAUAACAUAAAAGGUUUGGCUUGAGUGUAAACCUGUACAAUUGCCAACAUUCAGCCACACAAAAAGAAAUCGGUGGCUCUUACUAGAGAACUACCUUGCUACUUAAUAAAAUUGAAUUUUGAUUGAGCAAUCAAAAUUAAUAAAAAAACUAUAAAAUAUAGAAGAAAUUGUGAGAAGUAACCCUCCUCAUAAGCUCAAUUCAAAAAUAGGCGCAUUUUUAAAAAUAACUCUUAAAGAUAGGAUGCUUUAAAAAUAACUCUCUUUAUAAUUUCAACUAUUUUUAACCAAGUUUGACAAAAAUAUCCUUAAUAAAAUUACACGUUAUGAUGUUACACGUUAUAUACAAAAACAUGUUACAUACCAUGGGUUAAAAAAAAUUGUUACACACCAUGUUGAAAAAAAUAUUGUUGUAACAUGCCAUAUAUAAAAACAUGUUACAUGUCAUGUUGAAAAAAAAAAUAUUGUUAUUACACUCCAUGUACAAAAACAUGUUACACGUCACUAAUAAAAAAAGGUUGCUACAUGCCAUAUUAAAAAAAAUUAUUGUUACAUGCCAUAUUCAAAAAAAUUUUGUUAUACUUUAAUGUUUAAAAUGUUGUUUUUAUUUACGAACCAAAAUUUCAAAUCCUCUUAACUCUCUUCAAUUCUUUUUUUUUUUUGACAAUUUGGCACCGACUAAAGUGUUUUAAACAUAUUUUCAUAAAUCAAAACACAAAUUUUUCUUAUCUAAAACACCUAUUUCGACUAAAAAUAAAAAAAUUUCCAUUGAAAACCUAGGUUUAUAAAUUUCAAAUUCUUAAGUUUAUUGGUAUCUAGGUUCUAAAUUGAUCCAAUUAAAAGCUAUUUCAAACGUUUGUAAUUAUUUUUACUAUUUUAGUUUCAUCCAAAAGAUCUAAAAACCCUUUUUUACUUUUGUGAAGAAAAAAAAAAAGAAAACUCACCCCCAAGAGCUGGUGAAGGAUCGGUGGAGCCUCCUUUGAUGCCAAUCAGCCAAUGUGCCUUGAAUGGAAACAAUCAGAGCUGGUGAAGGAUCGGUGGAGCCUCCUUUGAUGCCAAUCAGCCAAUGUGCCUUGAAUGGAAACAAUCAAAGAGACUCAUAAAUUUAUAGCACUGAAGAAAAAUUCUUUUAAAGGCAUGAAGAAAGGAAUGAUAAGAGAAGAACAAAUUUUGGAUGUUUGCUUUGGCCUUAGGUUAUCCAAGUAUCAAGGAAAAGUAAUACAGCAUGUCUCAUAAAAUAAGAGUUCAAAGGAAUGCAUCAAGGCCUAUGCUGGAAAAAAUGCAUCUAAAAUAUUAUUAAUUACUCGGAUUUUGUUAAUUAGUGUUCUAAUUAAUUAAAAACAAUUAUUAAAAUGCUAUUUUUUACAUUUUACAACAAAAUAUAUUAUUUUAAAAAUAUUUUUUUUUUCAAAUACAAUCAUUGAUAAAUAAAUAGAUUGAUGAUUGAAAUACACUUAAUGAAAAUAUUACUUUUGAAAAUAACCUUACAAGCAUAUUUGCAAGAAAUCUUAGGAGUAAAUGUCACGACUCGGAACUCCCAUCGGGCCAAUGAUAACCGCCGCGACGUCUCGAUAGGCAUUCAUUACCCCGAAUGCCAAUCGAAACCCCACAAGGCUUAGCAUCAGCUUUCGCAUCUCUUCGGUGAGCAACAGUUAUUAAAUCUCACAUUUCAAGAAAUCAUAAGUAAUUUCCAAAUCAAAAUAAUAAAAUAUUAUUUUUUUAGCUCACAGGGGCAUUUUCGUCAUUUUUCUUCAAAAAUACCGAAACCCGUCAAAACAUGGUGUAAAAGAUAAAUAUGUUCAUACAUACUUUAAAUCAGAUAACUGAACUAUAAAAUUACUUUUACAAUGACACGUGGGCCCCCAACUGACCAAGAAGGUGUAGGGCUACAAACCCUUACUUUCUAGGAUGCAACUCCGAGAUUAAUUCUCGUCUUAAUCAACUAUCAACAAACUAUCCUGAGCUUGAAAAAUGGAUAGAAAGAGGGGUGAGAUUAUGAUUACAUAAUCCUAGUGAGUAAACAGAUACUAUCUAAACUAUCUAAAGGCGAGUAAAGGGAGACAAUUAAAAAUAGUUCAUUUCAGAAAAUUUUUCACAACACGAAUAUUCAUUUCAACCAAAUAAUCAAUAUGGCUCGUGAAUUUCUCAAAACUUGGCUCCUGCCAAAAUCAUUCUCGCGGGUACCUUCGUCAAGGUAUCCCACCGAGACCGCCAAGGUUGUUAAAUGUCCCAUACCCAUAAACAUGUUUUCGCAUCUGACACACAACCAUUCCUUGACGUUGGUUGAGUCUCACUCUCACGCGGUGGUUAACGUGAAGUACACUCAAAAAGCCCACCUCAGGAGAUACCCUACGCGCCUCUACGACCGAGGUGAGAAUAUAAAGGAGUUUACCAUGCCCCUCUAAUAGGUUGGUCCACGGAACCUCCCACCACUGCAGUAGCUAAUCUUUAAUCCACCAAUUGAUCAAAUCUCAAUGGCAUAGCAUGACAAUUACAUUACUAACCAAUUUAUCAAGGCAAAACAGACAGUUCAUAUUUUUCAACACAGGUAUAAAUUCAGCCAAUCAUGCCAAUUUAUCACAAGCCAUUUAAUUCAAAUCAUAAUUUACAAUAAAUCACAUGGUCUCCAAUUACUCAAAUGUUCAAAGCCAUCACUCAAUUUCAAGACAAUUUUAUGAAAUCAUUUUAUUAAAUCACAUUUUGUUUAUAAAACAUAAAGAUUUACCAUUUAAACUCAUUUUUCAUAAAAUCACAAAAUCGGAUAAAAAUCACUUUAGAUAAUUCAGAAGAUAAUAGGUUUACUCACAGUUCUAGGAGUAGAAAUACUCUUAUUUUCAGUUCGCGGGUACAGUCCUUUACCCGUAUCCAAUGGCUCACCACCUAGCCAUAAUCCAUGACACAUAUUCCAAUUAAAUUGUGUCUAACAGUCAUAAGCUAUUUCAGGCUCGAUAUAUAUAUGCAUGAUAUGAAAUGAAAAAUGCACGGGUAGCCAUAUAGACCUGGUAUUGGCCUAAGUCGAUUUUUCAUCCAAUAAAUUGGCCAAUGCGUCCAAUUUCACUCCAACUUGCUCCAUUUCUUUUCUAAUCCCUCAAUUCACCAAGCACAACUAAUUAACACACAAUUAGGCAAAUUUAUCUUCACUUUUCUUCUUGGAACUUUCGGCCAACAAUGGUACACUAACUCCGUGAUUUUUCCUACUUAAUUUUCUUUCCUAUAAUUNNNNNNNNNNNNNNNNNNNNNNNNNNNNNNNNNNNNNNNNNNNNNNNNNNNNNNNNNNNNNNNNNNNNNNNNNNNNNNNNNNNNNNNNNNNNNNNNNNNNNNNNNNNNNNNNNNNNNNNNNNNNNNNNNNNNNNNNNNNNNNNNNNNNNNNNNNNNNNNNNNNNNNNNNNNNNNNNNNNNNNNNNNNNNNNNNNNNNNNNNNNNNNNNNNNNNNNNNNNNNNNNNNNNNNNNNNNNNNNNNNNNNNNNNNNNNNNNNNNNNNNNNNNNNNNNNNNNNNNNNNNNNNNNNNNNNNNNNNNNNNNNNNNNNNNNNNNNNNNNNNNNNNNNNNNNNNNNNNNNNNNNNNNNNNNNNNNNNNNNNNNNNNNNNNNNNNNNNNNNNNNNNNNNNNNNNNNNNNNNCUUCUGGUUUGGCUGAUCACUAUGGGAGAAAUGGGCUGAUUUUUUGCCUUUUUAUAAAGAAAUAAUAAAAUAAUAAAAACAUGACACAUGGCAUUUCCUUAUUGGUUCAAAUUUUAAAUAUUUGACUUUUAAUUCUUUAAUUCUCCACCACACAUUUCUCAUGUUUAUCCAUUUCCACGAUGAAUAAAAUUCCCUGGUCUGGACAAAUGUCGAGGUGAAAAUUUACUGAUUUGCCCUUGAGGUGGUAAAAUUACCAUUUCGCCCCUAUACUCCAAAUUAUACCGAAAUUAAAAUUUUUCACUUCUAAACCUCAAAUCAUACUCCAAUACUCAAAUCAUACUCCAAUAAGUCAAAUGGAGCCAAAAAAUAUUUUCUAAAAAUUUUCAUUUUGUCCCAAAGUGGCAAAUGACCAUUUUGCCCCUAGAUAGUGAAAAUUUCGGUUUGACUCCAAAUUGAUCCUCGAACUCCGAAUUACCAUUUUGAGUCAUCCCUAAACUGUGAAACUCUUAAUUUCACCUUAAAAUUCCUAUUUGAACUAGUUCGAGGCUUAAUCGACUUAAUGGUACCAUUAUGGGCAAUAUCGUCUUUUAACGAUUCCUCGAACUUCCUAAAUAUACAAAUAUUCUAUUGAGCAUGUAAAUGACGUCGUAAUUAUUUUAUAGAACAAGGUUUGACAGUGACUAUGCCUCCACAUCUAAUUCUAUUUUUCCUUCAAGCAAUUGUUUAUUAGAUUCUCAAAGCAGAGCAUGGAAAACGAUGACCCCUUUUUUAUUUAUAUAAAGUAAAAAAGAAUUUUAUUUAACGAUGAGCCUAAUUCUAUUGUUCGUUCGUGUCUUUGUUUGUCUACAACUUACAUGAGAGUCUAAUUAUUUUUCCAAACUGUGAAAGGCCUUACAACUCUAAAAGGUACAACUUCAAUGGUAAUUAAAUUGGUCUAAGACUCCUUCAUAUAAAAACCAUAUUCCUUCGUAUAAAUAUAGAUCUCAAAUAAAUUUUCAAAUGAUUAGUGUAUUGGUGUUGGUAGAUUGCUCAAGCAAGCCUCUAUUUGAUCAUUUAUUUAUUGUAAAAUGUAAGUUUCUUUAUGUAAAUGAAAAAAAAAAUGUAUGAAUGAUAAUUCAUGGAUAUUUUAGUUGUAUUUUAUUAUUUUUUAUACAAUUAUAUGAAUUAUUAUAAAAAAAUUUCAAGUAGACCUAUCCAUGAGUUAGGUGGUUCACCAACUUGCGAGUUUGGCUUGAAUUGUACCCCUGAUAUUAUUAUUUUAUGAAAUAACAAUCUUUGGGCCAUACCCUAUACAACGAUAAGAGACACUUUUGAUAUUCUUGAAAGGAAAACCGAAAGGACCGUAGCUAACAGUAGCCAAUUGGCCUUAUGGUGUCCGUGGAUUACCAUUGGAGAUUGAGCACUUAAAAAACUUGCCUUGAUGUUUGAAGGUUUCCAUUCAUAGGAUUUUGAACUUUGAGAUUUUGACAAUUAGGAUUUGAAGGUAUAACAAUAUUUUUACUACUAGUUAAUUAGAUUUUCUAUGUUAAACAAACCAAACAUUUGAUUUUACUAUUGAAAAGAAUUUUCAAUUCCACUGCAAUAUGCUCAUGUUGAUUGCAUGAUUUCCCAACAAUCAUCACUAGACAACCUUUUAAUAUCAGGAGCAACAAUGGAAAGAUGAUUAACCAAGGGGCCUUUUCUCAUUUUUCCAACAUCCUUAACCACAUCAGCAUACGUUUUGCGCUGAUGAUAGGCCUCAAACCUAGAACCAUUUUGAAAACAAUCAGAAGACCUGAAAUUCUCUGUAAGAGCAGUCUUAUGAAAUUCGAGGAGAGAGUAUAAAUAGUUAUUCACCCCAUGUUGAGCAUUUUAAAGAAAGUCACAAGACUCUUGAAGCAGAAAUCAAAUGCUUUCUUAUGGAAAGACAAAGACACAAAAGCUACAAGAACUAAAGUUAAUUAGCUGGGACUAAGGUUUCCAUCCAAAGAAUGAAGGGGUUUAGCAUUUAGGCAUCAAGAAGAUCUCUCCUUGGAAUAAAGCCUGUAUGAUGAAAACCGUUUGGGCUAUUCUUAUUCAAUCAGGGUCACAACGUGUUGCUUGCAUCAAAUCCUAUAUAUGCACUAACAGGCAGAAGUCUGUGAUAUAUUCCUCUGUCUAGUGAUUGCUCAUGGGGGUGGAAGAAAUCUUGAAACUAAGAAACUAUAUCAAACCCUAUGUGCAAAACAUAAUAGAUGAUGGAAAACCCACAAAUAUUUGGUUUAAUUACUGCCAUCCUAAAUGGCCUUUGUUGCUUAUGCACUAUAAUUUCACGAUUCUCUUCCUUUUCGAGUAAAAGGGAUAACUGUACAUGAGUAUUUAACUCAUUGAUCAAUACAUGAUCCCCUACCUAAAAAAUAGAGUUUGAAUCUCUUUUUUCAAUUUACAAAAAUAAAAAAGAAAAAAGGGACAACUGUAGUUAAUGUUGUACUCUUCCCUUUCAAGCAAAAAGGAACAAUUGUCAUUAAUGCUGCAGGUUUGGUUUGGCCGCUGGCUAGAUCAGAUGAUUUAGUAGAGACUCAAUGCUCCUUUUAUGAUGUUAUUAUUCUUAAUCCGAGACGGAAAGAUGAAGCCAUCUGGACUUAGUCUAGCAAUGGAAUGGGAAGUUUACAAUCUCUAGUACUUGGAAUAUCGUUAGACAUAGAAAGCCAUCUUCUCUUGAGCCUUAUAGAGAAGAAACACUGCUUACCUGUUACUUAAAGAAGAAUACUAUCGUUCGAGAGAUUUUAAUAAUUUAGAUAGAUGACAUGAUUUUGAGGUCGAGACAGGAAAGGGGGCAUGAGAUCAGGGUAGGAGAUUUGCAUUCCUAGCUCCAUCUGUAUACAUGUACAAAUUAAAUUCAAAUUAUACCUAAAUGACUCUUAAUUAUCAAAUUAAUAUAUAAUUAAUUACAUUCAAUAAAAGAAACAAAUUAACAAGUCAACAUAUUAGUAUAUAGUUAAAAAUUGAUCAAAAUACCCACCAAGUUUUGUACUAAUGUAUUUUGUUUAAUUUAGUCUUUGUACACAAAAUCGAAAUAAUUUAAUCUCUUAAUUUUGAAAAUUACUUCAAUUUAGUCCAUUCCACUAACGUAAUCGAAUUUUACUAUUAAAAGGAUAAUGUCAACAUUGACAUCAGCGUUGAUGUGGCAUAUUUUGUUGGCGUGGCACCCACAUGAUGAAGUGGCAUGCCACAUGGCACCAACUUGAUGACAUGGUAGUGUCAUGUGACCCUAAUAUAUUGGCGUGUUAGUGUCACGUGGUAGAUAAAAAAAUUUUUGAAAAAAAUUUUUGUGCCACAUUAUAGGGACUAAAUUGAAUAAAAAUAUAUAAUACAUAGACUAAAUUGAACAAAAUUAAAAUGUUGAGAGACUCAAUUGAAAAAAAUAUUUGAAAAAUAUAAAUAUUUAAGUAGAUGAUAGAUAUACUUAUUAAUAAGUUAAAUAUUUAAGUGUAAAAUAUUUAUGGUGUUAUAAAUAUAUUUAAAUAUUUUCUCACUUGAUUAUUUAAUUGUAAAAUAUGUAUAUUAAUUUAUCUUCUUUACAAAAAUUAAGUUUGAAUUCUCCUUCUAUAAAAAAAAUCGAAAAAAAUUUUAUACCUAAAGUUAAAUUUAAAUAAAUAACUUGCAUUAUGUUGGAAUAAAUUAACAUAAAAAGACUAAAUAAUUUUUUUCAUUUAUUAUAAUAGUACAAAAAUUUGAAAUUUAUUUGACUUAAUAUUUAACUUGAGUUGAUCUCAAAUUAGCAAAAUAGGUUGAUUUAGUUUUUUCUUUUAAAAGAAUGAAGAAAGGAGAUAUGGAGUUAGCGAUCAUUAUAAAAAUGCUUCUUCAUUCUGACUUAUUUAAUUUAGGCAUGACAAACCUCUUAUUAUAACCCUAAAAUCUGAGUUACUCCACCUUUUUAAUUUUUUAUUUAUUUUUUAUGUUUUUAUUUUGUCUAAUAUUUCAGGUUAUAUUCUUUAGGUUGAAAUUUCUUGAAUUAAAAACUGUAUUUAUGGUUGAUAGAAUUAAAUAGAAUUGUAAAUAUUUAUAUAAUUUUAUUUUGUAUUUACAAAUUUUUUGUAGAUCUAAAUUAAUAAUCUAAAUUUAAAUUUAACAAAAUUUGAUUGUUUGAACUUAAAUAAAAUCGUUUUAUAAGAACCUUUGAGUAAAUUUAAAUAAAAAGUAAAUUAGGUAAGGGUUAAAUAAUUCCAAAAGAAUGAAUAUUUGCAAAUUGUGAAAGUUGCAAUUAAAUCAACCUAUUUUGCUUAUUUGAGUUCAAUUCAAGUUAAAAACUAAGUUAAAUAAAUUUUAAAAUUACCUANUACAAAAUUUUUGUAGAUCUAAAUUAAUAAUCUAAAUUUAAAUUUAACAAAAUUUGAUUAUUUGAACUUAAAUAAAUCGUUUUAUAAGAACCUUUGAGUAAAUUUAAAUAAAAAGUAAAUUAGGUAAGGGUUAAAUAAUUCCAAAAGAAUGAAUAUUUGCAAAUUGUGAAAGUUGCAAUUAAAUCAACCUAUUUUUGCUUAUUUGAGUUCAAUUCAAGUUAAAAACUAAGUUAAAAAAAUUUUAAAAUUACUAUUAUUAUAAAUAGAAUAAAAAAAUUUAUUUAGUCUUUUUACAUUAUUGUAUUCCAACAUAAUGCAAGUUGUUCAUCUAAAUUUAUCUUUAGGUAUAAAUUUUUUUUCAAAUUUCUUUUAUAGAAGAAGAAUUCAAACUUACUUUUUGCAAAGAAGAUAAAUUAAUAUACAUAUCUUAGAAUCAAAUGAUUAAGUAAAAAUAUUUAUAUAUAUUUUUAACACUAUAAAUCUUUUUCACUCAAAUAUUUGACUUAUUAAUAAAUAUAUCUAUCAUCUAUUUCAAAAUUUGUAUUUUUCAAAUAUUUUUUAGAUUUAGUCCCUCAGCAUCUCAAUUUUGUUCAAUUUAGUCCAUGUACUAUAUAUUUUUGUUCAAUUUAAUUCAUGUAUUAUAUAUUUUAGUUCAAUUUAAUCUCUAUGACGUGGGACAAAAAAAAUUUUAGAAAAUUUUUAAUUUGUCAUAAGGCACUAACACGUCAAUGUGUCAGUAUCAUGUCAUCAUAUUAGGGUCACAUGGCACUGUCACGUCAUUAAGUUGGUGUUACGUGGUAUAUCACGUCAUCAAAAUAUAUCAUGUCAGUGUUGACAUCAUUCUUUCAACAGCAAAAUUAGAUGUCAUUAGUAGGAAGGAUUAAAUUAAAGUAAUUUUCAAAAUUAAGAGAUUAAAUGGUUUCGAUUUUUAAUAUGGGGACUAAAUUGAAUAAAAUGCAUAGAUACAAGGAUUUGGUGGGCAUUUUGACUAUUAAAAAUUUUAACUUAAAGUCAGAUCAUUAAUUAUUGGCAAUAUAAAAGUCAAAUAAAAAAAUUAAAGAAUUUACAAAGUCAAGAACAAUGAAAGAAUUUACGAAAAGUCUAAGAAUGAUAUAUUCAAUUUUGAGCACAUCCAAAACGAAAAUGAAUUUUGUUUUGAAAUAUUCUUGGUCUUCUUUCUAAAGCUUUCAGACUUGACCUGGAAUUGAUCCAAACGACCCUCUCCUCUCUAUAUAAACACGAAUAUUGAACCAACAGAAGCGCGCAAACCCAUUAAAGAUCUCGAGAUUCUUUGUGAAAAAAUGAAAGCUUCAAGCUCUAUACUAUCCAUCGUUUCGAUCCUUUUGUUAUCAAUUUCAUUGGUAACAUCAGAAUCAGCUCUUGAUAAUUUCCUGCAAUGCCUUCCUCAACAUUCCAACCCCUCUAAUCCAAUCUCUGAUGCCAUAUACACUCCCAACAAUGCCUCCUUUCAAUCUAUUUACGAGUUACGUGCAAAUAACCUUAGAAUCCUAUCUUCUGUAACCUCCAAACCAGUGGCCAUUAUCACAGCCCUGCAUGAAUCCCAUGCUCAAGCCACUGUCAUUUGCGCCAAGCGCCAUGGCUUCCAAGUAAGAAUUCGAAGCGGGGGUCACGAUUAUGAGGGCCUAUCCUAUACAUCAGACGUCCCAUUCGUCAUUCUUGAUAUGUUUAAUCUUAGGUCUAUACAGAUUGAUAUGGCAAGCGAGACCGCAUGGGUUCAGGCAGGGGCGACCACAGGCGAACUGUAUUACCGGAUAGCCGAGAAAAGUAAAGUCCAUGGCUUCCCAUCUGGAGUUUGCACUACUCUUGGCAUUGGUGGACACUUCAGUGGAGGUGGCUACGGCCCCCUGAUGAGAAAAUACGGUCUUUCUAUCGAUAACGUCAUUGACGCACAAUUGAUCGAUGCCAAUGGUCGAAUCCUUAACAGAAAGUCCAUGGGAGAAGAUGUGUUUUGGGCAAUCCGAGGAGGUGGAGGAACUAGCUUUGGAAUCAUCCUCUCAUGGACGAUCAAGCUGGUUCGUGUUCCUGCUAAGGUGACUGUUUUCAACGUGCAGAGGACUUUGGAUCAAGGUGCAACAGAUCUUUCUUAUCGUUGGCAACAAGUUGCCCCUAACCUGCCUAAAGAUCUCUUCCUCAGACUUCAGGCUGAUCCUAUAACUGGAACUGGCAGCGGCAACAAAACCAUACGAGUUUCAUUCAUCGCCCAUUUUCUUGGACAAACUGAUAGACUUAUCCAACUGAUGAACGCCAACUUCCCUGAAUUGGGUUUGCAGCGAAGUGACUGCAUUGAAAUGAGUUGGGUCGAAUCCACCCUCUUCUGGGCCGGCUUCCCCAAUGGAACUUCCAUUGACGUCUUGCUCAAUAGAGUGCAAGAGGACAGAGUCUUCUACAAGACUAAGUCCGAUUACUACAAACAAGUGAUUCCCAAGGAAGGCUUGGAAACCUUAUGGGAAAUCUUGAUGGACAUAGAGGACAUUUUUAUCCAACUGAAUCCUUAUGGUGGAAGAAUGGAAGAGAUCUCAGAGUCGGAGACAGCAUUUGCACAUAGAGCUGGAAACCUUUACAAAGUACAAUAUACCGUGCUGUGGUCGGAGUCUGACGGAGGCAUCAGCGCUGAAGAGCGGUACGUUGAACUGUCAAGAAGAUUGUACAGUGCAAUGACUCCAUACGCAUCCAGCAACCCAAGGGAGGCAUUCAUCAACUACAGAGAUCUUGACAUUGGCAGCAACGAAAGCAACAACACAGAUUUUGCAGUUGCCAGCGUUUAUGGAGCUAAGUAUUUCAAGAACAAUUUCCUGAGAUUGACACGUGUGAAAGCCUUGAUAGACCCUGAAAAUUUCUUCAAAAAUGAACAAAGCAUUCCGCCAUUGCCGACUCACAAGUUCUAAUGAGGAGGAUAACCUGUGCUGCCCUUGUCAAACGUCACCGCUCCCAACCGUUAUAUUUUGUACGACCCUACAAUAAAAGAAAAUAAAAGCUUGUGUGAAAUAUCUUCUGAAUUUUUAUUUCUUAAAGGCAAGACUCGACUUUUUGCCAUUUAUUUGUUAUUAUUGCUUGUAAUUAACACCAUAUUGUUCUAUAUCUGUAAUAAAGAAUAAUUUAAUAUUUGUGUAAUUCAACAAGAAGAUAUUUCUAUGUAAUAAAGAAUAUGUGAUUUGAUCAUCUAUUAUUUUUUUUGUUCACAGUCAAAAUAAGAUAAUUUUAUUAAUAUAAAAAAUGAUGCAAUUGUUCAGAUCUCGAUAUAAUUAAGAUAUGUAAACAAAUAAAAAUUAGAGCCUCAUUGGAAACAUAAAAAAUCAAGACAAAUAAAUAGUUCUUAAUUAUUUAACACUAUCAUUUUCUAUUGCAAUAAAAAAAAUGAUUAGGUCAUCUAUUGUUUCUUUUAGUCAGAAUAAAAUAAUUUUAUUCAGAUCAAAAAAUUGAAGUAAUAGCUUAUAUCUCAAUAUAAUUGAGAUAAAUAAACAAUUAAAAAUCAGAUAUUUAUUGAUAUAUAAAGAAUCAAAACAAAUAAAUAACUCUUAUUCCAUGCAGUCAGUAAACGUAAAACCUUUCUUUAUAAUAAAAUAUAUAUGAUUGGAUCAUCUAUUUUCUUUUAGUCAAAACAAGAUAAUUUUAAUCAUUAAUAUAAAAAAUUGAUACAAUUGUUCAUUUCUCAAUGUAAUUAAGGUAAGUAAACAAUUAAAAAUUAGAGACUCAUUCGAAAUAUAAAAAUUCAAGACAAAUAAAUAUAUAGCUCGUAUUUCACAUUAUCAUUUUUUUGUAAUAAAGAAUAUAUGAUUCGAUCAUCUAUUAUUUCUUUUCGUCAAAAUAAGAUAAUUUGAUUAAUAUAAAAAAAUUGAUACAAUUACUGAUACCUCGAUAUAAUUGAAAUAAAUAAAUAAUUAAAAACACGUUUUUAUGUAACUAAAUUUGACUAAAACUAAUUUAAAGAGCUUGAUAUAUUUAUGGCCUUUGGUCCUUAAAAAAGAAGGAUAAGAUUGGCGGCUAGCCUCUUGGGCAAGUCAAAUCCAGCGGUGAAGUACGUAGCCAAUUCAUAGUUUAUCCCAUUUCUCUCUUGCAUUUUCUCUCCAUCCAAAAAGGAUGACCACAACAUAAUUAUCCAAUUCCAAACUCAAAAUUUCCUUUAUAAGAUAUAUAUGAAAAAUAUUAGACCUAGCUAUUUCUUGCUUGAAAUUCCUGUUCGAGAAACAUUGACUAUACCCAAAGUCAAAAGUCCAGGUUUCUUAUGGAUUGAAAACGUGUACCAUCAAACAUACCAGAAAGAUGAAAUUGUCUGAUUCACAAGCUAACGAACGAGAAGAUUGAAUUUGAACCUAUAUAUAUGUUCUGCACUGAUCUAAAAAGCCCUGGAUGUACGCUGUUGACAAUAUGAGUGUUGCAGUAUAUUUUUCUUCAAAGGCAUUGAAAUUUGUAUAGAGUCAUUAAAAGAGAGAUUGUUCCCAAUGAACAGAACCCUGGAUAUUUUGCAACUUAGCAUACAGCAUAUCUUUAUGUAACACCUCUGAUUAGACUAAAUCGUCUGUUAGAGAAUUUGUCUCUCUAAAUAUGUGAACGAAAGGAGAAACUUGUAUUGUUUCUCUUACAUUUCUCAAUGCAAUUUGCAAUGUGAAUCAUUCAUUAGGACUUUCGAGAAUGAUUACUGAGCCAUAAGAUUGUGUGUUUUCGAGUCACUUUCAAUAAUGAAAAAGUGCAUCAAAUCCUAUAUAUGCACUAACAGGCAGAAGUCUGUGAUCUAUUCCUCUGUCUAGUGAUUGCUCAUGGGGGUGGAAGAAAAUCUUGAAACUAAGAAACUAUAUCAAACCCUAUGUGCAAAACAUAAUAGAUUAUGGAAAACCCACAGAUUUUUGGUUUGAUUACUGCCAACCUAAAGGGCCUUUGUUGCUUAUGCACUAUAAUUUCAUGAUCUCUUCCUUUUCAAGUAAAUGGGGUAAAUGCACUCGAAUAUUUAACUCAUUGAUUGAUACAUGAUCUCUAUUUAAAAAAUAAUAUUUAAAUCCCCUUCUUCAAUUUAAAAAAAAAAUAAAAGGGACAACUGUAGUUAAUGUUGCACUCUUCCCUUUCAAGCAGAAAGGAACAAUUGUCAUUAAUGCUGCAGGUUUGGUUUGGCCUCUGGCUAGAUCAGAUGAUUUAGUGGAGACUCAAUGCUCCUCAUAUGAUGCUAUUAUUCUUAAUCCGAGACGGAAAGAUGAAGCCAUCUGGACUUAGUCUAGCAAUGGAAUGGGAAGUUUACAAUCUCUAGUACUUUGAAUAUCGUUAGACAUAGAAAACCAUCUUCUCUUGAGCCUUAUAGAGAAGAAACACUGCUUACCAGUUACUUGAAGAAGAGUACUAUCGUUCGAAAGAUUUUAAUAAUUUAGAUAGAUGACAUGAUUUUGAGGUCGACACAAGAAAGGGGCCAUGAGAUCAGGGUAGGGGUUUUGCAUUCCUAGCUCCAUCUUUAUACAUGUACAAAUUAAAUUCAAAUUAUACUUAAAUGACUCUUAAUUAUCAAAUUAAUAUAUAAUUAAUUACAUUCAAUAAAAGAAACAAAUUAGCAAAUCAACAUAUUAGUAUAUAGUUAAAAAUUAGUCAAAAUACCCACCAAGUCUUGUACCCAUGCAUUUUAUUCAAUUUAGUCUAUGUACUCAAAAUUGAAAUAAUUUAAUCUCUUGAUUUUAGAAAUUGUUUCAAUUUAGUUCCUCUCACUAACGGUAUCAAAUUUUAUUGUUAAAAGCAUGAUGUUAGCACUGACAUCAACGUUGAUGUGGCAUAUUUUGCUGGUGUGGCACCAACUUGAUGGCAUGGCAGCGCCACAUGACCCUAAUAUGUGACGUGUCAGUGCUACAUGAUAGAUAAAAAAAUUUUCGAAAAAAUUUUUUAUGCUACGUCAUAAAGACUAAAUUAAACAAAAAUAUAUAGUACAGGGACUAAGUUAAACAAAAUUGAGAUUUUGAGGGGCUAAAUUGAAAAAAAUAUUUGAAAAAUAUAAAUCUUUAAGUAGAUGAUAGAUAUACUUAUUAAUAAGUUAAAUAUUUAAGUAUAAAAGAUUUAUGGUGUUAUAAAUAUAUAUAAAUAUUUUCUUUAUUUUUUGAUCGUAGAAUAUGUAUAUUAAUUUAUCUUUUUUACAAAAAUUAAGUUUGAAUUCUCUUUCUAUAAAAAAAUUUCAAAAAAAUUUCAUACCUAAAGUUAAAUUUAAAUAAAUAACUUGCACUACAUUCAAAUAAAAUAAUAUAAAAAAACUAAAUAAAAUUUUUUUCUAUUUAUAAUAGUAUAAAAAUUUGAAAUUUAUUUGACUUGACUUUUAACUUGAGUUGAACUCAAAUUAGCAUGAUAAGUUGACUUAGUUUUUUUAAAAAAAAAAUGAAAAAGUGAGAUAUAGAGUUAGCAAUUAUUAUAAAAAUAAUUCUUCAUUUUGACUUACUUAAUUUGGGCAUGACAAACUUCUUAUUAUAAUCAUAAAAUCUGAGUUACUCCACCUCUUCAAUUAUUUAUUUUUUUAUGUUUUUGUUUUAUCUAAUAUUUCAGGUUAUAUUCUUUAGGUUGAAAUUUCUUGGAUUAAAGACUAUAGUUAUGGUUGAUAGAGUUAAAUAUAAUUAUAAAUAUUUAUACAAUUUUAUAUUGUAUUUACAAUUUUUUUGUAGAUAUAAGUUAAUAAUUUAAAUUUAAAUUUAACAAAAUUUGAUUAUUUGAACUUAAAUAAAUCGUUUUAUAAGAACCUUUGAGUAAAUUUAAAUAAAAGUAAAUUGGGUAAGGGUUAAAUAAUUCCAAAAGGAUGAAUAUUUGUAAAUUGUAAAAGUUGUAACUAAAUCAACCUAUUUUACUUAUUUGAGUUUAAUUCAAGUUAGAAACUAAGUCAAAUAAAUUUUAAAUUUUUAUACUAUUAUAAAUAGAAUAAAAAAAUUUAUUUAGUCUUUUUACAUUAUUUUAUUCUAACAUAAUGCAAGUUGUUCAUCUAAAUUUAUCUAUAGGUAUGAAAUUUUUUUCAAAUUCUUUUUAUAGAAGAAAAAUUCAAACUUAAUUUUUGCAAAGAAGAUAAAUUUAUAUACAUAUUUUAGAAUCAAAUAAUUAAGUAAGAAAAUAUUUAUAUAUUUUUUAACAUUAUAAAUCUUUUACACUUAAAUAUUUAGCUUAUUAAUAAGUAUAUCUAUUAUCUACUUAAAGAUUUGUAUUUUUCAAAUAUUGUUUCAAUGUAGUCCCUCAACAUCUCAAUUUUGUUUCAUUUAGUCUAUGUACUAUAUAUUUUUGUUCAACUUAAUCUUUAUGAUGUGACACAAAAAAAAAUUUUAAAAUUUUUUAUUUGCCACAUGGCACUGACACGUCAGCAUGUCAGUGCCACAUCAUCAUAUUAGGGCCACAGGGCACAGCUAGGUCAUCAUGUGAGUGUCAUGUCAUCAGAAUAUGUCAUAUCAGUACUGAUGUCAACGCUAACGUCAUCCUUUUAACGGUAAAAUUAAAUAUCAUUAGUAAGAAGAACUAAUUGAAGUGAUUUUCAAAACUAAGGAACUAAAUUGUUUCGAUUUUUAGUACAAGGACUAAAUUGAAUAAAAUGCAUAGGUAUAGGGACUUGGUGGGUAUGUUAGCCUUUAAAAAUUUUAACUUAAAGUUAGAUCAUUAAUUAUUGGCAAUAUAUAUGUCAAAUAAAAAAAUUAGAGAAUUUACAAAGUCAAAAACAAUUAAAGAAUUUACGAAAAGUCUAAGAAUGAUAUAUUCAAUUUUGAGAACACAAAUCGUCUGCCCCUGUUUUGUGCCUCGUUUAGUGCCCCUCUUAUAACUUGAUGUCAUGUGUAUGAUAGGUUUUUAUUUGUUAACGUCAGCUGUUAGGUCAUUUGUACUGCCGUUAAGUAUAAUUUCAGUCUAGGCUAACAUCAACACUUUACAGCCUCCUCUUUUCCACACUUCUCUCUUCAAAUCUUUGAUCAAAGUCAAGGAACAUUUUUACAUAAAGUUUUUUUUUCUGUUUUCUCUUCAUAUAUAUUCUGAUGAUGGUAAUAAAAAAUUAAAGAAGGAGAAGAUAAUUAAGAAGAAGAAGAAGAAGAAAAAGAGGCAAAAUGUAUAUUCUGCCAUUAGUUGUUAUUGUUUCCAGGGCGGUUAGAUAUUAACCUCAGUCUUAUUUGACAUAAUGUUGUCUUUGAUCUUCCUAUGAUGCCCAUCAACAUUCUCAUACUCCUGUGCCAAUAAGCAUCCAUCAACAUUCUCAUACUCCUGUAGCGAUCAGCAUCCAUAUCUGAGGUAAAAGACUUUUGGGUACUCUUUUUUGUCCAAUCAUGCUUGCCAGAGUCAAAAUCUUCAGAUGAAUAAGAGCACUUAUGUUUGCUCUUCUUAUGAUGCCUAUAAAACUCUGUUUUUUUCUUAGAAAUUAUGAAAUUUAUUGAGUAAUCGUAAAAUCGCAUUACUUUGAUUAAUGAGUGAUCAACUAGAGCAUCGAUUAUAUUUAAUUUAAUAUACAAAAAGUUUGUAUCGACAAUCCAUCCUUAGACUCAAUUAUACAACAAAAAAUUAUGUUUUCAAUUCUUACUCAAUCUUAUAAAUUAACUGAUGAGUUAAUCUGCAGCGUCUUUAAAUGAAUAAGAAUAUUUGUGUCUUCUCUUACUCUAAUGCUUAUCGAAAUUUGAUUAUCAAAAGAGCAUGUUUUAGAAUAAUUUUACCUCUUUUUCUUCUUCUUCUUAGUUAUCUUCUCCUUGUUUGAUUUUUUAUUACCAUCAUCAGAAUAUACAUGCAAAGCAAACAGAAAAAAAACUUAUGUAAAAAUGUUCCUUGACUUCGAUCAAAGAUUUGAUGAGGGAAGUGUGGAAAAGAGGAGGCUGUAAAGUGUUAAUAUUAACCUAGACUACUAAACGGCAGUACAAAUGACCUAACAGCUGACGUUAACAAAUCAAAACCUAUCAUAGACGUGGCAUCAAAUUAUAAGAGGGGCACAAAACAGGGGCAGACGAUUUGUGUUCCAAUUUCGGGCACAUCCAGAACGAAAAUGAAUUUUGUUUUGAAAUAUUCUUGGUCUUCUUUCUAAACCUUUCAGACUUGAUCUGGAAUUGAUCCAAACGACCCUCUCCUCUCUAUAUAAACACAUAUAUUGAACCAACAGAAGUGCACAAGCCCAUUAAAGAUCUCGAGAUUCUUUGUGAAAAAAUGAAAGCUUCAAGCUCUAUACUAUCCAUCGUUUCAAUGCUCUUGUUAUCAAUUUCAUUGGUAACAUCAGAAUCAGCUCUUGAUAAUUUCCUGCAAUGCCUUCCUCAACAUUCCAACCCUUCUAAUCCAAUCUCUGAUGCCAUAUACACUCCCAACAAUGCCUCCUUUCAAUCUAUUUACGAGUUACGUGCAAAUAACCUUAGAAUCUUAUCUUCUGUAACCUCCAAACCAGUGGCCAUUAUCACAGCCCUGCAUGAAUCCCAUGCUCAAGCCACUGUCAUUUGCGCCAAGCGCCAUGGCUUCCAAGUAAGAAUUCGAAGCGGGGGUCACGAUUAUGAGGGCCUAUCCUAUACAUCAGACGUCCCAUUCGUCAUUCUUGAUAUGUUUAAUCUUAGGUCUAUACAGAUUGAUAUGGCAAGCGAGACCGCAUGGGUUCAGGCAGGGGCGACCACAGGCGAACUGUAUUACCGGAUAGCCGAGAAAAGCAAAGUCCAUGGCUUCCCAUCUGGAGUUUGCACUACUCUUGGCAUUGGUGGACACUUCAGUGGAGGUGGCUACGGCCCCCUAAUGAGAAAAUACGGCCUUUCUAUCGAUAACGUCAUUGACGCACAAUUGAUCGAUGCCAAUGGUCGAAUCCUUAACAGAAAGUCCAUGGGAGAAGAUGUGUUUUGGGCAAUCCGAGGAGGUGGAGGAACUAGCUUUGGAAUCAUCCUCUCAUGGACGAUCAAGCUGGUUCGUGUUCCUGCUAAGGUGACUGUUUUCAACGUGCAGAGGACUUUGGAUCAAGGUGCAACAGAUCUUUCUUAUCGUUGGCAACAAGUUGCCCCUAACCUGCCUAAAGAUCUCUUCCUCAGACUUCAGGCUGAGCCUAUAACUGGAACUGGCAGUGGCAACAAAACCAUACGAGUUUCAUUCAUCGCCCAUUUUCUUGGACAAACUGAUAGACUUAUCCAACUGAUGAACGCCAACUUCCCUGAAUUGGGUUUGCAGCGAAGUGACUGCAUUGAAAUGAGUUGGGUCGAAUCCACCCUCUUCUGGGCCGGCUUCCCCAAUGGAACUUCCAUUGACGUCUUGCUCAAUAGAGUGCAAGAGGACAGAGACUUCUACAAGACUAAGUCCGAUUACUACAAAAAGGUGAUUCCUAAGGAAGGCUUGGAAACCUUAUGGGAAAUCUUAAUGGACAUAGAGGACAUUGUUAUCCAACUGAAUCCUUAUGGUGGAAGAAUGGAAGAGAUCUCAGAGUCGGAGACAGCAUUUGCACAUAGAGCUGGAAACCUUUACAAAGUACAAUAUACCGUGCUGUGGUCGGAGUCUGACGGAGGCAUCAGCGCUGCAGAGCGGUACGUUGAACUGUCAAGAAGAUUGUACAGUGCAGUGACUCCAUACGCAUCAAGCAACCCAAGGGAGGCAUUCAUCAACUACAGAGAUCUUGACAUUGGCAGCAACGAAAGCAACAACACAGAUUUUGCAGUUGCCAGCGUUUAUGGAGCUAAAUAUUUCAAGAACAAUUUCCUGAGAUUGACACGUGUGAAAGCCAUGAUAGACCCUGAAAAUUUCUUCAAAAAUGAACAAAGCAUUCCACCAUUGCCAUCUCACAAGUUCUAAUGAGGAGGAUAACCUGUGCUGCCCUUGUCAAACGUCACCGCUCCCAACCGUUAUAUUUUCUACGACCCUACAAUAAAAGAAAAUAAAAGCUUGUGUGAAAUAUCUUCUGAAUUUUUAUUUCUUAAAGGCAAGACUCGACUUUUUGCCAUUUAUUUGUUAUUAUUGCUUGAAAAUUAAUACCAGAUUGUCCUAUAUCUGUAAUAAAGAAUAAUUUAAUAUUUGGGUAACUCAGCAAGAAGAUAUUUCUAUGUAAUAAAGAAUAUGUGAUUUGAUCAUCUGUUAUUUUUUUUGUUCACAGUCAAUAUAAGAUAAUUUUGUUUAUAUAAAAAAUGAUACAAUUUUUCAAAUCUCGAUAUAAUUAAGAUAAGUAAACAAAUAAAAAUUAGAGACUCAUUGGAAACAUAAAAAAUAAGACAAAUAAAUAGCUCUUAAUUAUUUAACACUAUAAUUUUCUAUUGUAAUAAAAAAAUGAUUCGGUCAUUUAUUAUUUCUUUUAUUCAGAAUAAAAUAAUUUUAUUAAUAUCAAACAUUGAUGUAAUAGCUUUAAUCUCAAUAUAAUUGAGAUAAAUAAACAAUUAAAAAUGAGAUAUUCAUUGAAAUAUAAAGAAUCAAAACAAAUAAAUAACUCUUAUUCCAUGCUGUCAUUAAACGUAAAAUAUUUCUUUAUAAUAAAAUAUAUAUGAUUCGAUCAUCUAUUUUCUUUUAGUCAAAACAAGAUAAUUUUAAUCAUUAAUAUAAAAAAUUGAUACAAUUGUUCAUUUCUCAAUGCAAUUAAGAUAAGUAAACAAUUAAAAAUUAGAGACUCAUUGGAAAUAUAAAAAUUCAAGACAAAUAAAUAUAUAGCUCGUAUUUCACACUAUCAUUUUCUUGUAAUAAAGAAUAUAUGAUUCAAUCAUCUAUUAUUUCUUUAGGUCAAAAUAAGAUAAUUUGAUUAAUAUAAAUAAAUUGAUACAAUUACUGAUACGUCGAUAUAAUUGAAAUAAAUAAAUAAUUAAAAACACGUUUUUAUGUAACUAAAUUUGACUAAAACUAAUUUAAAAAGCUUGAUAUAUAUAUUUAUGGCCUUUGGUCCUAAAAAAAGAAGGAUAAGAUUGGCGGCUAGCCUAUUGGGCAAGUCAAAUCUAGCGGUGAAGUACGUAGCCAAUUCAUAGUUUAUCCCAUUUCUCUCUUGCAUUUUCUCUUCAUGCAAAAAAGGAUGACCACAACAUAAUUAUCCAAUUCCAAACUUAAAAUUAAUUUCUUUUAUAAUACAUAUGAAAAAUACUAGCCCUAGCUAUUUCUUGCUUGAAAUUCCUGUUCGAGAAACAUUGACUAUAACCAAAGUGAAAAGUCCAGGUUUCAUAUGUAUUGAAAACGUGUACCAUCAAACAUACUAGAAAGAUGAAAUUGUCUAAUUUGCAAGCUAACGAACGAGAAGAUUGAUCUAAAAGGCCCUGGAUGUACGCUGUUGACAAUAGAAGGGUUGCAGUAUAUUUUUCUUCGAAGGCAUUGAAAUCUGUAUAGUCAUUAAAAGAGAGAUUGUUUCCAAUGAACAGGACCCUGGAUAUUUUGCAACUUAGCAUACAGCAUAUCUCUAAGUAACACCUCUGAUUAGACUAAAUCGUCUGUUAGAGAAUUUGUCUCUCUAAAUAUGUGAGCGAAAGGAAAAACUUCUAUUGUUUCUCUUACAUUUCUCAAUGCAAUUUGCAAUGUGGACCAUCCAUUAGGACUUUCGAGAAUGAUUACUGAGCCAUAAGAUUGUGUUUUUUCGAGUCACUUUCAAUAAUGAAAAAGUGUGAGGAGACCCAAGAAGUGGAGCAAAAGAAUAGAAGUCCUUCCAAAAUGAGCAGAAAUUCUGCCUAAUCAGAAUCCUCCGUACCAACGAAUUUGGAGAAAAACUCUACCACGUUACCUGUGCGAGAGAGAAGAAGAAGAAAGAAGGGUUGCAAUACUAACAAGUUUGUUUUAGAUUAAUUGCAUGUGCAAUUGAAACAUCUGAAUUGCAAAUUGGUUUGGGCUCCAGUACAUCAGUUUUCAUAUACCGAAGAUGACACAGUCAAAAUUGUGAGCUUGAAGCUAGCCUUGCAUUCCAGAACCAAAAGAAGAAAAAACAGAGGGCGGGGGGCGGCUUGCCUUACGUCGAGAUGCUAGGAGAAAUAGUAACCUUUGAGAUCAUAUAUCGUAAUUUCAUAUACCAUUUGUAAUUAAAGUACCCAUUUGAAAAGAAAAAUACUAAUUAGAAGGUCAAGUCACUUAAUUACGCAACUAAUUAAUGGGGCUCAAGCUAGAAUUAUCGCAAUUAAUUACUAAUCUUUAGUUGCUUUUAUUUUAGUCUACACAAGAAACAGUAUAAUAUUACAUUAACAAUUUGAAAAUAUUAAUUCCAUUCCACCAACGCAUCCAGACGGAACCCUUUGACGAAACUUAAACAUCUAUAAAAGAAGGUUUAAAAACUUACGAAAGUUAUUUCUACAAACCAUUCUCCUCAAAUUUCCUUUCCAAUAAUAAUAACACUUGAAAAUUUCAAAUUCAUUUCUCCUAUUUUCGCUUUUUUUUUCUUUCUCUGACUCAACUUGGUCAUUGUCAUGUAGGGCCAAUUUUCUCCAGGUUAAAUUGCCCUAAUUUGCCUUAAAUAGUUCCACGUUUGAUCAUUGCCCGAUCAUUUGAAGCUUAAAUUAAGUAUGAUGAAAACGUUCUGGAAAACAUUGGAAUGUGAAAGUGUUUGGUAGCGUGGAGGAGAAUAUAUAGAGACUUGAGAAAAGGAUUGGAGAAAUAGAUGAGACAGGAAACACCAUAGAGAUAGAGGAGAGGGAGAUCGAACAAAAAAAGUGAUUAAUUGGAGAGUUUGCGGACAUCUCAGAGGAAUAAAGAAUCAAUGUGGAGAUAAAAAUCUAAGGAGAGGUGGGUGAAAGAGAGAGAUAGGAAUAUAAGAUAUUUUCAGAGUAAGGCCAAAGAAUCAAUGUGGAGAUGGAAAUCUCCGGAGAGGUGGGUGAAAAAGAGAGAUAGGAAUAUAAGAUAUUUUCAGAGUAAGGCCAAAGAAUCGAUGUGGAGAUAGAAAUCUAAGGAGACGUAGGUGAAAGAGAGAGAUAGGAAUAUAAGAUAUUUUCAGAGUAAGGCCAGGGUGAGAAAUAAGAGGCAUAAUAUUUUGAUAUGAAUGUGUUUACUGUUAACUGGGGUAAGAUUAUUAAGGUCUGCAAAAAGCCACUUCCAAGACUAGGGUAAGAUUUGUGAAUGUAGGUGUUACCAACUAGUUGUAAUGCUUGAGUAUAUUAAUAAAACCAUUGGCUUAUAUAUAUAUAUAUAAAAAAAAGUUACUGCAUAACCCUAUUAAAUUUUUUUUUGACUCCCAAUAUCUACUUACAGUACAACAUUUUUUACCUUUGGUUGCCAAAAAACUUACAACUAUAGGUGAAAAAUAUGUUGCCUUAGGUUAAGGCUACACUUAGAAAAAGUACAAUCUUAAUCAAUGAAUGGAAAAGUUUAGCUGCACUUUUAAUGAAAUUUUACUACAAAAUUAAUAUGCAACCAUAUAGUAUAUGGUUGCAAUCUUAAAUCAUAUGGCAAUAUUUAAACUGUGUAGUUAAAAAGUAUAUGAUAGAAACACAUAUAACCUUCUAAUAUGCAACAAAAAAGUGUAAAUUUUACAGCAACCUAGAGAGUAUAAACCAUGCAAAUUUUACAAAAAUUUAUAGCAAAUAUAUAUUUUUUUUAAUGACAUUCUAUUAUUGAAUAGAAAACAAAGCCAAAGUAACAAAGACAGGAACAGGAACAAAGAAAUAAAGACAACAAACCUAGAAAUAGAGACAACAUCCAGAGAGCACAAGGCUCAGCCCCAGGAACAGGGCACAAAGAAAACCAAAAACAAAUGGAGAAACAAAAUAGAACAACCAUCAAAAGGAAGUAGAAAUCAAAUCCUGAACAAACACAAAACAGGAAGCCAAAGAGGAGCAGGAAAGCAGAUCUGACAAACAUCACCAGUCAGAAUCCCAAAAUAGUUUGCUGCCAUUUGGAUAAGAAUAUAUUGCAGAAGAGGCAUUACUUGGUAUCCUACAAGUUACAAUAUUAAUCAUUGCUUCAACUAGUUUAGUCUAGUUGGGUGUUUAAAGGAAAGUAAGUAUAUUGAUCACAAGACAUUUCAAAAAUCCAAUAUCAUAAUUAACAAGUAUAAGUUAACAACUAAGAAGAAACUAAUGGCAGUCAUCACUAUCAAGCGAGCUUCUUUAAUCACAAGUGCAGUCCAAGAUUUAUUUUUCUAUAUAUUUGAAUCCCAAAUGCAAAGAUAUAAAGUGAUGUUGAAAUCUAGAUUUAUCUUUAGGAUGCUAACUUUUGCUUAGAAACCAUGAUUUGAGAAGGAGCAUGAAGGUUUGGUAAUGGUGUGAUCCUCAGAAUGGCUGCCAUUGCUUAGAUAGCUAAAUAAAACAAACCAUUUUUAUUUCCUUCCAACUUAAUUUUGUUUAUAUGUAACCACACCCCAGAUAAGAAAAUAAACCAAAAAAAAGAAAAAAAAUGCCCAUUUGUGCUCAAUGUAAAGUGUGUACUUUAUUAUAUUACACUAUUUCAUAACUAUUAAUAUACAUAUUCACACUGCUUUUAUUAUAAUAAAUUAAUAAUAUAGCUAGCAUUAGAAUCUCAAGUUAUUGAAAACAAAGAGUAAUUACCUCGUGAAGUUCUCUUAAAACAACUUCCUUUGUACCAACCUUAGCUCUUAGAAAUCUUGAUGGAGAUGACAAAGAGGACCCUAAGAAAGAAACUCGAAUAAAUUUCAUGAUACUGCCAUGUUCUCUGGCAAUUGGAAAAAUCAAGAAUGAAAAACUAACACAUGAACUACUAAAACUCCAAAAAAUUCAGCUUAGUUAAAUGUAGAACGUGAUUGAUAGCAGAAGAUGAUAUGACAGGUGAACCAUACGUUGUUCCAUAUGAUGAGAACUCAAUAAAGAUGUAUCAUAGAUAAUUUGGUCAUAAAUAUCACUGAAGACACUACCAUCAAAUCAAUUCCCGACAUCACAAGAUUUUAAUUCUUAAGCAAUUAGCAAAAAUAAAGAUAAUAACUUGCUACACUUGAAUUUAUACCUUAAUUGACAGAUAUUUGAGGCUUUUCAAAGUUCUGCCUUUAUUCUUUAGAGAGAAAUUGAGAAACAUUGACUUCCACCAUCUAAAAAAAUAAAAAUGACAUCACAAAUCAUAAAUAUUAAAUCAUAUUACAAAUUAUAACCUCAACAUUGUAGAAAAUCAUGAAGUGUUUGUAAGUUACUAACCUUACAAAUCUGAUUUAGAGAUAUAUUAUUAAAUAUUUGGUGGCUCCAUUUCUUGGCAACUAGUCAAUGAUGAUUCAUUAAGCUGCAAAAUAUUAUAAGUAAAAAAACUUGGGAAUCAAAAGAAAAUAAAAAAUAGUUUCAAUAGAUAAUACCAUUUGUAAAGAAGUUAAUAUCUUGGGAUAUUUCCUCUACAUUUUCCCUACUAACUUUCUGUAUUGAUAAAAAAAAUAAAAUAAAUUACUAACAAAAGAACUUACAAGUUAGCAACAUCGUAAAUAAAAAAUAUUUGGUAUAAUGGAAGAGAAGGGGAAAGAUGUAAAAGAAAAUACAUCAUUUUCUUCAUCCUCUACCAACCACAAAUAAUGUUUGAUGCAUGAUAAAGAGUGCCCUACUGGCUGAUGAUGCAUGAGAAAAAUAAAAUAAAGUUUGUUGCAAUUUAAACUUCCUAAUUAUGUUUCUUACCUAACUUAAUCACCCUAAGACAAAAUAACAAAGAAUCUACUAAUAAACCAGACUAAGGAAGCUAGUCUAACGGCCUAUUCAUUCAUAAAAGUUCACAUGGCAAUAGGGGAACUAAGUGACUGUGGGUAUAAAUUAAGAAAUAGAUUAAUGGAAGAAAGAAAAACGAAAUGAAGAAAAGACACAAAUAUUUGAAUAGCAACCCAAUGCUAUUAAGAGUCUGCACCAGUAGAUACAUUUUAUUAAAGGCAAAGAAAUUGAAAUUCGCUUUAAAUUGCUUGAAGUUGUUUUACUGGAAAAUUCAGUGUUAAGCCAUUCAAUGCAUUUCUAAUACUCUAGAUUAAUAUAAAGUUAGUGAACACCAUCUUUACCUUGAAAGCCAAAUCUAAGAACUUGAAAAUUUAACCAGAACUUAAACAUUUAGAUCAUGAGGAGCUGUCAUCUACAAACUACAGAAAAGGUCUUUCUACCAUAAACUAAGGAACUUAUUUUCUCUUUUUGCAGGAGAAGUUGCUCACAUCAGGUGUAGGGUAUUCUUUAUUCUUCCAACCUUAAAUUUAACAGCUCUUCAUUUUAUGAAAUCAUGCUUAACUACAAUCUUAUUGAUAUCCUUGUGCAAAAUCCUAACUAGAUGUUUACAAAGAAAAUGGUGCAAGGUUCUCGACCUCUAUUCACAACUGGUGCUUAAAUCAAUAAAUCAUGCUUAAAGUCCCUAAUUGGUAUUAUAACAAACCCUAAUCUAAACUUGAACUACAAAAAUCAUUAUCAAAAUUAAAAAAAAUAAGAAAACAGAGAAAGAGUACCCAAAUCAAUGAUUACACAAACAUGUACCUUUGAGCUAAAACUUACACAAUAAAAACUCUAUUCAACAUAUGUAUUUGGUGAAGAAACAAUUAAGAAAAUUAACACAAAUUUAAAAAAAAUAAUGAAAAAAAUUAACAUAAAAUAAAAAGACUUGAGAAAAUCAUCUUACUAACUAACCGGGAAUCUUUGCAUUCUGAAACAAGUAAAUCACCGGAGGCAUCGAUCCUCAUGACUGCCCUUCCUUGUAACAUAACACUGUUUUUUUUGUUUUUUUAGCUCCAAGUGCUCAUUUCACCUCCAACUUGCAUUGACAACAAGGUUGCCUUUGAAAAUGUAUAAAUGCAGCAUAUACGUAUUUUAUAAAACAGAAUAUUUGUUCAAGCACAGCCUGGCAAUGCUCAUCAUUCAAAAAAGAAAAGCUAAUCGGGAAUAUUUAGAUCCAUGCCAACCAAGAAUCUUCUUAGUAAGCAAAGGGGAAAAUGAAAAAAUCAUCCAUUAUCAUUAGCUGAAUGAAGAAUCAAAGAAUAUUCAGUGAAAGUAGUGAAAUUCUUUGAUGAGAUACGAUUCAAGAAAAAGAUAAAAAAGGAUUUGGUGAAAUUCUAUGAUGAGAAUUUGAGAAUGAAUCAAUCUAAAAAUGGUUUGGUGAGAAAUGAGGUAAGAGAGAAGAGUUGAUGUAAGAGAGAGGAAGAGUUGAACCAUAAGAAAAAAGAAUUGUUAAGACUCACAAAAGGUAGAUUGUUUACUUGGGCUGUCCUAAUAAAAUAAUUAUAUUGGUCAUUGCUGUUUUUAUUUUGUGAUCUUCUCUUUCUCUUAUCAAGUCUCUUCUAAUUUAUUUUAGUUUACUUUAAGUGAUUACACUUCAAAUAGUGCAGUUAAAUAAAAAUGUAUCAAAUGUUUCAAGAAGAAUUUAGUUACAUUAAAAUAAUUGACCCUAAAACUAUGCAUUAAAAAGUAAAAAAUGUUGUAGUAUUAAACUGAAACAUAGUCAUAUGUUUAAGAAUAUGUGUCAGUAUUAGCUUUAUUGUUAAUUAUUUUUCUAAUUUAUUACCUAUUUUUUGUUUUUAAAGUUACUAUUAUUUAUUUAUUUUAAAUAUAUUUUAUUAUUUAAUGAGAAUGAAAGAUAAAAAAUUUAAAAUAAGAAUGUAAUACGUUAUGUAUGAUAUAUAAUUGUAGAAUUCAAAUUUAUUUAUAGUUACAUAAAGAAUUUUUUACUCUCUUUUAGUUACAACAAGAAUCUUGUAAUAUUGAAUUAAAGUUAUUUUGAAGUUAGAAAUACAAUAGUGAAGGAAAGAAAUUUUACAUUUUUUUAUAUUUUAAAUUACUAGUAGAUUAAUAGUUUGUGUAAUAUUAAUUUUUUUGAAAGGCAUGUAUUAUUAUUUUUUAAUUAAAUUAAAUACUUGAAAGGAAAAAUUUUACUUAUCUUAUAUAUCUUCAACAUCGUUUCAUGUCAGUCUUUCAGAUUGUUUGGAGUUAAUCUUAUCAUUUAGGUUCAAAUUUGGUAAGUUCGAGUUGUUGAUUUUUUGUGGUUAAAUUAAGUUCGGUUGAAUUCAAGAUCGAGUAGAUUUAACAAAUUUUCAGAUUUCAGUCAACUUUGUUAAUUCUAAGUGAGAUCUCUAAUAUCCCUAUUAAGAGAUUAAUUUAAUGAUGCAAUUGUAUAAUUACUUAUUGUUUAAUUUAGUUGAGCGGCCUAUAAUCUUACUCUUAAAAGUUCGUUUCAAUUAAUUUUUCAAAAAGCGGAGAAUCGAAACGAAAAUAUGUUCAGAUGUAUAUGAUAUAAAUAUAUAUAUAAAUAUGUCGUAAUUAUUACAUUUCAUAUACAGAUCAAUUAAUAAACCUGACAAACAAAGAAUCAAAGAUUUGGACAAAUAUGGUAUAGAAUUAAAGAAAAUUUAAAACGCCAGAAUAAAUUUACAUAUGGUGAGAUUUGAAACUGAACUUAGAAAUUAACAGCAAAAAAAAUAAAGUAACUGUUACUAAUAGAAAAAACAAAGAAUUAAACUAUUGGCCGGAAAUAGUUCAAUAAUGGUAAGUUCAUUUUCUAGUCGUAGUUUCCUUCUAAAGCAUCUAAAAUUGAGCUGUGUCCAGUCGAGAUUCAAGACCCUUUGCAGUAUAUCUACAUACACCACUGAAUUAACCAACACACCAAUUGAAAAUCUCGUGAUUCAAUUAGAAAAAAUGAAAGCUUCAAGCUCUGUAUUCAGUGCUUCAAUCCUUUUGUUUUCAAUUUCAUUGGUAGCAUCAGAUUCAGCUCUUGAUAGAUUUCUUCAAUGCCUUCCCAAGAAUUCCAACCCUUCAAACCCAAUCAAUGAUGCCAUAUUCACUCCCAUGAAUUCCUCCUUUCAGUCUAUUUAUGAGUUACGCGCGAACAACCUUAGAAGCUUGUACUCUGCAACCUUGAAACCAGUGGCCAUUAUAACAGCACUACAUGAAUCCCAUGCUCAAGCAACUGUCGUUUGUGCGAAGAGACAUGGCUUCCAAAUCAGAAUUCGAAGUGGUGGUCAUGAUUUUGAAGGCCUAUCAUUUGUAUCAAGCGUCCCAUUUGUCAUUCUUGAUCUCUUCAAUCUUCGGUCUAUAGAGAUUGAUAUGGCAAGCGAGACGGCAUGGGUUCAGGCAGGGGCGACCACCGGUGAACUAUAUUAUCGGAUAGCAGAGAAAAGUAAAGUCCAUGGCUUCCCAGCUGGAGUUUGCAUUACUCUUGGCACUGGGGGACACUUCAGUGGAGGUGGCUAUGGACCCAUGAUGAGAAAAUAUGGCCUUUCCAUAGAUAAUGUCCUUGACGCCCAACUGAUUGAUGCCAAUGGUCGAAUCCUUGACAGAAAGUCAAUGGGAGAAGAUGUGUUUUGGGCAAUCCGAGGAGGUGGAGGAACUAGCUUUGGGAUCAUCCUUUCAUGGAAGAUCAAGCUGGUCCGUGUUCCUCCUAAGGUUACUGUUUUCAUAGUCAUAAGGACUUUAGAACAAGGAGCAACAGAUCUUGCUUAUCGUUGGCAACAAGUUGCCCAUAAACUACCUAAAGAACUUUUCAUCAGACUGGCGCCUCGGCCUUUGAUUGGAACUGGCAAGGGCAACAAAACAGUACAGGUUCCUUUCAUCGGCCAUUUUCUUGGACAAACUGAUGAACUUGUUCAACUGGUGAACUCAAACUUGCCUGGAUUGGGUUUGCAACGAAGUGACUGCUUAGAAAUGAGUUGGGUCGAAUCCGUCCUUUUCUGGACCGGUUUCCCCAAUGGAACCUCCAUUGACGUCUUGCUCAAACACAGAGUGCAAACAGACAAAGUCUUCUACAAGACUAAGUCCGAUUACUUCAAAGAAGUAAUUCCCAAGGCAGGCUUGGAAACCUUAUGGAAUUUGCUGAUGGACAUCGAAAAUAUCUAUGUGCAGCUAAAUCCUUACGGUGGAAGAAUGGGAGAGAUUACAGAGUCGGAAACAGCAUUUCCCCAUAGAGCUGGAAACCUAUUCAAAGUGCAGUAUACAGUGCUUUGGUCGGACGCCCAAGGAGGAAUCAAUGCUACAGAGCGGUAUUUGGAAUGGUCCAGAAGAUUGUACAGUGCAAUGGCACCGUACGCCUCCAGCAGCCCAAGGGAGGCAUUUCUCAACUACAGAGAUCUUGACGUUGGCAGCAACGACAGCAACAACACAGAUUUUGCAGCAGCCGAAGUUUAUGGGGCUAAGUUUUUCAAGGGCAAUUUCCAGAGAUUGGUGCUUGCCAAAACCAUGAUAGACCC
rnacentral:lncRNA from 1 species